rnacentral:lncRNA from 1 species
GCUGACUCUGUUUAGGGCGUGUGACAACUAGGCACGUCUUCCUGCCCCUGCUCUCUCGUGCUUCAAAUCCCGUCGACGAAUUUGGUAUCCUGAUGAGUCCUUGACAUGAAGAAUUGUAUAGUCUGGUCUGUCUUGCUGGCACGGUGAAAAUGUUGCUUACUUUAGUUCAGUUGAUUGAUCCCUAGUAUAGAGGAAACAUAAGAAAACCGUGCGUCGGUUCUAUUCUAUGGAUGGUAGAUGUGAUGUUGUAUUUAGGGGGUCUUUGACAUGCUGGAUUGGUGGUGCUGCGUUUCUGAUAUCAUUUGUGUAGCCGUGUGGCUUCUGGACGAGGGCUUUCUGGUCUGUCUAGUGGGUGGCGUUUGUCCUGUACUAUGAAGUAAAUAGCCCAGAUUCUAAGCUAUUCCCUCCAUAUAUGUCCUUUUAGUCUUUUUGGAGAUUUAAAUACGGAUUAUAUAGGGAUGUAUAUAGACAUAUUUUAGAAUGUAGAUUCACUCAUUUUGCUCUGUAUGUAGUCCGUAUUGGAAUCUCCAAAAAGACUUAUAUUUAGGAAAGGAGGGAUUAAAACUAAAGGGACGCAUGUUUUUUUGAUGAAACGCUGGUGAAGCAGCUUUUCUUUUCAAUUAGACGCACGUUUUCAUGUAUACCACUUAGAGCAACUCUAGCAGAGCCGUCAUGUGUGGUCGCUGUGAUAUGCCAGAGAGAUUGCAAAGGCAAAAUGUGUGGUAGCCAUCAUAAGGCGAAACGUGUGGUCGCCGUCAUAUGACAUAUAGAGAUUGUGAGGGUGAAACGCAGACUCAAAUUAGCUAAGAAGACAAUCUUCAUAUUUUUCACACACGUGUGUCCUACCUGUAAUUGACUGUAAUGGUUCUUUUCAAAAAGUCAAAAUCAAAACAUAUUUGAUUCAGACUUCAGUUCGAACAAAAGAGAAGCAUUGUUCAUUGUAGACCUCUUACAUCAAAUUGUGCAUAAAAAAUACAUUGUGGUAGAUCCACCAUUUACAAAGCAAACCACAACAAAACAGUUGACAUUUCUGGUGAGACUUUUUCACCUCCCAGUACAUCAUAAUAAGACCCCAUGCAAACUUUCACUCUUUUGGAUCAUAGUUAGGUUGGAUUCAUUUUUCUAAUGAAAAAUGCAAAUGGUGCCUAAAGACAGGAAAAUUAAAUAUAUAUGUAUUGAUUAAGUUUCCCAAACUUUCUCUAGUAGUUUGAUUAAAUCAUGACAACAAAUGUAGACUAUAUUGGAUUGCUAUUCUUACAAGCUGCUUCAAAAGGUACUACUAGUUAUGAACUGUUUGAAGAGUGCACGAAGAGAAAUCAAGACAUGAGAACUGCCAAUGUAAGAUUAUAAUUGUCACCAUCACGGAUAAAAUAUAGGAUCUAAAGCAUCGCUCAUGUGACAUGUACGUAGAAUGAUUGCUCAUUACAGCCAUCUUACAACGAAUUGUGCAUAACACACACAUCAUGGUAGAUCUACCAUUUUCAAAGCAAAGCACAACAACACGGUUGCCACUUCUUGAGAGACUUUUUCACAUUCCUAAUUUAUCCAUAAUAAGACCUCAUGCGAAAUUUCACUUUUUUGGACCAUAUGUUGGUUUUUUUAAUUUAUAUUAUGAAAAAAAAUGCAAAUGGUGCCUAAAUACAACAAGUUUUUUUAGGAAUAUUUCAAUAUCCAUUUGGGGUUGCUUCUUGUGCAGACUGCAUAUGCUGGGGUGGAUGUCCCUUCUUUUUGGCACAAUACAACAAGUUGGUUUGUACGUCAUAUACACAUAUAAAAUUUGUAUAACAACGUAAAAAAUGCAUUUCAAUAAUGUUUCUGAAAGUAUAGAUGAAGAGUUACGGAAGUUCUUGCAUAUGUUAUGAAAUCCCACCAAUUUCUAAAAGUUCAUCAUUAUCGCUCCCUCAAUACUUCCAACCACUCCAAAAAAUUUGUCCCAUUAUAAUUUUCUGCCUCCCUCUCUUCUCCCCUAGAUCCGGCACCAUCCCGAAGGCGUAUGGUUCCAUCUCCGACAAACUCUGAAGCGGGAACAUCCGCAAACCUUCUCCGCCUACCGUAAAACCUAACCAUAACGACCAGGUGUUCUCCCCCUCCUGCCCCACCCAACGCCCUCUAAUAUUUGGAUGUGCGUAUAAAUUUAUACAUGUUGUUCAUUUGUCCUCUUGAUGUAAUUACACCUAUGGUUACUUCUGCAAGAAUUCCAAUUCUGGAUUUGUAUUAUGAUAUGAACUGCAAGUCAUUCUAUCUAGGUUUAUAGUUAUGUUCCCAUGUUCUUAUUAAAAUUACUGUACUAAUGAUUUAUUAUGUUUUGAGGAAUGUAUGAUUAUUUCUUAUUUACGUAGCAUGUUAUAGUUUAUCCAAUCUAGAAGUAUGUCUCGUUCUACCUAAGACAAUACAAGAUUAUUUAUUGACACUUUGUAUUUAUGGAUUCUUUGAUAAGUUAUACAUAUAUAUUCACGUCAAUGAUGAAUGUGCAUAUUAGCAAGUCGUCAUUGAUAUUCAGCUGCUGCCACCAAAUCAGCACAUGUAUAUGAGAGGGUAAUGUUAGAGACCAUGAAAGAGAAGACUGCUCGAAUAUCCGAAUGUAUGAAGAAACAUUGUGUUGGUAAUGUUGGUCUACUAGAUUUUGCCUCUGUAGCACAUUCUUUUGUGUAUGGUGGUGCACAAUAGGAAGUUGAGAUAGAUAAAUAUUCAAAGGAGGCAUUUGAUGUCUAUGAGAUUAAAAUAGCCAAAUAGGUCUCUUGGAAACUCUUCUCGUCAGAUCCAGAUUUAUUGUGUAUUAUAUUACCAGCCUUGCUAAAUCAUUGUUUGGAACUUUAUCUCAUCAAGUGCAUUCCACCAAGUAGUGGAUGGUUCUACAAUGGCAUGACACAAGAAGCGUACCAAAGCUGAUGUGCCUUCCUCAUUGAUUCAACAAAGAAGUACAGUAAACCCAACUAUCUACACGAUACAACUUUGCUUGUUGAUUGCAAAUGCAUCUCUACUAUGUAAUUCUACCAUAACACAUUUAUUUAAACGUGCACUGCUUAUGUUGUAACAUCCAUGGUGCAUGAUCUCUGAAAGGAAAUCUUAAUGUUGACUUAAAGGAUGAAUUUUGCCGCACAAAUGCGCAUUGGUAUUUUUAGAGGAAAGUGCUCAGCAAUGUAAAUAUCACACUAGGAACAUAUUUUGGAACGCUAAUCCCUUACCGAGCAUACUCAAGCAAUCUCCCAUUAGCCGCUCUUUACUUUAUAGUCAAGCGAUUGCAAACUCCUUAUUUAGGCUAGCUACUUUGCGGAUUAACAAGAUUAUCGCAUUCGAGUUGUGACAAUUCUCUAGCAAGUAAUGAAUCUGAGGUCAAAGCCAAUGAGUAUGCCGGAUGUUGCAUUUUCGUGUUGAGGGAAGGUUGGCUUGACAGGCUUUGUUCUGGAUGUUGUAACCUCUUCUAAUGGUCUUUGUGUGUGCUUUAUUAUCUCGUUGUGAGAAUGGCUAGGACUAUGGAUCCACAUGCCCCUCUAGUCAGUACUUUCUGAGUAGAGCAAGGCUUCUUCAUUGGCAAAUAAACGAAUUAAUGAAUUAAUUUCCUAAUAUGAAGUGAACUGAACUAGCAUUGAUCAAGUCCAUGAGAUCAGAAGGAGUUCUUCACGUGAAAAAGUCCACAACUUAGCUUAAUUCAAUAGAAAAGAAAGUAUCCAAUCGACUUUAGGAGCGCCACACUACUAGGAAAAUGGCUAUAGAUGAUAUGGUCACUAAUGGCACACCAGACAUGUGGUGCGUCAUUACUAUAUACUAAUGGCGCACCAUGUGUUGGGCUCCAUUAGUAAUAUAUUACUAAUGGCUAAUGGCGCACCUGGUGUGUGGUGCGCCAUUAGUAGUUUUGAAAAAAAAAAUUAUUACUAAUGGCGCACUGUGGUAUAGUGCGCCAUUAUUAGUUGACAUAGUAAUGGCGCACCACACCCACCGUGCGCCAUUAGUAGUUUUGAAAAAAAAAUUGUUAGUAGUGCCGAGCCCCACCUCCCCUCGCCACCCCCUUGCCCCACCUCCCCUCGCCCCGUCGCCCCACCGUCCCAACCACCCGCCGCCGCCGCCACCUGCCACCGCCCCCUGGCCNNNNNNNNNNNNNNNNNNNNNNNNNNNNNNNNNNNNNNNNNNNNNNNNNNNNNNNNNNNNNNNNNNNNNNNNNNNNNNNNNNNNNNNNNNNNNNNNNNNNNNNNNNNNNNNNNNNNNNNNNNNNNNNNNNNNNNNNNNNNNNNNNNNNNNNNNNNNNNNNNNNNNNNNNNNNNNNNNNNNNNNNNNNNNNNNNNNNNNNNNNNNNNNNNNNNNNNNNNNNNNNNNNNNNNNNNNNNNNNNNNNNNNNNNNNNNNNNNNNNNNNNNNNNNNNNNNNNNNNNNNNNNNNNNNNNNNNNNNNNNNNNNNNNNNNNNNNNNNNNNNNNNNNNNNNNNNNNNNNNNNNNNNNNNNNNNNNNNNNNNNNNNNNNNNNNNNNNNNNNNNNNNNNNNNNNNNNNNNNNNNNNNNNNNNNNNNNNNNNNNNNNNNNNNNNNNNNNNNNNNNNNNNNGGAGCCAGGCCCGCCGCCGCUGCCCUAACCGCGGCCGUCCACCACCACCCCCUGCACCCGGAGCCAAGGUGAGCAUAUUUUUGUUUUUUUCUACUGUUUUUCUUUGCUGUUUAGGUUUAAUUAGGUUAUUGAUAGGUUUAGGUUAGUGCUAGAUUUAGGUUUAGAUAAUUAGAAGAAGAAGAAAGUUGAAAAAAAGAAGAAGAACUAGAAGAAGAGGAAAAAGGAAAAAAGGGAAGAAGAAUAAGAAGAAAGUUGAAAAACAGAACAAGAAAGGAAGAAGGAGAAGAGGAGGAGGAGGAAGGAGAAGAAAGAAAAAGGAGAACAAGAAAAGAAGAGAGGUGGAGAAGAAGAAGAUGGAAAGGAAAAGGAAGAAUGCAUCAUUGUUUAAUUGUAGAGGUUGAUGAUCGAAAAGUUGACCUUUCUUAGGAGUAGCAUCUUCAAAUAAGUAACCCUUCAUGUCUUCAAAUAAAAUAACAGAACAACAUAACUCAGAAGGGUAAUAUAACCAAGAAUGCAUCUUCGAGGACGAGAGCUUUUUUCAAGUGUUUAUUUGCUGCUUCCUCAUAAGCAACGAGACAUCUCUGAGGACAGAACAUCAUUUUAGUAGGAUGUAACAAUCAUUAGUCCGAGAAGAAUGAUAUUAAAUAACAUAGUAGCCUGUGAUGUAUUUUCGUACCGAAAAUGCAUUUGGCACUAGUCCUCGCUUAACAACAUCAUGGGUGGGAAGCGGGAACUUCGGAAGUGCAUCGGUGUAGUUGAUUAUCUUCUGCUCAAAAUUUAUGCUGCUAUAAUGUUGUAUGAUAACGUUGUAAGGGUACUAAUUGGUCUCUUCUGCUGCUUAUCAGAGAUGGGGGGAAGCAGCCACCGCCGCUCUGCCUCACCGGGGUACGAGUUGGAUACUUUCGAGUUCUUCAGUAUCAUACUUGGGACUUCAGUAUCAGCCACGAGGUAGGUAUAUAAAACGAGAGAUCUCCUCUUCACCCAUCUCAUUAUGAUAACUCUAUUGUUUGCUACAUCACUCCUUGUCCCAAAUUGCAGAGGCUGCCUGACACUUUUAUGAACAUGCUGGGUGAAGAUCCGCCAGAUAAUGUGAAGCUCCGACAGGCCGGCAGCGGGGUUCGCAGGAUGUGGGACGUGGAGUUGGUGAUCGAGGAGGGCCACAUGUACCUGUGCCGUGGCUGGGAGAAGUUCUACAGUGCCUACGACCUGCGGACCGGGUACUUUCUUCUCUUCGGGUAUGACGAUGACGCCAUAAUGCUCAUCGUGAAGGUUUUCAACGCGACUAUGUGUCACAUGCGCUACGCUGAUGAUGAAGAUGCCUGUGCGUUCUGCCUCUUCUUAUUCCUCUACAUCUGGCUUUGUCUCACAUCGAUUGUUAACGGUCAUUGUUGCAUUUGGACAGGCAAUGGGAGCAGCAGUAGCGACACCAGCUACAGCCAAAGCAGUAGCGAUUAUGGAUGUAGCAAAAGCAACAGCGGUUCUAGCUUUAGCGAAAGCAGCAGCGAUUCUGGCAGCAGCAAAGACAACAAGAAGGAUGAUCCGGACUGGAGUGGGGGAGAAGAGGAGCAGAGUGGGGAUGAGGAGCUGCAGGAUGACGAUGGGCAUCAGGCUGAGGAUGACCUAGCGCUGGUGGUGGUUGACCAAGGGCAAGAGAUGGUGGUGGCCGACCAUGGGCAAGAGAUGGUGGUGGCUGACCAUGGGCAAGAGAUGGUGGUGGCUGAGGAUGACCUAGCGAUGGUCGUGCCCAUCCUGCCUGAAGGUGGCCUCGCGAUGGUGGUGGUGCCUAACAAUGACCACGCACCGGUGGUGGCGCCAGCAAUCCCACAGCUGGGCGACAUGACCACACCAAUUGUGGUAGAAGUCUACAUCCCACAGCUGCCUCCACCGCCUCGCCGCUCUUGGCGCAUCAGGCUGAGGAAGGAGAAGGAGAAGAACAAUGAGAACUGAACUAUGUCAGGUAUGUCAGAACUGAACUAUGCUUAGUUUCCUAUAGGUUAGCUCCAAAAUUACUUAUGUUAGCACAAAAUGAUCAAGUUUACAUAAUAAGCUUAUAGUCUUCUUCUUAUUCUUUUUCUUUUCCAAAAUGACAUAUGUUAGCUUCAUUUUACCUAAGUUGGCUCUAAUAUGCUAACUUAGAGCUUAUAUGCUUAGUUUCCUAUAGGUUAGCUCCAAAAUAACUUAUGUUAGCACAAAAUGAUCAAGUUUACAUAAUAAGCUUAUAGUCUUCUUCUUAUUCUUCUUCUAGUGUUCUUCUUCUUCUUCUUCUUCUUCUUCUUCUUCUUCUUCUUCUUCUUCUUCUUCUUCUAACUUCUUGUUUAUCAUUUUGCAGAUUUGAUUUAAUUCACAGAAUCUUGCAUGGAUGGAGUGCUUCUUUUCCAUUUGUGUUUUUGUUUUGUAUGAAUGUGAAACUUUUGUGAAUUGAUGGAUAACGGUGUUGGAUGAACAAUGUGAAACUUUUGUAAUAUAUAACGAUGGAACUAUGUGUUGGCUAUGUAUGUAUAUAUGAUGAAACUUGUGUGUUGGAUAUGAUUGUUAUAUGAAUGCUUGUUGUAUAUAUAUGUGUUGAAUAUCUCAUACGUGAAAUAGUGACCUGAGAUUAAGAAAAAACGAUUUUUUUAAAAAAAUUGUUACUAAUGACGCACUUCCAUGGCGCACCUGUGGUGCGCCAUUACUAAAAUAUACUAGUGGCGUGGUACUAAUGGCGCACCUAUAGUGCGCCAUUAGUAGCCAAAACAGGUGCGCCAUUAGUAGGCCUUUUCCUAGUAGUGCCAUAUAUAUGUUUCUAUCUGAAACGGUAAAGUGAGGCUCGCUAUAAGGGUCAUACUAGUUCAGGAUUGGUAGGAAAGUAAUACAAAUGACUGUAAUAUGACAACCCUCAGGGGAGCUAGCCUUUGUGUUAAGAUUAAAAAGAAGAGUCCUCUUUUCAUAUGACUCGGUGAUUCCAUUUCUCUAUCCGGCCGCAAGAUUCGACCGCGUACAACAUGAGCACGAGAUGGGUUGGGGACUUAGAAAUGAGCCAUGCUCCAAGAAUUUGACCCCUGAACUACCUUUGUCUGCCUUUUCUUGUAGAAUCCAUUCCCCCUCUUUUAUAUAUUUCGGAUGCUUUUAUGGCUAGUGGAAUGAGGCUCGAACCCAUCAAUAUCGCUAAACCGGGAGAGUUACUUGUGUUGGGUUCAAAGUUUCGCUCUGCCAAGGCAAGAUAUAAUAUAAUAUGCAUCUAGCUUUAGAUGAAUAUAGUGAGUGUUCAGCGAAGUAUGCUAGCCAUUGGCCUUAUGUUCAGGACACUCCUUUCUGUCUUUGUAAUGCUUGGUUAUAAGAGAAUGUUGCUCUUUAGAAAAUGUGUAUAGCGGCCUUCGUCGAUGUGACAAAAGCUCCAGUGUAUCAGUUACAAGGCAACUAACAUUUUGUCGCAGACUAAGGCAUAUCCUAGUGGUGGGAAGGGGCUGAUGCCUUCCCACCCAUCUAGGUUCAAGGCAUGGUACUUGCAAUUUGGGUUUAUUGCACCAAUUAUACUGUAGGGGGUUUCCUUACAGUCUUUUUGUAAAAAAAACUAACAUUUUGCCAUGGAAGUUCGUGAAAAAAUGUUCUUAUUUUUAUAGGAAAAACCAAAGAUGGCGUCAAGAUCAGUCUCCUUUCUCUUUUCGGGAGCAGAGCUGAAAAGGAUAGGAAAUUCCAAUGAAUCUUCAUUCAUUAGAUGUUGAUUCCUCACAACCAAUCUUUGUGAUGCUACGAAAGCAUGGCAAUUAGGAUCUCAAGACGCGGCAACACCUAUGAUGCAAGGAAUCAUUGGCUUACAUCAUAAUAUCUUUUUCUUCCUCAUUCUUAUUUUGGUUUUCGUAUCGCGGAUGUUGGCUCACGCUUUAUGGCAUUUCAACGACCAAACUAAUGCAAUCCCACAAAGGAUUGUUCAUGGAACUACUAUCGAAAUUAUUCGGAACAUAUUUUCAAGUGUCAUUCUUUUGUUCAUUGAUAUACCAUCAUUUGCUCGAUUAUACUCAAUGGACUGUGGUAUUAGUAGAUCCAGCCAUUACUAUCAAAGCUAUUGGACAUCAAUUGUACCGAAGUGCGCCUCUUAGCGAGGGUCAUUUAAGUGCAACAAAAUGUACCGGUGGUUUGCGAAGCAUCUGGCUUACCGGUCAUCUCCUAUUCCCGUCGCCAAGAGACUAGAAGAACUAUAGCAUGCCAGAAACGUGGAGUUGAGGUGGUUAGACCUAUACCCUGAAAUUCUCCUAGCAUAGGAGCCUAUGGUUCCAUUCUUGUUAUUGCUGGAGGUACACAUACCUCUUCACGGUGUGGUGGAGCGAUAUACGAAAAAUAGAUGCUAAGCCUGCAAUGUACGAUAACAGGGCUUCAGUAGUGAAUCUAUCAGGACCACAACAGUGGCAUACAACUUUGGACCUAAGGGUUGGUAUCGUUACCUUUUGGAAUGGGGGAUCCCCAUUGGCAACACCCACGGUAGUAGUUGCAGAACUACUGGGCCAAGAGAGGACAACCUGUUGUUCCUGCUCCUCCUUCUUCUCUUUGGGGACGGAGGUCCUACGGUAGGUAAGAGAACGCAUAAGCACUUGACCGAAGGGGACCAGCGCUUCUACUCCUUCAUCGAGGAGCCGUUCUUGCGAGAAGCAAGGGAUGUCGUGAACGAUGGGAGGUCAAAGAAAGAGAAUUGACCUCUGAAUACAGUGAUCCUAUGAUCCAAAUAGACUCCGUCCUUUUUUAGAUAAGGGUAACUCAAGAAAUUGGGGGUGGGAGGUGCUGGCAUAAUGCAUGUUGGAAUGUGGGAAUUCGAGGUCUCAUGAACAAGUUUUUUUUGUGGACAAACAUACUUCCCGGUCUUUUUUAUGGAUCCUUUUAGAUCUACGAGCCACUACUUCCUUCGUUGGCCAUCAAAUCUUGGGCGCACUCAGUAUUACAAGGAAUAUGUCAAAAUUUGGCAAUUUUCUCGGGCCAUUUGCUAUAUUUAUAAGACAUUAAGUGCAUUUUUAUGCAUUUAAUGAAUGUCAUGAAACUUUGAAUUGCCUAUGCAUGAAAUGAUGGCCGAAACUGGAUUAAAAUAUAUUAUUGAUGGUCUUUCAUAUAUGUUUAGCCCAAAAAGCACAAAAUAAAGGAAGUCUCAUACAAUAGUUGCCAAGAUCCGACCACCGAAAAUGUAGGUUAUUGCGAUAUGAAUUCUCAUAUUCAAACAAAAUCAAAAUUCUGAGACUUGGCAUGGUGUCAUUAUAUGACCUCCAGAGGCUGUGAUAAAAUUUAAGAAUGUUUCACAUAAGUUAUCAUGUAGACUGCUUACAGGCUAGGCCAUCCUCGAAGAACAAACUAGGUUUCGAGAGGGCAUGGAUCAGGUUUGUAUUAGGAGCGAUGGUUGUUUCUCCAUUGGUCUUCAAUUUUUUCUUGCACGGAACAUACAUCAUUACAGGUAACAUGUCAAAAGGUGUCAUUUCGGAGGGUCGUUUUCUAUAUUUAAGCCAUUAAGUGCAUUUCUAGAAAUUUAUGAGAUAUAAUUCAAUUUUUAACUACAUAUACACGAAAUUAUGGACAAAAGUGGGUUGAAAAUAUUAUUUGUGGUUUUUAGUAUAUGUGUUGCCCAUAUACAACAAAAUAAAAGACGUCUCAUACACCAUUUGGCCAAGACCCCGCCAUAGCCAUGUAGGUUAUUCCAAUUUUAAUUCUCAAAAAUUCAAACAACGCCCAAAUUUCCAGAGACUUGGCAUGGUCUUUGAUAUGAUCCCUAAAGGAUGUGGUAAAAAAUUGAGAUUUUUUCGCAGAAGUUGUUAUGUAGUCUGCUUACACACCAAACCAGCUGCAAGGAAGGAGCUAGGUUUCGAGAAGAAAAGAACUAGGUUUGUAUGUGAAAUGAUCGCUGCUUACUCGGUUGUCUUGAAACUCAUUCCACUCUCAACCAACACCAUUAUACAUGUGAUAUGUCAACAUUUGACAUUUUUUCAAGUAUGAUCUAUUUGUAAACUUCAUUACACCAUGUACCUCCAAUAAAUACCUUGAAACUUAAUGUCCUAAAAAUAACUAAUUAACCAUAGGAAGUGUCAAACUUUUAGACAUAUACAACCGCAUAAUGUUGAAAUAUGACACCCUAUAUGUCCGCGGAUGCGCUCCGAAGUUCAUCACCCCUCAUUUGUCCAUGCUGCAGCUACACCCCUCAUAUGUAAACCCCUUUUUUCAUACGAAUCCAUGCAACCUAAAAUUCAUCACACGUUCAUCAUCAUACAUAGAUAAAACAAGCUCCAUUCGAAUGAAAACUACCUUACUUGUACUCAUCGUCGAAGAUGUGUAUGACCCCCGUGCCGGUCGAACCAGCCUCGUGGUCAUUUGUGGCGUCGUCUUAUUUUCCUCGUCAUACUUCUUGAGUUCCACAAAGAGUUGUUCCCACCUCAUGUCGGCGAGGUGGAUACGAUGGAGGUUCUUCGCCACCUCCUGAUACUUGGAUUCGAUCGAGUCCAAGAGGGCGGCUUGCUUCGUCACGAACUACGUUGCUACCUCCGUGGCUUAGGCGUGUAGGAACUCCGCCUCGUCCAUGCCAAAGCCGUCGGCCUCAACCUCCAUGUCCAACACCUCCUCCAUGUCAUCCAUGCUUGCCUCCUCCUCCUCCUUCCCUAGCACAUCCUUCUACUACGCCGCAAUUUAAAAGGACGCUCUUCGGCAACACACAUAUCGGUGGCGAUCUUCACCCAACGCUUGGGCGUGAGCAUUUUUUUAGUAAAUUAUCUUUUCCCCAACCAUCACAGAACUUGAGUUCGAAGUUGCCCAUGUGUCAAUAUGUUUUGGCAUGUCUCAUCCACUCUUUUGUUCAUACAUUUCUCAUGUCUACACUUGCUUUACUUAAAACAUGGCAAUUCUUUUAAUUUGCCAUGAUCACAUGACAAUUGAUUUUUAUGGCAUGUCUCCCCUCUUUUGCCAUGACAAUUUUAGUUUUUCUGAAAUCUGAUGUUAAAAUUCAUAUAUACUAUAAUGGCAAAAUUUUGUGUAACAUUCCAUGGGAAAAAUCUUUUUCUUCAAAAUGGCAUGGUAAAGUCUUUUUUUAUAGAUCAUGGCAAAUUUAUUUAUUUGUAACAUGUAAAAAAUUACUACCUUCGCUCGAUAAUGUAGUGCAUAUAUAUUUUUAAAAAAGUCCAACCUCACAAACUUUGACCAAGUAUGUCGAGAAAAAAGAUUUACAUCUAGAAUGCCAAACAUAUUUCAUCAGAUUCAUCAUAAGAUAGAGUUUCAUAUUUUAUAUUGUAGAUAUAAAUAUUUUUUCUAUAAACUUGGUCAAAGUUUACAAACUUUGACUUUUCCAAAAAUGUAUACGCACUACAUUAUAUAAUAGAGGGAGUAAUUUUUAUGGGACCAUGGAAAUUUAAGUCCAUGAAUCAUGGCAGGUUUUUAUUUAUUUUUGCAAGUAAAAAAAAUAAAAACUCCAUCCGAUCCGAAUUUGAUGCAUCCUAUAUACAACAUUGUAUAGAGGUUGUAUAGUGGCUGCGUCAAUUAAUUCGGAUAGGAGGGAAUACUUUGUUUUGGGACGAUGGCAAUUUAAGUUCAUGGAUCAUGCCUAUGUUUCACUACAUGAAUGAGGUGGAAAAAUUUAUUUCACAUGCAUUUCAAUUUUCUUAUACAAAAGCAUAAAAUUAUAAUUAAAAUAAUACGGAAAAUUUUAAUAUGCAUCUGCCAUGGCAAUUUUUGUUCAUAUUUUGUGUUUGUACUGGUUAUUCUAUUCUUUCAUGUCAAUUUUUGCCAUGGCAAUUUCAGACACCUAAAAUUUUGCCAUGGCAAUUUCACACACGUAAUUUUUUGCCAUGGCAAUACUGGGAUAUUGCAAUGAGCAUUAUAAGAGAUUGUUAGAGUAUUUCCCAUGUUUUUAAAGAAAUCAAAAUGUUGUGAAACUUGCCAAUGUAAAAAAGAUAACAUAAUGACAAAUUGUAAAAUAUUUUUUCUACUCGAAUAGCAUUUUUUUAAAUUCCAUGUUAUAAAAAAUGAUGGCAUUUUAAAAGUGAAUGGGUGUAAUAUAGUCAUGUGGCCAAAAAUCUAUUUCCUGUUAUUUUAUUUGCGCCUUGGCAUUUUUAUGACUUACCACAUGGCAAAUCUCCCCUUGUACAUCAUGGCAGUUUUGUUGGAUUUUUUGUUCAAGUAUUCAAAAUUAGGUCCAAACACAAGUUUUUAAGUCUAAUAGAGGCGUCUUCCAGUUUGAAGGUUUGUUAGUACUCAGCAGGAAUCCUGGACUUUUUUUUUCUUGUUGUGGCAUAACGAUGAAGUUGCGGUGAGGGAAGGGCCAUUUAAAAGGCUAAGGCAUGUAGGGGUGAUGAGCAGACCGAGCGUUAGUUUGUUACUUAUUAUGGUUAGUCUAUGUACCUGGAUUUAAUUAAUUCUGGCCCAAUCCUAAGAUCAGUUAACAUUUGGAAAAUUAAAGUGCCGCUCAGAGUCAAGAUAUUCAUGUGGUUUGUCCAUAAGGAAGUGAUUCUUACCAAGGACAAUCUCCUGAGGCCACAAUGGGUUGGCAGUUCUCGAUGUUGUUUUUGUGACCAUGAUGAAACAAUACAACAUCUCUUCAUUGGCUACCCACUAGCCAAGAUACUCUAGCGCACGAUUCAUAUAGCCUUUAACAUUAGCCCUCCAACUAGCAUAGCCACGUUGUUUGGGACUUGGUUAGCGGGUGUGGAGCCUAUUACUAUGGGACACAUUCGGAUUGGAAUAUGAGCUUUACUCUAGGUUAUAUGGAAUUGCAGAAAUGAUAUGAUCUUUAAUGGAAAAAAAAACUUUACUAAUUUUUUGCAGGUCAUCUUCAGAGCUACUGCAUGGAUCCGUACAUGGUCGUUACUCACUCAUACGGACUGCACGGAGCUUUUUGUUACUGGGUGCAAUCGGUGGAAGACGGUAGCACGGGAUAUCUUCAACCGGUUUGGAUGGCGAUCCACUAACAGGAUAGGUGUUUAGUCACUGGGUCCUAUGAAUCUGCCGAUUGUGGCUUGAUGAUUUUUUUUCCGUUAUUUGUUUGGUUUGUUUGCUUCUUUUGCGAGCUGUACUAGAUUGCAGACUUGGCUACACUUUAUUUUGUGUUAAUAAAAUGGCCGCAUGCAUCAUUAUGAUGCAGAGGCCGAGGGUCUUCCUCCUUUUCCAAAAAAGAAACCCUUAAUUCCUUUAAAAAAAAUUUUGUUGCACAUAUACUUCCUUAAUUAAAAAAUAUAGGAUGAUCUAUGUUUUAUUUUCUGAAUUAGGAAUAUAUAGACACGUUUGAGUGUGUUCACUAAGUUCAGUUUAUAUAUAGUUCAUACUAGGAAACAUGUCCGUGCCUUGCAACAGGAAAAUGAUAAUAAUCAAUCAACAUAUACACAUUAGAUUAUGUAGUUUUUUUCCCGCAAAAAAACGAUUAUGUAGUUUUCUUAUUAAUAAUUCCAUGAAGUCCACUUAACAUUGCUUAAGCUCGACUUUCAAAUUAGUAACCAUCAAGGUUACGCUAUGUCAAGCAGGUGUGAAGCAACAUAAUGAUCAUGUCCUAAAGUGGUCCUCAAAAUUCAGGAGUGGACAUCCACGCUCAUAGUCAUUGGUGUGUAGUAUUUUUUCAAUGAAUUAACAUGCCUUUACCAAAAGAUGUGAAUCAUCCAUACGACCAUGUCCCGGCAAUGUAUAUCUUUAGUGAGUGUAAUAGACAAAAGUCUAAUAGGUGUGAGACACUGCAUCAAUUCUCUCUCUUUUUUUCUUGUGGGGAAGACAAUACACUAAUUCUAAAUUGAACUCUUCUAAAUUCAUCUUUCCUUCACCACAAAGCUCCAAAAACUAAAAAAGUAGAAAACAUUCAAAAGGUUAGUAAAUAUAUUAGUUAAAUGAGAAUAUAAACAGAUGAAGUAGCAAUGUUCAAUAAUAAAUACUUGGACAGGGAAUGAAUUACUCCUCAUGGAUUUGCUGAGGUGCAACACCAUGACCUUACAACAGCAUCCCAUGUCAAGGCGAUGUGGCUUGCAUUCUAUGUGCACAAUAGUUGUGGUCAAACGCUGCUCCAAGUGUAGUAUUCUCUAAUCGAAUCCAGCGAUGCAGUAGCACCUCUAUGGACGUAACUCAACUGCAUGAACACAUCCUGCUGCAACGAUGCUCAUAAUGGCCGAUAGCAGGCUCUACUCGACUGCUCCUGCAAGGAUGUCAUGCUGAACCCCCCGACUCCUUGCUGGCCAACACCAGUUUAAAGCCAGAUAAAACCAGUCAUAGAAAAUAUGCCAGUGAUCCUAAAAGAUUAAAAUAUAUGAUGUCAAAUGCAAGGGACGGUGAUCAGAGGGCCAUAAUGCCAGCAACCAGCCAACGGCACGUAGAGGCACUUUUUAUGUUGUUUUCGUACAGACUAAAAUCCAGAAAAAAUAUGUGCUUAAAUAACACCUUUUUUGCAUCAGAGACUUGUAUAUAGUUGUAUAGACUGGCUAAAUAGCUUGUUCAAUAUAAUCUGGUCUGCAUAAGCAAGUUGCUCUACUGCCUAUUCACAACCUACCUUCCUUUAACUUCAAUUCAAAUGUUUCAUGGCAUGCUUAUCAAUCAACCAGAGUAACCGCAGCAUGAAGUUUCACAUACACAAGACCAAUUCAUCAAAACAAAAAAAACUUAAUAAUAGGACCAGGUUUUGCAAGUCCUGGACUGUGUCAUUGGUUCUGUUAGACAUUAUAACUUCACACGUCUUAAGAUUAAUUAAUGAGAUUUAUCUGUUGUCUCAAUAAAUAUAUGAUCAAACUUGUCUCCCUUUUGCUUCACCAACUUCAGAAGGAUUUCUACAAGAGCCCCCUCGGAUAGUACAACACAACAGCAAGUAUUCACCACCACAAUGUUUUCAGCAAAGGAUGAAUGAACAACAAUCCUCUUCCCAUGUUGCGAUGUUAAAAUAUGAUUCAGAAGGGUUGUCUGUGAAAGAGAGAGUGAGAGAUUUAAGAGCUAAGAUUAGCUAAUCUUAACAAAAACUAUUUAUUUAAAUCCACACUGGCUGUAAUGAUUAUAUUGAUAGCGCAUCAUUUUCUCAAUCCUGAAUUCCUAUUGUGAUCACCUAGGCAUUACUGGACAAUUGGUUUAGAUUUCAGACAUGACUGGCUUCCAUAGCCUACAGCUCCAGUUAGUAAGCGAGGCGGAACUUGUAUAUGCCGAGGAAGUCGGUAAUGAACUGAGCAUGUGCUACACAGUAGGCAGAACACUUAGAUCCAAACACAGUGGUCCAUGUAGAACAGCCUCACCGGUGAGAAGGCACUCUUUUCCUACAAAUAUGGUUGCCCUGCACAUCGUCCUUCUCCUCAUACAUUUUUAAAAGGGGGGCCAAGGGAUAAUUAGAGUAAUUAAUUCUACCAGUGUUAGGAUUUCAGAUGGUACCGAGCAGAGUUACCUCCAUAUCCCAACUAUCAACAUCGUCAACACACUCAGCACACUGAUUAUGCCAAGGCAAUUCGAAUUUCAAAAUCUGUCCUGAUGCCUCAAGAUGUCUUUUGUUCUUCAAUCGCAAAUCUCAAAUAAGCUCUGGAUAAACAAAACCAUGGAAACAUGAGCAAGUUCUAAACUAUGUUUGUGUGGACACAACUAAGGGAAAGUAAUGGCCUAAUUCGGUUCUUUCUAAUACAGUAUGAUAUAUGGACACAAUUUCUAAGAAAAUAAAUACGGAUUGUGGGCACAUGCAUGAUACCUUUGCAUGCUCAAACGGACUGGUCGCAUCGAGGAUAAUUAAGCUCCCAAUGCUAGCAAGUAAUAAUUCUUAUAUAUCUCUAGAACCAAUUUCUUCACGCAUGGUUUUGGAAUAUUGCUACCAUGUCAUUUCUUUUGCUCUUCCAUAGGUAUACUUCUUCAUCUUCAGCUUCAACAAUUUUUUGCUGAACCAUCAGACAACACCACCAAUAUCAACAAACAAGAUUAAAAUAACCAAAAUUUGGUUUCGCACACAGUGAGAGACAACGGGCUGGGGCGAUUAGCACAGGAUUUUCCGACGGCGUGCAGGAGCAGGGCCUGGACAACGUAUGGAAAAAAACUACCAACGUAUGGAACCCCCCUUUUCCUAGAAGGAACCGCGAAGCAAUCCCACCAUCCGGCAUCUGCCUGGGUAGUGGGCUCCAUCUCAUCUCAUCUCAUCUGACUAUAAGUUGAGGACUACUCCCUCCGUAAACUAAUAUAAGAACAUUUAAAUAACUAAAAGUAGUGAUCUAAACGCUUUUAUAUUAGUUUACAGAGGGAGUAGAGUGUUAUGGCCGCAUCGUCGUCGCCGUCCCCAGUUCACGUUCACUUUGCACCUUUCCUCUCGCCUUGCGCCACACCCGCAAAAACCCUAACUCCGGAGGCACCAUCAUCAGUCAUCACAUCGCCGGGCGAGAUGUGCGGGCGCCAGAAGGGCGGCGACAUCGAGGCGGGGACCUCCGGUGGCACUACUGGCACCGCGGUGCCGGCGCUGGCGCAGGUGCUGGCGCAGGUGCUGUACCCCGGCAUGGCGUAGAGCCCUGCGCUGUGCUGGGCGCUCAUCCGGAAGAUCUACGUCAUCCUCUCCCUGCAGCUUCUCCUCACUGCCGUCAUCGCGGCCGUCGUCGUCAAGGUCCCCGCCAUCCCCCACUUCUUCGUCUCCUCCUACGCCGGCCUCGGGCUCUACAUCUUCAUCCCCAUCCUCCCCAUCAUCGUCUCCUCCUAGGCCUGCCUCUCUCUCUGCACAAAAUUACGCACGGUAUGUUACUGCCUGUUAUACACAAGGUUGACCGCCGUCUUUCGGGCUGGCUGGCUACUUUUUUAUCCUUAGGGGGGAGGUUGACCCUCAUCAAUUCAGUGCUCGCUGGCAUCCCAAGUUAUUUCAUGUCUUGCUUUGCCUGGCCCAAGGAGUCUCUCGGGAAGUUGGAAAGUCUCUUACGUGCUUUUUUCUGGCAAGGCAAGAACAAGGUCAAAGGUGGCCAAUGCUUAGUGGCUUGGGAUACAGUCUCGUUGCCUCGUAUCAAUGGUGGUUUAGGUAUCCGUCAAAUGCAUGCUCACAACCAAGCUAUGAUGUGCAAGUUCGUCUCCAAAGUUCUACAAGGUUCGGACAUACCAUGUUAUAAAUGGUUCGCCACACAUUACUGCCGAGCUAUUCUUCCACAGAGUGCUAAUAGCAGAGAUACUGCCAUCUGGAAAGGGUUUAAAGAUCUCGUUCCUAUGGUUAUCAACUCUUCUAAGUGUGCUCUAGGGUCUGGUCGUUUGAUUUCCUUCUGGAAGGACCAAUGGCUUGAAGUGGGCCGUUUAUAUCAGAUGUUUCCUACGCUGUAUUCCUUCGCGAUCCAGCCAGCCUGCUCCGUGCACUCACAACAUUCCAAUGGUUCAUGGGCUGUUCAGCUACACCCUAAUCUCUCUCAAACGGCCUCAGCUGAGCUAGUUGUUCUGCAUGGUUUGUUGUUGGGCAUAGCUCCGAACUUACUGCAUGAGGACAAGCGGUCUACUUCUGUGAGCUCUGGGCAGCUUUGCACUGGAUACUUCUACAGGCUGCUCACUUUCCGGGGGGUUUUGACAACUCUUGAAACAUGGGUUUGGGAUGCGUUGAUUCCUCUCAAACACAGAAUCUUCCUAUGGCUUGCUUUCCGUGGGCGCCUAAACACUAAAGAUAAUAUGGUAAAGAAGGGUUGGUCUGAGGCUUCCCCGUUUGCACAUUGUGACACUUGCCCCGCUGUUGAGUCAAUCGAUCACUUAAUACUACGAUGUACAUCCGCCAGUGUUCUUUGGGGCAAGUUGGAGCUGGACGUUUUGGCUUGCUCGGCUACUAACGUUCUGUCUUUUAUGGAGCAAGCGCAAUACCAGCUCAGAUUCAAACACAAAUGGAAUGUUGCUUUCGCGGCUUGCGCUAUCACCCUGUGGCAUGCUAGAAAUGACAGAGUCUUCAACUCAAAAGUCUGGUCUGUAACAUACACUUGUUUAUAUGCCGCAGACAUGCUCCAUCUUUGGACUUUCAGAACUCAAAGCCAAUGCACCAGGGAGGUUCUACAGGUUUGGAGACAAAAGCUGCUGCAUAGUUUGUAGACGACUGAUGUAAUCUUCCCCUCCUCUCUUCCUUCCUUUCUUCCUUCUUUUCCCGUUUCGAUCUGCUUGUGUUUUGCACCUUGGUGCACCACACAAGCUGUUCUUGUACUUGUACCUGUUACUUCAUCAGGCUCUGGCCUGUUUUGAAAUAUAAGGUCGGCAGCCUGCCACCUUCCUUGUUUCAAAAAAAGAAUUCAAGCUACCACCAUCUUUUUUGUUACGUCGCUGCAGUUUCGAUCCAUCCGAUUAUAGAGUUUCCGUCUCGAAUGUAUUCCAUUCUUCUUACUAUUGCGUUUAGAAGAAGGGAAAGUUGUGGCUGUUAAUUUUUGAGGUCCUUGGUUAGAGGACAGGAGUCACAGGACUAGCUAGCUUUCACUUUGCGUGCACUGCUCUGAAUUACCUUUGGAUGCCGUCGCGUCCCCCCAAAGCUAUAUAUGUACUCUUAAUUGCAACCCCUGAUUUUGGCAGUGAAUUGCAGAGCAUGUACUCUUAAUUUUGCUUUACUAGAAUGGGACAUGGUUGCUUUGUGAAUUGCAGCAGCUGUAUAAUCUGUUACUAAAAUGCUUCUUAAUUUUCUUAUGCAGUGCUGUGCCCGUUGUACUUCUACAGCCAGACGCACCCAGUCAACCUGCUGCUGCUCGGCGUCUUCACAGUGGCCAUCAGCUUCGCUGUGGGCAUGACAUGUGCCUUCACUAGUGGUAAUUGUCUUCCCACCAUGUAUUCUGUUCCUCCUUGUUCUUACUUGAGUCACUCUACUACAUGCUCAUGUAAAUCAGCACUCUCUAAUGCCCCUCUCGUUGUGUUAGUUCAUUACAUAUGCAUGACUAGUAAAUAUUUUUCCUACCAUUAGCUUGUUAUAAUCACUAUGUAUGGCAUUUGGAUAGUUGCUGCCAAUUUGCUAUAUAUGGCCAUGCAAAUGUUAGGAAGACACUGCAAGGCAGCCCAUGUGAUGUGACUAGCUGAUGCAUUUCCCCAGACUCUGCUGAGGCCUUGAGGGUAGUAUUGCCAGCUAGUAGGAUUACUUUUUCCCCAGACUCUAGCUUAAACUUUUAUCAAAAUGAAAGGAAUUUUUCACAUGAUAUCAGUCCUUCAAAGGUUAUUUUUAAAGGUACUCCAUGCAUGUGCUGGUUAAAUCUCAUUGGAUUAAAGUGAUUGAAAAUACACAAUCUUUCGAUUUAGGCAAAGUUAUGUUGUCAGGCACUCUGUGAUCUGUCAUCCAUUUUCAUACCACAGAAUUUUGGGAUUGUACCAAUUCUGAGGUUCAUUUUAGCUUGUACCACAUUGCAGGAGGUUUAUUUCAUUAGAUUUACAUGAAAGUUUCUUUGGUAAAGAGGUGUAUGAGAUGAUAGGAAAGCAAUUAAUUCAUUUAUUAGGCCUGCUCAUAUAUGAUAUAUAUGUGCACAGGCAAGGUCAUUUUGGAAGCUGCGAUUCUUACCACGGUGGUUGUCUUCAGCCUCAUUGCUUACACCUUCUGGGCUGCAAGGAGGGGCAAGGACUUCAGCUUCCUUGGCCCUUUCCUAUUUGCUUCUCUCAUCAUGCUGCUCGUCUUUGGGUUCAUUCAGGUUAGAUGCAGUUUCUCUAGUUAGGUGUGUCGUCCAUUCAUCUAUCUGUCUUCUCUAUUAUUCUACAAUAAGUACUGAUCAAGUGAUCAUGGCUUCUCUAAAUAUGCAGAUCCUCUUUGUUAAACAUUGUACAUACGGUAUAACUAUAAACCGUAUAUGUGUGGCGUGCGUGUAGUUGUUGUAACAAUAGUUGGGCUGUUGAGAUUGCAUCUUAUCUAGAUUGUGUCUUGGAGAUCAAUCCACAGCCCAACAACCUGUAUAUCUCGCGGCGUCUUGCCUAUAUUAACAUGCACGCGUCCCUGCUGAACGCAUACGCUUUAGCCUCAUCUUUCUACAUGGUAUACAGAGCCUCUCUCUUCCAACCCAUCUAGUUAUGUCAUCCUCCUCCUCCACCGUCGCCAUGGCCUCCCCUUCCCUCGCAUCGCUUGGCCACACCAUCACCGAAAAGCUCACCAGGGAGAACUUCCUGGUAUGGAAGGCGCAAGUCCUGCCGCAUAUCAAAGCGGCAGGGAUGAUGGGCUACCUCGACGGCUCGAUCAAGGAGCCGGCCGCCACCCUCGUCUCUGAGAAGGAUCUCGGAGACGGGAAGAAGGAGAUGGUCACCACGCCAAACCCGGAGUAUGUCAUCUGGGUCACGCAAGAUCAACAGGUGCUCACGUUCCUGAUUGUUUCUCUUUCUCGCGACGUUCUCAUGCAAGUCUCCAACCACACCACCUCUGUUAGCAUCUGGCAAGCUCUGCUCCAAAGUUUUUCAUCGCAGUCCAGGGCGCGUACCAUUCAGCUUCACUCCGCCCUGGGUAACACGCGCAAGGGGGAUCUCUCGGCCGCAGCAUACUUCACCAAGAUGAAGGGCAUCGCCGAUGAACUCGCCGCCGCUGGGAAGCCCCUUGGAGAAGACGACCUCGUCGACCAAAUUCUCCAAGGUCUGGUGCAUGAACCGGACUACAACGGUUUCGUUUUUGCCAUCUCCACACACGCUGCCAUGGAUCAACAGAUCGGGCUCACGGAGCUCUUCUCGUUGCUCUUGGCGGCCGAGGCCCGCAUCACCGCCCAAUAGGCGGCCUUCUCCCCCAACCACUCCGCCAAUCUUGCAUCUCGUGGCGGUGGCCGCGGUCGUGGUGGCUACAACAACAACGGCAGCUACACUAGUAGAAAACAGGGCUAUGGUCCAGGCCGGCUCAGCCCAUUAGUCCCGGUUCAGUGUAGAACCGGGACCAAUGUGGGCAUUGGUCCCGGUUCGUGAGCCCAGGGGGCCGGCCGGGCCACGUGGACCAUUGGUCUCGGUUCGUCUGGACCUUUUGGUCCCGGUUGGUGGGACGAACCGGGACCAAUGUGCCUUGCUCCUGGCCCACCACCAUUGGUCCCGGUUGGUGGCUUGAACUGGGACCAAAGGCUUCCCUUUAGUCCCGGUUCAUGUCAUCAACCGGGACCAAUGAGGUGCCUAUAUAUACCCCCUCGCGCAAGAGCAGAGCACAGUGCUCUGUUUUUUCUGGCCGAGGGGGAGAGGGCUUUGUGGUGCUCUAGCUCACCUCCUAUGCACAUGAGGUGUUCAAUGGAAUGCCCGAGCCACGCUACUUAAGCUUUCUCCUCUCGAAGAUCGACCUCCAAGCUCCAUUUUCCUCGAGAUUUGUCUAGAUUUAGCGGUCCGUCACGCCCCGUCCCCGUCUUCACCGCCGUCGAUCACCCGCGCCGAUCUCAUCACCGACACCACUGUGGUGAGCCUCUUGUUCUUAUCUUCUUUCUGAAAGGAAAAAUAUUCUUACUUGUAUGUUUAGAUAGAUACUUGUAUCAUUUUCUUACAUUUAUUAUUGCAUCUUAUAUAGUGCAAUGGUUUUGGUAUCCGCCCCCGUCGGUCCUCGUCCUGUCUAUGAUUCGGAUUUGGUAUGUAUAUUAUCUUUAUAACUAUUGGUUCAUUUAUUGUUUAUGAAAAUUAUGCCGACCAACGUGACAUAGAUUUUAUUUAUCUAGGAUGUAUGUGAAUCGGAAAUGCCAACCGACCCUAUUGUCGAGAGGUUAAAUUUAGUUGAAGAAGAAAACAAUUUGUUGAAGGAAAAAAUUAAAAAAAAAUUAAGGAGGAGAAGAUGAUAUUGGAGUUGCAUGUUGCGGAUGUCGUCGAUGAUCACAAGAUCAAGAUGGAUGCAAUGCGCUUGAAGAUUAGAAAGAUUAGAAAAUAUGCCAUUCAUACCAAGGCUUGGUAUCAUUAUGCCGUUGGAUCAAUUGUUACCUUGGUUGCGAUUAUGAUCGCAUUUGUUUUCGCAUUGAAAUGUUUUACAUAGUUUCAAUGUAUGGUUUAAUUAAUUAGAUGCUCUGGAGAGCUAUAUGUUGUUAGAUGAGAACUAUGUAUGCACUUUGGUUUUAAUGUGAUGAUGAACUUCUAUUAAUUUGGACACUUAAUUAUAUAUAAUGCACGCAGAUGAACCGGCAAUGGAGGUACGGUGACAGACACACCCGCGAGUACAUUAAGGGCGUGCAUGAGUUUCUCGAUGCGGCUGAGGCAAACAAGCAGAAUGGUUUUAUGUGUUGUCCAUGCACUGAAUGUGGGAAUACGAGGUCUUACUCUAACCGGAAAAUCCUUCACUCCCACCUGCUUUACAAGGGUUUCAUGCCACACUAUAAUGUUUGGACGAGGCACGGAGAAAUAGGGGUUAUGAUGGAAGACGGCGAAGAAGAAGAGUACGAUGACAACUAUGUGCCCCCUGAAUAUGGUGAUGCUGCAACGGGGGGAGCUGGUGAAGAUCAAGAGGAACCAGACGAUGUGCCCAAUGAUGCUGCCACGGGUGAAGCUGCUGAAGAUCAAGAGGAACCAGACGAUGUGCCCGAUGAUGAUGAUCUCCGCCGAGUCAUUGUCGAUGCAAGGACGCAAUGCAUUAGUCAAAAGGAGAAGCUGAAGUUUGAUCGCAUGUUAGAGGAUCACAAAAAAGGGUUAUACCCCAAUUGCGAAGAUGGCAAUACAAAGCUCGGUACCGUACUGGAAUUGCUGCAGUGGAAGGCAGAGAAUGCUAUGGCUGACAAAGGAUUUGAGAAGCUAGUAAAAAUAUUGAAGAAGAAGCUUCCAAAGGAUAACGAAUUGCCCGACAGUACAUACGCAGCAAAGAAGGUCGUAUGCCCUCUAGGAUUGGAGGUGGAGAAGAUACAUGCAUGCCCUAAUGACUGCAUCCUCUACCGCGGUGCAUACAAGGAUCUGAACGCAUGCCCGGUAUGCGGUGCGUUGCGGUAUAAGAUCAGACGAGAUGACCCUGGUGAUGUUGACGGCGAGCCCCUCAGGAAGAGGGUUCCUGCGAAGGUGAUGUGGUAUGCUCCUAUAAUACCACGGUUGAAACGUCUGUUCAAAAACUAAGAGCACGCCAAGUUGAUGCGAUGGCACAGUGAGAACCGAAAGAAAGAUGGGAAGUUGAGAGCACCCGCUGACGGGUCGCAGUGGAGAAAAAUUGAGAGAAAGUACUGGGAUGAGUUUGCAAAGGACCCAAGGAAUGUAUGGUUUGCUUUAAGCGCGGAUGGCAUUAAUCCUUUCGGGGAUCAGAGCAGCAAUCACAACACCUGGCCCGUGACUCUAUGUAUGUAUAACCUUCCUCCUUGGAUGUGCAUGAAGCGGAAGUUCAUUAUGAUGCCAGUUCUCAUCCAAGGCCCUAAGCAACCCGGCAACGAAAUUGAUGUGUACCUAAGGCCAUUAGUUGAAGAACUUUUACAACUGUGGAAUGGAAAUGGUGUACGUAUGUGGGAUGAGCAUAGACAUGAGGAAUUUAACCUUAAGGCGUUGCUGUUCGUGACCAUCAACGAUUGGCCCUCUCUCAGUAACCUUUCAGGACAGACAAACAAAGGAUACCACGCAUGCACGCACCGUUUAGAUGACACUGAAAGUAUAUACCUGGACAAAUGCAGGAAGAAUGUGUACCUAGGCCAUCGUCGAUUUCUUUCGACCAACCAUCAAUGUCGAAAGAAAGGCAAGCAUUUCAAAGGCGAGGCAGAUCACCGGAAGAAGCCUGCCAUGCGCACCGGUGAUCACGUGCUUGCUAUGGUCAAUGAUUUACACUACGUAAUCUUUGGAAAGGGUCCCGGUGGACUAGCUGUUCCGAAUGACGCUGAGGGACACACACCCAUGUGGAAGAAGAAAUCUAUAUUUUGGGACCUACCCUACUGGAAAGACCUAGAGGUCCGCUCCUCGAUCGACGUGAUGCACGUGACGAAGAACCUUUGCGUGAACCUGCUAGGCUUCUUGGGCGUGUAUGGGAAGACAAAAGAUACACCUAAGGCACGAGAGGACCUGCAACAUUUGCACGAAAAAGACGGCAUGCCUCCGAAGUAGUAUAAAGGUCCUGCCAGCUACGCUCUUACGAAAGAAGAGAAAGAAAUCUUCUUUGAAUGCCUGCUCAGUAUGAAGGUCACGACUGGCUUCUCGUCGAAUAUAAAGGGAAUAAUAAAUAUGCCAGAGAAAAAGUUUCAAAACCUAAAGUCUCAUGACUGCCACGUGAUUAUGACGCAACUGCUUUCGGUUGCAUUGAGGGGGCUUCUACCGGAAAACGUCCGAUUAGCCAUUGUGAAGCUAUGUGCAUUCCUCGAUGCAAUCUCUCAGAAGGUGAUCGAUCCAGAAAUCGUACCAAGGCUAAGGAGUGAUGUGGCGCAAUGUCUUGUCAGUUUCGAGCUGGUGUUCCCACCAUCCUUCUUCAAUAUCAUGACGCACGUCCUAGUUCAUCUAGUCGACGAGAUUGUCAUCCUGGGGCCCGUAUACACAAUAUGUUCCCCUUUGAGAGGUUCAUGGGAGUCCUAAAGAAAUAUGUCCGUAACCGCGCUAGGCCAGAAGGAAGCAUCUCCAUGGGCCAUCAAACAAAGGAUGUUAUCGGGUUUUGUGUUGACUUCAUUCCUGGUCUUAACAAGAUAGGUCUCCCUAAAUCGCGGUAUGAGGGGACACUGACUGGAAAAGGCACUCUUGGAAGAGACUCAAUAAUAUGCAGGGACGGAUAUUCUUGGUCUCAAGCACACUACACAGUUCUACAGAACUCUACCUUGGUGACCCCGUAUGUCGAUGAACACAAGAACAGUCUGCGCUCCAAACACCCGGAGCAGUGCGACGACUGGAUUACAUGUGAACACAUCACGACUUUCAGCAGUUGGUUGGAAACACGUCUCAGAGGUGACAACACUGUUUGUGAUGAGUUGUACUUGUUGUCCAGGGGACCAUCUUUGACUGUAUUGACUUACAAAGGAUACGAGAUAAAUGGGAAUACAUUUUACACGAUCGCCCAAGAUCAAAAGAGCACCAACCAAAAUAGCGGUGUCCGCUUUGAUGCAGCAACCGAGAGCGGAAAGGACACAUAUUAUGGUUACAUAGUGGACAUAUGGGAACUUGACUACGGACCUGAUUUUAAGGUCCCUUUGUUUAAGUGCAAAUGGGUCAAUCUGUUAGGCGGAGGGGUACAGGUAGACCCACAGUACGGAAUGACAACAGUGGAUCUGAAAAAUCUUGGGUACAGUGACGAACCGUUCGUCCUAGCCAAUGAUGUGGCACAGGUUAUCUAUGUGAAGGACAUGUCUACCAAACCGAGAAAAAGAAAAGAUAAGGAAGCAAAUACAUCAUAAGAUGAGCCAAAGCGCCACAUAGUUCUUUCAGGAAAAAGGGACAUCCUGGGAGUGGACGGCAAGACAGACAUGUCUGAAGAUUAUGAAAAGUUUCAUGAAAUUCCUCCCUUCAAUGUCAAGGCUGACCCAAGCAUCCUGAUAAACAAUGAAGAUUAUCCAUGGUUACGGCGCAAUAAGCAAAUGACACAAGCGAAGAAAAAGUGAAGACUCUCUCCCGCAAUAAGCAAAUGCUAUGUGGGUGAAAUUAUGAUACCAUCCCAACUUUCAACUUUUUCAGAGUUCAUUUGAAAUGCUUUCAUGUCUUAUGGUUCGAAACUUUGAUACUUCGAAAGUGAUUGUCCAUUUUGUACACGAAGUGCAUCAAGUUUUUGUCGUAACCCUUUGUCAUGUUCCAUUUUUGGAACAUGCUAUGUGGGUGAAAUGAUGAUACCAUGCCAACUUUCAACCUUUUCAGAGUUCAUUUUGAAAUGCUUUCCAAUUUCAGAGUCAUUUAGUUCAAAGAAUGAAUUAAUAGCAAACAGAAUGAACUACAAAACUUUUAUGAAAAUAAAAACAAUCAAUUAAAAUAUUAUGUUAUGAUCAACUAAAAUAAAACUAUAAUAUUCUUCAAUAGCAAAAAGAAUAUAAUUUUUGUGAUCUAAAAUCAAACUAUAAGUAUUUAAUUGUAAGUAUAAAUAAAAAAUAAAUAGCAAAGAAGAAAAAAGUUCUAUUUUUAUAGUAAAGUUAUUCAUAAACUAGUGAUUCACACAAAUUUUAUAAAAUUCCAAUUUAAACUAUUCAAAAUUUUAAAACUAAUGCCACUAACAGAAAGUUUAUAAUUUUUGUGACCUAAAAGCAAAAAGAAAUCACUAAAAAACUAUAAGNNNNNNNNNNNNNNNNNNNNNNNNNNNNNNNNNNNNNNNNNNNNNNNNNNNNNNNNNNNNNNNNNNNNNNNNNNNNNNNNNNNNNNNNNNNNNNNNNNNNNNNNNNNNNNNNNNNNNNNNNNNNNNNNNNNNNNNNNNNNNNNNNNNNNNNNNNNNNNNNNNNNNNNNNNNNNNNNNNNNNNNNNNNNNNNNNNNNNNNNNNNNNNNNNNNNNNNNNNNNNNNNNNNNNNNNNNNNNNNNNNNNNNNNNNNNNNNNNNNNNNNNNNNNNNNNNNNNNNNNNNNNNNNNNNNNNNNNNNNNNNNNNNNNNNNNNNNNNNNNNNNNNNNNNNNNNNNNNNNNNNNNNNNNNNNNNNNNNNNNNNNNNNNNNNNNNNNNNNNNNNNNNNNNNNNNNNNNNNNNNNNNNNNNNNNNNNNNNNNNNNNNNNNNNNNNNNNNNNNNNNNNNNNNNNNNNNNNNNNNNNNNNNNNNNNNNNNNNNNNNNNNNNNNNNNNNNNNNNNNNNNNNNNNNNNNNNNNNNNNNNNNNNNNNNNNNNNNNNNNNNNNNNNNNNNNNNNNNNNNNNNNNNNNNNNNNNNNNNNNNNNNNNNNNNNNNNNNNNNNNNNNNNNNNNNNNNNNNNNNNNNNNNNNNNNNNNNNNNNNNNNNNNNNNNNNNNNNNNNNNNNNNNNNNNNNNNNNNNNNNNNNNNNNNNNNNNNNNNNNNNNNNNNNNNNNNNNNNNNNNNNNNNNNNNNNNNNNNNNNNNNNNNNNNNNNNNNNNNNNNNNNNNNNNNNNNNNNNNNNNNNNNNNNNNNNNNNNNNNNNNNNNNNNNNNNNNNNNNNNNNNNNNNNNNNNNNNNNNNNNNNNNNNNNNNNNNNNNNNNNNNNNNNNNNNNNNNNNNNNNNNNNNNNNNNNNNNNNNNNNNNNNNNNNNNNNNNNNNNNNNNNNNNNNNNNNNNNNNNNNNNNNNNNNNNNNNNNNNNNNNNNNNNNNNNNNNNNNNNNNNNNNNNNNNNNNNNNNNNNNNNNNNNNNNNNNNNNNNNNNNNNNNNNNNNNNNNNNNNNNNNNNNNNNNNNNNNNNNNNNNNNNNNNNNNNNNNNNNNNNNNNNNNNNNNNNNNNNNNNNNNNNNNNNNNNNNNNNNNNNNNNNNNNNNNNNNNNNNUAUAUAUAUGUUCAGAAAAGUUCUAUAUGUAUGUGGCUAUGUAUGUGUAUGUGGCUAUGUGAAUAUGCAAAGAAGAGGAGAUGAAGAAGAUGAUAUAUUUUCUUAUUCGUGGGUGUGUCGAGAGGGUCAUCGAUAACUUUAGUGAAUUUUAGGUUAUUUUCAUUUUAGGUCAUUUUAGGCGGGGAAGAAGGGGAAGAAGAGGGAGAAGAAGAGGGGGUCGAGAGGGGGUCUAGGGUCGCCGAGGGGUCGAGGGUCGUCGAACAUGAGAGGAGGAAGAGGAUAAAAAAAGAAGAGGAAUAAGAAAAGAAAAAAAGAGGAGAAGAAAGAAUAGAGGAGAAGAUCUCCUCUAUUCUUUCUUCUCCUCUUUUUUUCUUCUUCUUCCUCUUUUUUUUAUCGGGAACGAGGGUCGUCGAGGGUCGCCGAGCGGUAGAGGAAGAAACAUGCUGCAAGUUUGGGUUGAUCAGCCAGCACUGCCUCCUCCUAUGUGUACACAUACCAGGUCUCAAAGUGGCAUUGCAAGACCCAAAGUUUAUAAAGAUGGUUGUGUUCGUUGGGGGUCUUUUUGUGCUGCAGGUGAACCGAGAACUUUACAGGAUGCUCUUGGUGACCCAAAGUGGAAGAAGGCGAUGGACGAGGAGUACUCUGCUCUUAUGGAUAACAAAACAUGGCGUCUUGUUCCACCUGUCAAAGGGAGAAAUGUGAUUGACUGCAAGUGGGUGUACAAGAUUAAGAGGAAGUCUGAUGGCACUAUUGACAGGUACAAGGCCCGGUUAGUUGCCAAAGGCUUUAAGCAAAGGUAUGGUGUGGACUAUGAAGACACCUUUAGCCCCGUGGUAAAAGCUGCUACUAUCCGUUUAGUUCUUUCCAUUGCAAUUUCUCGGAAUUGGUGCAUGCGUCAACUAGAUGUAAAGAACGCGUUUUUGCAUGGUGUUCUGGAAGAGGAAGUUUUCACGAGGCAACCUCCUGGGUAUGAGAGCUCAGUCUCACCACGACACGUCUGCAAGCUUGAUAAAGCUCUUUAUGGCCUGAAACAAGCACCAAGAGCCUGGUAUUAUCGUUUGUAUUCCAAACUUCGGUCUCUUGGCUUUCUUGCUUCUAAAGGAGAUACCUCAUUGUUUUUCUAUCAUAAGCAUGGAGUAACUAUCUUUAUGCUGAUAUACACGUUGAUGAUAUUAUCGUUACAAGCUCUUCACUCAAAGCAGUUGCAGCUCUUCUCAAGGAUUUGAGUAUGUAUUUUGCACUCAAGGACUUGGGUGCUUUGCAUUUCUUUCUUGGUAUUGAGGUGAAAAAUAUUGCACGUGGAGUCCUUUUGUCACAGGAAAAAUAUGUGCAAGAGAUACUUCAGCGGAUGGGCAUGACUGGAUGCAAACCUUCGCCUACACCCAUGUCUACCUCCGAGAAGUUAUCUCUUCACGAUGGAGCUAUCCUCACAGCCGAAGAUUCCACCAAGUACAGGAGCAUCGUGGGAGCACUACAGUACCUAACCUUGACGCGGCCAGAUAUUGCAUAUGCUGUUAACAAGGUCUGUCAGUUUUUGCAUGCUCCUCCUACUGUUCAUUGGACUGCAGUAAAACGGAUACUCAGAUAUCUUCAAGGAACACGGAGUCAUGGGCUUAAGCUUUGCAAGUCAGAUUCCAUGCUUGUUAGUGCGUUCUCUGAUGCAGAUUGGGCAGGCUGUCCUGAUGACAGGAGAUCUACAGGAGGCUUUGCAGUUUUUCUUGGAGGUAACCUGAUUUCAUGGAGUGCCCGUAAGCAGGCUACCGUUUCUAGGUCCAGCAUAGAAGCUGAGUACAAGGCUCUAGCUAAUGCCACUGCUGAAGUAAUAUGGGCAAACACAUGUUGACGGAGUUGGGUGUUUCUCAUCCCAAGGCAGCAUCACUAUGGUGUGACAAUUUGGGUGCCACAUAUCUGUCUACCAACCCUGUUUUCCAUGCUAGGACGAAGCAUAUCGAGAUAGACUAUCACUUUGUUCGGGAACGAGUAGCCAACAAGCUGUUGAAUGUUCGCUUUGUUCCUACUGGUGAUCAAGUUGCAGAUGGGUUUACCAAACCCCUUUCUUUGAGGCAGCUGGAGGCAUUUCGACGCAAUCUCAACUUAGAUAAGUUGUGAUUGAGGGGGAGUGUUAAACAUUGUACAUACGGUAUAACUAUAACCAUAUAUGUGUGGCUUGCGUGUAGUUGUUGUAACAAUAGUUGGGCUGUUGAGAUUGCAUCUUAUCUAGAUUGUGUCUUGGAGAUCAAUCCACAACCCAACAACCUGUAUAUCUCGCGGCGUCUUGCCUAUAUUAACAUGCACGCGUCCCUGCUGAACGCAUACGCUUUAGCCUCAUCUUUCUACACUCUUCCCGCCGGGCAAGCUGUCUCACAUGAUCUAUGGCGCGCUGGCGUCACUCGUCUUCAGUGGCUACAUUGUCUAUGACACGGACAACAUCAUCAAGCGUUACACGUAUGACGAGUAUGUCUGGGCUGCCGUAUCGCUCUACCUUGACAUCAUCAAUCUGUUCAUGGCACUGAUGAACCUGUUUAGCGCGGGUGACAGCUAAAGCACACCCCCUGCCCCUGACUGUUCACAAGUCCUUGACUGAAGAACUGUAUAGGCGCUUGUUAGUUUAGUUGAGUUGAUCCCUAGCUAAGAGAGGAAACAUAGGAGAACUGAUGUGUGUUGGUUCUAUGGAUGGCGGAUGUGAUGUUGGAUUUACGGGGUCUUUCAUAUCCUGGAUUGGUGGUGUGCUACUGAGUUAGUGAGUUUACGAUAUCAUAUCUUACUAUAUGACUGAUAUCAUUUCUUACUAUGAAUGACUGAUAUCAUUUGUGUGGCCACAUGACUUCUGGACUGGUCUCUUGUCCCGCCGUACGUGUGGGUAACACGUUUGAAUCGGAACUAUUCAAUGGGUAAUGAUUUGGUAGUGUACGUACCACUUCAAAGAAGAUGGUGCUUGUAGAUUUCAUCCGUCAACCUUUAUGUUAGCACUGAUUAAUGACGUGACUGAUUCAACCUCAUGGGAGCACCCUCCCCCCUCCCCCCAAAGAAAAAACUCCAGCUGCUUGUACUACAUCACACGCCCGCGCAUCAUUGCGACAGUGGAGGACAAGCUCGAACGAGGACGCGAGGCAGCAACACACGGAUGGGUGGAGAAAAGGGGUAAAUGAAUAUGGCUAGGGUUUGGGGUCUGUCAAUUGGCUUUUACUAGACGAGAGCGGCUCCUCAGGCGGCGCGUCGCCUGUCGCGCAAUGGGGGUGCACUGGUUCCCCGUGUGUAUGGCACUGGUGGAAAAACAGGCUUCCGUCCAGCCCCAUAAGUCGCGAAGCUGUAGGAACCGCGACUAAUGGGACCUUUAGUCGCGGUUCUGGAGGUGAACCGCGACCAAAGGCCUGGGCCCAGGGCGCUCGGUGGCCAGCUGGCGCACGUGAGGGUCUUUAGUCGCGGUUGGCCAGGACAACCGCGACUAAAGGCCUUCGGGCACCUUUAGUCACGGUUUGCCAGGCCAACCGCAACUAAAGCCCCUCCCCUAUAUAUACCCAUCCAGCAGCCAACACUUAGCCAUUUGGAGCCAUUCUCUUCACAAGUGGGUGUAGGUUUGCUUUUGGUUCCUCUUAUGCACAUAAGGUGUUUGAUGAAAUGCCCCAAGAGCAUGAAACAAACAUGACAUGAAGUGUUGGAGCCACACUCCUCGAUCGCGGUUAGCAACUUGAUGAACCUUUGAUGUGUCAUUGAUAAAAUAUGCAUGUGUGCAGUUCAUUGUUUAAUUUAUAUUGUUUGUAGCUAGUUAGUUUAACAAAUGCAUGAUGGUUAAUUAUAUAUUUUAUAUUAUAAUAAUACAGAUGAAUCGGCAAUGGAUGUACGGUAACCGACUCUCCGGCGAGUUCACUACGGGUUUGAAAGAUUUCCUCGUAGUGGCUAAUGCGAACAAGCAGGGGGGUUUUGUUAUCUGUCCAUGUGUUAUCUGUAAGAAUCAGAAGGGUUACUCUUCCUCAAGAGAUGUUCACAUGCAUCUGCUUCGGCACGGUUUCAUGCCAAGCUAUAAUUGUUGGACCAAGCAUGGAGAAAGAGGGGUUAUAAUGGAAGAAGAUGAAGAAGGGGAUGAUUUCAUCGAUGAAAGCUAUCUUGCUCAUUUCGGUGAUACUUUCAUGGAGGAUGCUGAAGGUGAAGGGGAAGGUGAAGAAGAGGCACGUGAUGAUCCCGUUGAUGAUCUUGGUCGGACCAUUGCUGAUGCACGGAGACGCUGCGAAACUGAAAAGGAGAGGGAGAAUUUGGAUCGCAUGUUAGAGGAUCACAGAAAGGCGUUGUACCCCGGAUGCGAUGAUGGUCUGAAAAAGCUGGGCUGCACACUGGAUUUGCUGAAAUGGAAGGCAGAGGCAGGUGUAGCUGACUCGGCAUUUGAAAACUUGCUGAAAAUGUUGAAGAAUAUGUUUCCAAAGGAUAACGAGUUGCCCGCCAGUACGUACGCAAUGAGGGAUGCUCAACAGGGGAAGAUCAAGUUCAACAGAGAGAACGACGCGCUGACAAAAGCCCUCGGGAAUCCUGAACACGGAGGACGUGUACGAGGCAUGGGGCACAUUCCGUGGAAAAUAGGGUUCCCCCAGAACGAUGACCCGUACGGUUACAGAAGCCGUAAGAGAAAGAUGGAUCGGGAAGCAGAUGUUGUGGCGCGGUUGGCAUCGGAAAUGGAUGUGAUGAAGAAAACCAUGAGUGUACUAGUAGCCGAAAGAGAUGCAGCUCGGGUGCAGCAUGAAGAUCAUCCAGCGGAUCUCGGAAGCCAGCAGCGGAGAAGCAGCGUGGCUUCCACGGAGGCCCCACCGGCUGGUGCAGAUGCACCGACGAUCGAAAUUACUGCACCGGAGCCUCUGGUGGUCGAAAUUACUGCACCGGAGCCUCUGGUGGUCGAAAUUACUUCACCGGAGCCUCCUCGCUACCCCGUGGACGAUAUAAAGGAGAUGAAAGAAUGUCAUCUGUAUUAUCCUAUCGGGAACAUGUCCAUGAAGGUAGCCAUCGGCAGUGCUUUACCAUGUUUACCUAGAGCACUCCACCACAACAACCCCAUUCAAGAUGGCUAUGCUCGUGUCACGGUGGAGGACAUAGUCCAAGGGUUUGAGGACCUGGAGAUUGACAUUGCUACACCUGAAGGGGAGAAAAGACUUGGAGAUGUCAAGCGCCAUUUCAUUCUAUGGCAAAAGAAGUUUAUCAAGUUUCCAGGCGAGGCGCCAAGGACAACAAGUCCACCCCCCUACGGUGGUGGUGGUGGCGGUGGCGGCGGUGGUGGUGGUGGUGGUGGCGGCGGUUCACCUACACCUCCGUCACGUCAGCCGACGCCGCCCCCCAGUCCACAACGUCCGGCGGGUGAUCAGCCGCCGCCCCCCAGUCCUCGUCCGGCGGGUGAUCAGACGCCGCCCCCCAAUCCACCUCCGGCAAAGAAGCAGAAGCAGUCCUGGAUUAUUAACCCGGACCCUUAUGUACCUAAGACCACAAAGGUACCGGAGCCAUCACCGAAGCCUCUCCCCACAAGGCCUUGGGAACGUAGUGCCGAGGAAGUCGACGCGGCCGCUGCUGCUGAUUUGGAGAAAUGGAAGGCGGACUGCAAGAAGAAAAGAGAGCCCGAGCCCAAGCCAGUAUUUUCUGAUGAGCAAAAGAAGUGGGCUAAGUCAUUUUUGAGCACACCGUCCCAAGCCGCGAAGAAUCUGCCUAACGACUAUGCACGUGAACUUCGCAGGCAGGCACUCAUGUUCAAGGAGAACAAAGAGCGGGAGAAGGUCGAAAGUAAAAAAAGCGGGAAACAAGUUGCCCAGCUCGGGGAACAAAGUAAACAAUCGAUUGCCCCGCUUAUAGUGGAAGCCUUCUGUCCGGAUGCCCCCGAGAUCAUACAAGCUGCGGCAGCACAGGGAUUGACUGUAACGAGUGCCAGAGAACAAGCAGCCAACUUAGGUAUUACUCUUCGUGAACUGUUAGGCCUUGAUGAGGCGCCAGUGAAGGAGGUAGUAAUUACAUAUGUCAAGAAUGGGCCUCUCGUCGAGCCUGCGCAGGAAAAGGAUCUACCUCCACAAAUGAAAGGUCUGCUGAAAUGGUACAAGGGUUACAUAAAAAAUAAAAACGCCAAAGAAUAUAUUUAUGCGGAAGUUAGACAUGAGCAUCACUUCAAACAUUACUAUGUACAAAUUGAACUGAGUGAAUUGUUCCAGCUUUUCAAUCUGCGCGAGCUCGAUAAAUCUAUCAUCAGUUGCUACGUUCUGUAAGUGAUUUAUUAAUUUCUACCCCAUCUCGUUCAUAUUGCCUGCACUAUAUAUAUGUCCUAACUAUAUUGUUGUGUCCGCUAUUAUACAUGCAGAAUGAAGAUUAAGGAAUGCAGAGUAAGGAACAUCCAUGAUGUUGGGUUCAUUGACCCACACAUUGUUAAUGGACAUGUGUUGGAGCGUCACCCCGCCGACGUGGAGGCAGACCUGUGGCACUUUCUUACAAAGCAGGAACUCAAAAGUGAUAUUCUAUUUCCUUACCAUUUUGAGUGAGUGUUUCUGUCUUGAGCACAUUCUCUUUUGUUUACUCCAUGCAUGGUAUGUGGCCGGCUAAUCGAUGAGUUAUGCAUGACGUACUGUGCAUGUAUCGUGUCCGCAGGUUCCACUGGAUUCUGCUAGUAAUUAAAGUUAACACCUCAGAAUGUCUCGUCCACGACUCUGUGAAUAUGGAUCCAAAGCUUUGGGGCGGCAUGAGAAGAAUGCUGCAGAAGUAAUUAUUUUCAUUCAUUUGCGCUCUAUAUCGAUCGGCCUAUUUCGUUCAUUUCCUAAUAUCAAGUAACUAAUUAAUAACUCUCUUGUUCAUUUAAUUUUCUUUGCCUCGUAGGGUUUGGAGACGGUUCGUAGAUACAAAGGUCGGUGAAUUCAAAAAAGAGCUAGAAUUCAAAAUGUUAAAGGCUAAGAAUGCUGGGGAUAUUCAGCCACCGGAGACCAAUCUAUGUGGAUACUAUGUCUGUGAGAUGAUCCGGAGAUACACCUCUGAGCGGGUUCCGAGUGAUACCAAUGCUCAGAGGAAUAACCUCCGGUGGAUGCUUAGUCUAGAAGCUCGCUUCCGACCACUUCAAGAGGAACUAGCUGGAUGGUUCAGCAGGGAAGUCCUCCAUCCUAAAGGAGAACACUAUUACGAGGACGUAGAACUUUAUAUGCAUUAAAUCAUGUAUGGAAACUUGUUCAAAAUUGUAUAUGGUCAUCCGAUGAUAUUGAAUAUAUAUUGUAUAUUCCUCUUGAAUUCUUUUUGGUUCUAAUUUCAAAUUUAUUUGAAAUUGUACAUUCAUAUGCAUGUAUGUAGUACCGUAGAAUAUAUGAAACUCCUUCAAAAUUAAAAUAAAGCACAAAAGAAAUAAAACAAUACAAAUUAAACAGAAAACAGGUUUAGGGGGGGGGGCUAAAACCCUAAACCUGUGGCGGCCUUUAGUCGCGGUUGGCCAGAAGAACCGCGACUAAAGGUCCUCCGCCCCGACGGCCGCCUGGCGCCCACGUGGACGGGCCGUUAGUCGCGGUUCUUAAGCAGCCGCGACUAAAGGUGGGGGGCUUUAGUCGCGCUUAUUUGGUCGCGGUUGCGCAACCGCGACUAAUGGCAGUUGCGAACCGCGACCAAAGGCCUUUUUUCCACCAGUGUGGAUUGUCAGUCCGACAUGGCGGACCCGUCCGAGCGGCCCCAAAUUUGCUGCACAUAUAGGCCGGGUUUGGGGGCGCUGGACAACUUGGACAAAUGGGUUGCGCAUGGGGGCUCUACAAUACCACACGGGCCUACGAGGGUCUAUUGUUGGAGGAAGGUUUUUGACAUUACAACACGAUGAUAUAAUGAGCAACAUAUUGAGCGAUGCAGGAGAUGGUCAUGUCUUAUCGGGGGUAUGCACGACGAGGCAGAUACCGACAUGGACCAUGUCACGCAAAGGGUAGUCCCGGCCUUGAGGGUACCGCCAAGAUUAUGUCUUACACAGAUUUUUAGAGGGAAAUGGCCAUGUUUCCCAUGAGACAAACCUUGCGUUUACAAAUUAUGGCCAAAAGUGGGUUGAAAAAUAUUAUUGAUGGUCUUCACUAUAUGUUUAGUCCAUAUACCACAAAAGAAAAUCAUUCUCAUAGACCAUGGGGCCACAACUGGGCAACAACGUGUAGGUUAUUAUCAUUUUAAUUCUCAAGAAUUCAAACGAAGCCCAAAAGUCCCAAGGGUUGACAGCGUGUCAUGAUAUGCGCCCUAGAGGUAGUGGUAAAUUUAGUGAAUAUUUUUAAAAAAUUGUCAAAUAGAUUACUUACAAACCAGAUCAGCUGCAAGCAAGAAGCUAGUUUUCAAGAGAUAAUGGCUUCAGUUCGCAUGCGAAGUGACUACUGCUUCCUUCAUUGGCCAGCAAAUUGCGUGUAGACUCAACACAUACCAUUGCAUGAAACAUGUCAAUAUUUCACAUUUUUUCUGAGGCUAUUUGCUAUAUUGGAGACAUUAAAUGCAUUUCUACGUAUUUAAUAAAUAUCAUUAAAAUUUAAACUACAUGUACAUGAAAUUAUGGCCGAAAGUGGAUUGAAAUAUAUUAUUGAUGGUCUUUCGUAUAUGUUUAGCCCAAUAAAAUAAAUAAAAGCAGUCUCAUACAAAAGUGGGCCAAGACCCGACCACCAAAAUGUAGGUCGUUAUCCUUUUAAUUCUGAACUUCAAACAAAGUCGAAAAUUCUGAGACUUGGCAUGGUGUCCUUAUAUGGCCUCCAAAGGCUGUGAUAGAAUUUGAGAAUGUUUCACAAAAAUAAGUCACGUGGACUGCUGACAAACCAGGCCAUCUUCGAGAUGAAACUAGGUUUCGAGAGGGCACAGAUCAGGUCACAUCAAAAGCGAUAGCUGCUUCUCCAUUGUCCUUCAAAAUUUCCCCAGACUGAACACACACGACUACAUGUAACAUUUCAAAGUUGGCAUUUUCUGAGGGCCAUUUGCUAUAUUUAAGACAUUAAGUACAUUUCUAGGAAUUUACUCAAUGUAAUUCAAGUUUGAACUGCAGAUACAUGAAAUUAUGAACAAAAGUAGUUUGAAGAAAAUAUUUGUCGUCUUUAGUAUAUGUUUUGCCCAUAUAACACAAAAUAAAAGUUUUCCUAUACACUAGUGGGCCAAGCUCCCGGCCACGGACAUGUAUGUUAUUCCCAUUUUAUUUCCAAAAAUUCAAAAGAAGCCCAAAAUUCUAGAGAUGGUCUCAUGAUAAGGUCCCUAGAGGACGUGGUAAAAAUUUGAGGAUGUUUUGCAAAAUUUGUCAUGUGGACAGCUAUGAGGAAUGAGCUAGGUUUCGAGAAGAAACGAGCCAGGCUUGCAUGUGAAGCAAUAGCUGCUUACUCGGUUGUGCUGAAACUCAUUCCACUCAACAAUAACUACUAUGUGAGAUAUGUCAAAAUUUCACAUUUUUUGGGUCUAUGAUCUAUAUUUAAACCAUUACGCACAUUUACCUCCAACAAAUACCUAGAAACUUAAUGUCCUAAAAAUAACAAAUUAACCGUAGAAAGGGUAAAACUUUUAGAGCAUCUACAACCGCGUAAUGUUCAAAUAUGACCCCUAUAUAUCUGCUGGCAUGUUCGCGGACCAGAGCCGAUCGGCUCUCAUAUGCAAACCCCUAUUUACAUACGAAUCCAAACAACCUAAGAUUCAUCAUACGUUCAUCAUCAUGCAUAUAUGGAUAAAACGAGCUCCAUUCAAAUAAAAACUACCUUACUUUUACUCGUCUUUAGAGAUGAUAUGACCCCUUUGUCGGACGGACCGGCCUCGUGGUCAUUUGCAGCGGGGCAUAGCUCCAACUUCUUGUCCUCAAUGAAGUGUCGUUCCCACCUCAUGUCGGCGAAGUGGAUACGAUGGAGGUUCAUCGCCACCUCCCACUUGGAUUGGGUCCAGUCAAGGAUGACAGCUUGCUUCACCUCGAACUGUGUUGUCGCCUCCACAGCUUGGGCGUGUUGGAACUCCGCAUCCGCCUCUUCCAUGCCAAAGUUGUCGGCUCAACCUCCAGGCCCAACACCUCCUCCACCUCCUCCUGCAUGUCCUCCAUGGCCACCUCCUACUCCUCCUUUGGGACCUCCUCCCAUGGCGCUGCAUCCUCCUCCUCCCCCUUCCCUAGUACGUCCAUCUAGUACGCCGCAAUUUAAGCAAUGCGACACUCUUCGCAACACGCAUAUUAGUGGCGAUCUCGCUUGGCGCUAGGGUGUGAGCAUUUUGUAGUAAUUUGUCUUUUGUCAGACCAUGGCAGAUGUCGAGGUCGAAGUGGAAGGGGAAGAGGGGGUGGGAGCGCUAGCAGUGUGGAUGAGAGGGAGAUGAGGGGAACGAGGGCGUCUAGGGUUUACCCUCGUUGUCCGCCUUAAAUAGAUGGUUUUGGAACUUCAGACGGUGCACCGAAGGGGCAAUCUGAAUGUGUCCUCACCAAAUCAGAGGCAGAACCCAAAGGAUCGAUGUGUUUUUUCGCGGGUCCCGCCCACCAGUCCAACAUGGUGGAUGUGUCCGGGCAUGCUCGAGCGUCCUCAUAUCUGCCUCACAUAUGGGAUGGCUAGUUGGACAACCUACACAUUUGGGCUGGAUGUGGGUAGGCAGUUGGGUUGCGAUUUUUUGAUCGACGAUGUCUUGGCUAUCCAUCCAGACGUUUGUGGGAGGGGGGGGUGAGGGGUCUGAUUGUACGUGCUCAUCAUGGAACACGUUAAUGUAGAAAAAUUGGAGCAUAAGCCUAAAUCUUAAACACUAAAACCCUAACAUUAUUUUAAAAAACUAGCAAAAAAAGUAACAGCGGCGAGCCCGCCAAAAUGCCUGCCACUAGACUUGCUACACAUGGCUAAGUCAUUCUAAAAUUACCAUUGGCGUCACGCCGUGCGUUGUUGCAAUGUGCAAGAACCAUCCUGCAAAUCUCAGGGCGUCUGUGUGCUUCCUCACUCACUGAUGUUACGAAGGGUGGGCUCGCAACAACACCAAUGAUGUGACGGACAGGCUUGCAGCUGGACCUCUAUUGCGACGACUUGUUGUGGCACGCGAGAUCUGGUGUUGCGGUCGGUGCUGCAGGGAGAACCACCGGACUUACGGGAGCGUCGUCGGUCCUUAGUGCACUACUACGAUGAGACAAAGGCAGAGCUGUGAGCAGAGGGGGAAGGGUUUACUACGGAGGCACGACAACAGGUCUCCUCGCAAGGUAGGAGUCGGAGGUGGGGGAGGAGGGGAGGGUUCUUUCUCGGUGGAGAUGACGGCCACACAGCAAGAAUAGAUCGUUGUCAAGCCAAAUGAUUUCCCGUAAUUUCAGAUUGUUGACGCCUGGUGCCUGCCCAAAAGAAGGCCUUGCAACUCAGCUAGCUUUGUCAUGUUGUUUCCCUUUUGCUUGGUUUUUGAAUAGGGGUUAUCGGUUCAAAAACUCCCCAAUUGAAUCUCGUUCUACAGGCACCCUAAUUGAUUUUUUGAAAAUAAAGAAGACAAAAAGAAUCUGAUUUUUUAACGAAAAUGGUCUAGUAUACUCGCGUGUAAAGUUUUGCGAACAAAUGGCUUCCAUGACAAUCUGUGCGAAAAAUAACAAAACCGGAUCUACAUAAAAGUUACUAUUUAAGAUUUUUGAAAGUGCAAUUUCGUUUUCCCCCAAAAAAAACAUAGUCAUUUCUUCGCAGAACCUAUCUUGUGUGGUUGUGGAGGCGGACAGAGCCUGUGUCCAAUCUCUUCCCCUUCAACUUAACAAAAAAGAAGCCCUAAAAAAUCUCAUCAGAAAAUAAAAUGAUAGCAUCUGCCCUUUUUUUCCGGAAAUGUUAACGCCCACACGUGUGGGCGUUCACCACCCCGACCACACGCAAGCAUCACUGUUGGCAGGUGUGUGCACGAAUGGAACAAACCAGGUGGUUUUUUGUGCCACGUAGGAUGAGGCGCGUGUGCAGUGUGCGAGUAGGUUCGCCCGCACGUUGGUUGCCACCCCACGGUCAGCGGUUGCCAUCUGAGUCGUGCGGUGGAACUGCAAUGCGCCCGCACGCCACGCUUCGACUGCGGUUGACGUCGCACGCCUCUGCCCCCUCUCCCUCACGCUUCCAUUUACUCACCCGCACCGCAGUUACCGGCAGAACCCACUCGCAUUUCAAACCAUCGAAGGAGAAGGCGAGGGGAGAAGGUGACGGCGGAGGCGGAAGAAUCGACGGUGUUCGGGACCGUCGGUGGUGCUCGCCGGAACGGAGCGGCUCGCCGGAGCGCCUGCGGGUUGAAGGUACUGCUCGCUGCAACCCUCGCAAUCCCUUCCUGCAUUUCCUCCCCUUCCCUCCCUGUUCGAUUCCUCGAUCGAGAUUCGUAGAAAUUCAGGCGAUUCGUCGAUGCGUCGGCGUUCCUGCCGGCGCCGAAGUCGUCUGCUAGCCGCUUUUGGUUGCACUGGUCAGUUUCGUCGCGGGCGCGGCGGCGGCAUCGUCGGCGUGGUUCUGCCUGUUCGGAGGCACGCACUAGUAUUGCCUAUGGAUUGAGCAGGUGUCUCCCGGGGUUGUUUUUUAUGUGCGUUGGUUCGAUUUUGUGUUUGCAGUCAGUUCGUGGGAGAAUUUUGAGGGUGAAUUUGAAGUCGAGGUAGUUGCCAUUGAACCCUAGAUCUAGUUAGUUUGGUUUUGAAAAUGCAGUAUGAGGCGAACUUGAUAGUUACAUUAACUAUCAUGUUUGUGCGACCACUAACUCCCUGAACAAAUUUGAUAGUUGCCACAAACGUGUUUCCCCUUGCGGCAACAAAUUACUGAAAUGAUAGUGUUAGUUUCCACAUGUAAGCUUUCUCACAUGGCAACUAUUUUUCAUUCAAUGACUGUGAUAGUUGCCACACACACGCUCUUCCAUGUGGCAAAUAAUUUUGCUGAAGUAAUGUGAUAGUUGCCACGCACACGCUCUUUCUCCGUGUGGCAACUAAGAUUUGCUGAAUUCCUGUGUUAGGUGCCACAAUCAUGCUAUUUUCAUUGCGGCCAGUGUUUUUCCGAAUGAUAUGUGAUAGUAACCACACUGUGAUAGUUGCCACAAUCGGUAGUCAAUGUACAUUCACGAGCCAACUACACUGGAUGGCAACCAUUGUGCACAUAAAGUGUGCCUGUUGCCACCUGGAUAGUAUAUUCAUGUGGCAGAUAGAGUGUGAACACACUGUCUGUUGCCAUUCUGCAUAUAAGACAAUGUGGCAAAUUGGUUGCAUAAUGUGGCAACCAACUUUGCAUAUCAAAUGUAUCAGAUGCCAUACAUACGCUUUGCAUGUGGCAAGUUUUUGCUGACCUCUUUGCAUUUACAUUUCCACCAUGACAAUUUGGUCUGUUCCCAUCUCAGCAGAAUGGCUCGUGGUGAUCGUCAAAACGACGAUGAUGAUUUCAUGGAUCCACCACAGCGUAAUCGGGCAACUGGGCGAAGAAAAGAGGGUGAUGAGGUAAAUGUUCAUACAUCCCCCCUUCCUCCUGCUGUAUGUUAAUGGUUGACACCUUGAGCUUGCAGUCGUCUGACACGAACUAAAAUUUCUUUACAUUGCAAAACGCGGCAACAACUGAUCUCUUUUUUGCAAAAACAUGGCAACAAUUGAUCACUUUAUGUCUGUUUUUUUGCAGAAGAAGAAACGUAUUCAUAACAGAGCCUCCCAAGAACGACUGACUGCGUUGACUGACAAAUUCAGCGACGAUCAGAAGGGGGCUGCUACUGAGAUGGGUAUGCAGUCUAUGAUGGCUGUCCGGUGCACGAACCUUGUCAACCCUGUAUGCGAUUGGUUUGGUGAGAUCUACGACCCCGCCGCCAGAGAAUUCGUGAUUCCGGGACGCGGAAGACUACCGCUGAAUGAGGAAUCCGUGUUCUGCAUGUUGGGUGUGCCCCGUGGACAUAUCAAAGUCCCGUACGAGGUCAACAACGAGAUCGAGGAAGCGAUGUUCCCCCGUUUGUUUCCUGGGUUGGAAUCCAUGCCGAACACAACUGCAGUGGCACAUUCGUUGGAGGCCAUGACGACGCACGGAGAUGUUUUCAAGAUGAAGCUACUCAUGUACCUCGUCUCAGCCGUUUUCGCGCCGACCACUUCUCUUCGCCCAAGCAACAAAUGCUUCCCCAUCCUGGUGAGUGAUCUAUCUUUACUACAUUAUUUUUCCUUCAAUUUUUUUUUGCUUCGAUGUCAUGUGCAAGCUAGUCACUGACAGUUUUGUUGUUGUUUUUUCCAUUGGAAUUCUGACGCGGCAACUCCUUGUCCUGAAUUUUAUGCGGUGCAGGCGAAACUGAAAGAUGUGAAGAACAUGAACUGGUGUAAGUUCAUUGCCGACUUCCUGCAUGAUGCAUUUGCAUGCAAGGUGUACCAGAAGGGUUGUCGACUGCAUUUAAUGGUACUUUUUACCGGUCCUUUAUGUGAACACUAUUUUUAACACAUCUUUAUUCAUGCAUGUCAACAUGAUCAUAACAAGAUGGCAACUGUCAUGUUGAUUAUGUGGCAACUGCCAUCAUGACUAUAUGGCAACUGCCAUCAUACUGUGAUGGCAACUGCCAACAUGACAACAUGGCAACUACCAUCAUACUAUGAUGGCAACUGCCAUCACUCUAUGAUGGCAACUAGCACAUGUAGAUGGCAUAUUCUUCGUAAAAUACCAUAUAUUUUAUCCUGUUAUUUGUCGCAAAAUACCAUGACCGCAACUGAUUUUUCUUUCUUUUUAAAAUUGUUGUACAUCAGCUCAUGUACGUCGACUGCCUUGAUCUGUCCAUCGUGGACUUCACUGGGACAGGAGGCCCGCCGCCUGCGCACAAGUUUGUUGUUUCUGCAUGGACUAUCGAUGCUGUCAAGGCUGUGCUUGCUGCAGACAGGGUAACUGAUGGCAAAUAUGGUAAACUGCAGGUUAGUUCUGCUUUUUUUUGCAACACAUGAACUGCUAGUCAGUGUUCAUCAUUCUCUCUCUUAUAUCGUUGCUACUUUUUUUUCUUUCUCCCCAGCUGAUGGCCAAGCAUUCUAUAGACUACAGCGUGUUUGGGGGGCCUCAAAACUUUGAAAAGUGGAUGGACGUGCACUCAGCUCCGUCUUGUCCUUCAGAGGUAAUCAAAAGAUCUACAUAUAUGGUUUGCUGUGGAGUAUUUUUCGAUGUCGUGCAAGUGAUUGCAAUACGGGUUUGUCAUUGAUGCCUCUUUGUUUUGUGUACAGGCGAGGGCACCUGUUGAGCAGCUAAUAGGGCAGUUUGCAUCUGGAAUGACUGGCUUGCUCGGGAAGUUGGUUGAGGGGUGGACGUCCCUCAGUGGCUCUGACGGCGACGCGGUUGCGAGGCAAUUCACUUCAUUCGUCCCAGAACAUACACACCGGCCAACCGGUUGCCAUGGCCGGUAUGACUACAACAGUUCCCAGGAGCCCGCUGACACACAAGAUGAACUAGGUGGAGAUGCUGGUCUUAGCAAGGAUGACGAUGAUGUCAUGGAUAAUGUGCAAGAGGACACCGGUGAUGAUGAACACGCUGAAGUUCGCGCAGGUGGUAACAAGGGCAAGGAUGCAACAGAUGUCCCCUAAUCGGAUAAAGUCAAACAACACACGGCUGUGAGAGGCAAAGGGGUUUUGCCAUCAAAGAGGGGGAUGGCUCCAGAGGGUGCUGGGCAAGUUUCUACUGGCAAGAGGUCUAGGACCGACCCUGUAGCUGCCAGGAAGAGGUUUGACUUUCAUCUUAGCUUUUUGCUUUGUCUAUUUUCUUCGAACAGACUCAUCCUCUUUUUCGCACUUGUGUUAUGUCAAACGCGGCAACGAGAUUGCUGUCUGACAAUUGCCACCUCCUUUUUUUUGACCUCCAUCUCAUACGUGCAGCGAGCCGACAGCUGGUGGACGAGCAAUUAUGAAGAAACAGGCGCCAACGCCAACCCGUGUUUCUGCUCGGUUGAACAAAGGUGCCCCCAUUGCCGGUGAUACCACUUUCACCAGGACAUCUCCUUGCACGACGACAACCAACACCGGGGAUCCUGUCGUGUUGCCAGACCUGAGGAAGGCAGUCAGGAAGUAGGUUUCUUCAUCCGCUUUCAUUGACAUAGCGCUAUAUUUUUUUGAUUUUCCAAUGCAUUCGUUUAGCUUGUCACAUUGUCUUCUGUCAUCGCCCCCCACGUGGCAACCGCUGUUUUACCAAAUGAUAUUUUAUUUACUUUCUAAACGUAUGGCAACUUCUAUUUUUGUUUUUCACAUGGCAAGUGGAAUGUAGGCCAAAUGGUAACUUUAAUGUACCUUAUGGCAACUGCCAUCUUUUUACCGUUGUCUUGUGAGCUCAUCCCACGCCUAGGUUUGAAAUUGCAUUCAUGGCAGAUCAGACAUUUUUAUCAUUUUUUCAAGGUUGCUAACAUGGCAACUGCUGCUGGAUGGCAACUGCUAGUUAUGACACAUGGCAACCGACGUUCCCCUUACAUGGCAACUGCCAGCUUUUCCACCUGUUUUUCCAUUUUCUUAAGAUUUCUACCAAGGCAAACAUAAUUUUGUUUCAUUUUUAAAUACCUUUUUCAUGCGCUUCAUUUUUUUUUGCAGGGUGAAGAAGACUACUACGCGUGGGUCCAAGCAUAUCAGUAAGGACCCGCUCGAACGCAUGCAUUCAAAGUUGUCAACAGGGGGCAACUCAGAUGUACAGGAGGCACCAGUCGACAAUACUGCUGCUGCACCGUUGACCGCUCCCACCAACUCUGAUGCAAGUGGCAGACCAUCUCCGCCGGCUGCAGAUGUGCAGCCUACAACAACAGGCAUCCGUACAUUAGGGAGUGACGAGUCGGUAUCUGCCAGGACAGCUGAAAUACUGCCAACCCUUCUGGCACUGAAGGAUGCUGCUGUGAGUCAUGCCACCCCAUCAGCAAGCAUUGAAGUGGGCGCUCCCGAGACGAACCUAGGCAAGGAAGAUUCCCGCUCAUCUGACACUGAUUCCAAGCGCGUGCGCGGUGGCACUCCUGUGUCCACGACAGAAGCGGUCGAGGCGAUAGUUCACAAGGACAUGCCAUCUACAGGCGAGAGUCCUGGCACAACAGCUCCAGCUCCUGGCGGUGCAGAUACUGCUAAGGCGACUGUUUCGCGUGUUGGUCUACCACCUAGGCGUCGUAGCCCCCGCAAGCAACCAACAGACAUACCGAACGCACCGACAGUAGCCAGGAGCAGGAGAGACGAGUCUGGUUUUGUUCCUGCGUCCACACUGUUCCCUCCACCUGCCAAAAGCAAUGUGAUGGAGAAACCUGAAGACCGGAGCACAACUGAUGCAGGUGUCAAGCCGGGCACGAGCGACGCAGGUGAACACCCGGAGCAGACUACGCCUUUUCUUGCAGUGGAAAUCCCCAGCAUAAAUCUGCGCACUUCCAGGCUCCCAGUCAAUGUCGGUGUCCCCUACAGCCCAAACAAGAAGAUUGUCAUGAAAGCUACGGUUGAUACCACUGACAACACGCCCCGCCCUGUAAAUAAGGAUGAUCAUUCUGCAGCGGCCGAUUCAGAUAUGUUUGUUGAUCUUUCACCCUUGGAUUCUGCCCCGCAAGUCGUUCGUGGUCCGGCCAGCAGGAAUGAGAGGCACCCAAUGGCCUUUACCCCACCGAGUUUCAACCUUGGCAUCAGUCAAGAUCAACCGGUUGUGCAAAAUCCUAUGCCAGUUGCCUUUGCAUUCCCAGGAGGCAUGCCUGCAAUGAUGGCGCAGCCAAUGGUCGAGGGCAGGAAGACUGUCAAGUUCGCAGAGCCAAUUGUGGCAGGUACACUUGUCAUGUCCAUAUGAUUUUUCUUGCACACGUCUGUGUAGUUUCACUGUUGUCCCAAUCAUAUUUUUUGUUUUGGGGGGUUCUCACUUGUGAUGGCAACUGACAUGCGAUGACAUGGAAACUGGAUUUGAUGCACCGUGUCACCUACUUUUUUUUCUGCCAUGCUGCAUUUUACAUUUGGGCAACCAUGUGGCAACUGAAGUUGAUUCAAUAUGGCAACUGUAGUCUCCGUAACAUGGCAAACACAGUGCAUCACACAUGGCAACUGGAAUUGAAUCAACACCAUGUCACCUGCAUCUUUUUUUGUUUCCAUGCUGCAUUUUUUCAUAAAGCAAUCACAUGGCAAGUGCAGUUGACACAACAUGGCAACUAUAGUUGCUGUGACAUGGCAACUACAUUCUAACUAGAUGGCAACUACAUUCCAACUACAUGGCAACUGUAGUUGCUAUGACAUGGUCACUACAGCUGGACCACACAUGGCAACUGCCCCACUUUUCCUACCUACAACUCCCAUCAUGCACCCCAUCUUUUCUCACAAUCCAUCUGCUUUUGAUUUCCUAGGUAUCCUAACCCACUUUUUUUAUCACUGCAGCCACACCCGAGGAGAUUUCACCGUCUCUUGAAGAAACUUACCGCAUGCUAGAGGAGGCAGCAUUGCAGAGGAAGUCCUCACGAGGGCAAGGGCAAUCAAGUUCCAACGUGCCUGCAGACACGGUAUCUGAGGAUACCAUUAGGAGUGCCACUCCUGGUUCUGUGAGGCAGCAGAGGGUAGUGCACCCACCUCCCGCGGAAGACUACGAGCCCGAAUUCAGGGCCACUAAAGAACAGACCCAGCUGUACGAUAUCGUCAAGCGGUUUGGAAAUGUGAGGUCCAGCGGCAAGCACAUGAAGGAGCUGAAAGCGUAAACGACCACACCCCAUAACAUCUCAUUUUGCUUUGCUCCUUUUUUACCAUUCACAUCCUUCGUACUUUCUAUGUUAUAUUGUUUUAGUUCUUUCAUAAUUUUUUUUACUUAGUAGGCAUGAUCCUUCCAUGUUAUAUUGUUUUCAUACAGCUCAUGUUUGGACAGAACCAAAGUCAUUCAAUGCGGAGCGACGUACGUCGACCUUGGUGAUCUUGCUGAGUCCGUGAGGCCAAACGGCAAAAUGUCGACGAACGUAGUUGCAUGCGGGAUUGACUACAUCAACAACCACACUGAUGUGUGCGCCGACAAGACAAUCAUGCAUUACAGUGUGACCUGCAAAAUAUGGGACGGUGACUUCCACCACAAAAUCCUGAGGAAGAACUUUGCCCAACACGGUGAUUUCAAGCUCACAAUGAAGAAAUAUGUGAGUACUCCUUCAAUGUCUGCACUUUUUUUUUCACAAGGUGUGCUUUUUGUUGCCAUCAUCUGCAGUUGUGUUUUACGUGGCAGCUGUUUUCAUGUGGCAACAGCUGCCGUGCACACUGACUUAUUUGAUUUUUGCAUGCCGCGCAAACUAUGUGGCAACUUGAUAGUAAAAUACAUGGCAUACUUUUGUUCACACAUGGACGGCAACUUUAUUUCAACUACCCCCACCCAUAACCAGAGUUUUUCUACGUGAUUCUAAUUCCUUUGUCCCCCUGCUGUUCUUUACGCGAACGCUGAUUCUCAUUUCCCUCACUUUUUUAAAUGCAGGUCAUGUUUCCCAUGUUCCAGGAGCUUUCACCACAUGACCCACACGACAAGUGUGGUCACCACUGAUCUGUCUUGACCUGAAGAACCAACAUGUUGAGGUGCUUGAUUCAAUCCGUUCGGAAGAUGAUGCAGACCUCACCACGCAUGCUGAAUUCUUCAUUAAGAACCUCAAAGAGACAUGGCACCGUCACUAUGAACACUCAAAGGUCCAGAUCAUUCAUUUCCCGACUGAGUAUGUGGCGACUACAAAGCAAGGGAACACGUAAUUCCUUCCUUCCUUUUCGUCUGCCAUUUUACAUCAAUCCAAUUCCUGUUUUGUUUGUCAGAUCUGAAAUUGAAGUCUGUCUUUUGUUAUGUCUGAGCUCUUUGUUGGUUACGUUACUCCUUUCCUCGUGCAGGACGGACUGUGGCUUUCACGCGUUGGAGUACCUUGCGAAGUGGAAAGGCAGAAUUGUCCCCGCUAUCAUAGCUGCAACGGUCGUUGAGCUCCGGAAAAUCCACACAUGGAACUGGUUGACGAAUGAAGAUUUCAACAAGCGGUCGGGAGCACGCGAGUUUGUGCAGGAAGCUGUCAAGAAAGUCACCAAGAAGUACAAGUGAUCACGUGGCAUUACAGACCGGACGCACACCUUACAUUCUAUUGCCGAGGAAUGUAAGGUAUUAUCUCGUUGUUUAUUGUUGAAAACUAUGUUUGUGUGCUAUGUUGUGGCUACAACCCCGCGUAGGCUACUAUGUAGUGGUGGUGUGCGAGUGACAUUUGAAUAGUUUCAUGUAAUAUAUGUGUGGACGCGAACCUACUUUUAGGCGUAAUUAUUACAAUGGUUUCGUCGUUUCUAGCACCGGUUUGAUGCUUUGAACGCGUCUACGAUGUUUUAAAAACGAUGGCAAAUGUAGUUCAUCAGACAUGGGUAGUGGAAGUCAUUGUCGUUUUACAUUUUUGGCUGUUUUGCUUCUUCAUUUUCAUCGGUAACUGCACGGGGGUAGGUUGAUCAUGCAGCCACAACGUUUUUGCUGGGGUUUAUGCAUGUUACGCUGUUUUCCAACUUGUUUCCCAUACACUUGCACACAACACACUACGUGCCCGUAAACCGCGUCGUUUUUGUCAUGUGAAUACAUGCCAUGCAGAGUCAUCAGGAAUACCAUGGCAUAUGUCCAGCACAUCUAACAUGGCAGAUACAUUACAAACAACAUGGCAGCUCCAACAUAAUUAACAUGGCAACUACAGCACAACUAAGAUGGCAGAUCCAGUACAAUUAACAUGGCAGAUCCACUACAACUAGCAUGGCAUAUUCAGUACAAAACAACAUGGCAUAUUUAGCAUAAAUUAGCAUGGCAUGUUUAGUAUCAAAAAUCAUGACAGACUAACUACACAUAACAUGGCAAAUUAAAUGCAUACAUCAUGGCAGAUUAAGUACCCAUAACAUGGCAACUGCAUUUAACCAUUCAAUGAAUUUUCCCUUGCACUUAUGAUGCCCCUGAAGAGUUAUUCCCCCAAUUGUUUUAAAAAAGAAUUCUCAACAUCUAGGGUACAAAACAAAAUGUCCACAACGCCACAAUUUUUGCUCAUGGAUUGGCCGCCCCUUUCUUCGUUUUCUUGUAUUUUGCUUGGAUCUCCAAUCCCGACUUGUACCUUAUCUCUCUUGGACGACCCUUUGUGAUGGAACGGGGUGGGUUCCUGACCUGGGUCUGUGUGCUUUCUGUUCCAGAUCCUAUCUUCGAGUUUUCAGACGACGGCCCCGUGGAUGAAGGCACGCUUGAUGUGCGGGGGGACCGGUGUAAGGCUUCCUCGGCUUUCCUCUUCUUGAUCUCAUCAAGCUCUCUUUUUAGUGCUUUCCUGUGUUUUUCUGCGACUCUCGCUGUGUCAUCACUCUUGCACGCUUCAUCAAUUAGCUCAGCAUAGUUCUUUGUCAGCACAACGUGCCUCACAGCUUCCAUGGUUGACUCUGGUCUCUCGUCAUGCACAGCCAGAACUGCGUGUGUUGUUUGCGGUGCCAAUGCAUCGUCAGUGUCCCAAGUCCAUCGCCGCCUUAUGAAAUGUCGGGGCAUCCGUGUCACAUCGUUCACGUCCAUUACUUUUAGUAUGUGACAGCACACAAUGUCGUCCCGUUCGAACUUGCAGCAUUGGCAGUAUAACUCGCCUUCGCCUAUCGAGGUUGUGAUGAAGUAGUUCCUUCCUUUGUCCGGGUCUUCAGGUUCUGAAUCUGACAUGCCCAAAAUAGAACACACCUUGAACGUACGUUCGUCCACCUGGAAAUCCGUGAACAUGCUGGCACGCUUUAUUUCUUCCUGGAAUCUGCAUUUUUUGUGUGUUUUCUGUUAAACUAUUGUGGGGUUUUUUCUUGUAGCACCUUAUGUUGUCAUGGAAAAUAGAUAUACAUUUUGUUUGAACAUGGCAAACGUAAUUCAUUGAACAUGGCAAAUAUAGUAUGUUGAACAUGGCAAAUGCAGUACGCUAUACAUGGCAAAUGCAGUACAAUAGACAUGGCAACUGCAUUUUCAACAAACAUGGCAGAUGCAUCUUAUUUAAACAUGGCAACUGCAUUUUGUUAAACAUGGCAACUAGAGUUUAUUAAACAUGGCAAUUGCAUUUCAGCAAACAUGGCAGUUGCAUUUUAGUAAACAUGGCAAUUGCAUUUCAAUAGACAUGGCAACAACAUAACAUUUUCCAUUUGACACUAGCAUUUGCACACCAACAUGUCCAGUGGAAGUACAUUGCAUUAAACAUGGCAACUGCAUUUCAUUGAACAUUGAAACUGCAUCCGAGUAAGCAUGACAAACAGAAUUUCUAUUGAAUAUGACAACUGCAUCUGAGUAAGCAUGGCAAAUAGUACUUUAUUAAACAUGGCAACCGCAAAAUCAUGGCAACUGCAUCGCACUCUAUAAGGCACAUACUGACUUGGUGCUUUUUCUGCAAAUAAGACUGUAACGCAACUGACUUACUUGUUAAAGAUCUUGUUGGUGUAUAUCUUGCUCAUUUGCCUCUCCAUCGGUAAGUACGUUAGCAAUUUUGGCUGCUUCAGCGCGGUGUUCGCUUCUUGCUGCAGCUCAGAUCCCAGAAUUUUUUGUUGCAAAGCUGUGUACUGCUUGGCAAACUGUAGCAAUGAGUUGCCAGGACUGACGUACCGCUUCAAAACAGCAUUGAAUCCCUCGCUGCGCUGCGUAGUCUGUAGAAAGGGGAAGAAGAACUGCAUGAAGUAGGCCGGCACCCAGUACAUUCGCUUCUCCCACAGGCUUACAAGAGUCUCCUUGUCUUGGACUUGAUGUGUUUCAGUCAUGGCCAUCCAGCUCCUUUCAAACUCCUCCACCGUCAAGCUGUGGUCCACGCACAGUUCGAAUGCCUUAUGCAGCUCUUGACGGUCAGCAAAGAACGGUCCUAGCGUCUCCUCAGCCUUCUUUAUAAUGUGCCACCUACAGUGCCUGUGCACUACCAACGGAAAGACCUCCUCUAUGCCUACACGCAUGCUGAAAUCCUGGUCCGUUAUUAUGUUCAUCGGAGCAAGUCCAUCCAUGCACUCCAAGAAGGUCUUGAACAGCCAAACGUACCCAUCCGUGUCUUCGUUCCGGACGAGCCCGCAGCCGAACUGCAACGACUGAUUGUGGUUAUUUAUCCCUAUGAACGGAGCGCACGACAUCUUGUACAUGUUGGUGAGGUACAUCGCGUCGAAUGAAAUGCAAUCUCGGAAAUGUUUGUAGGCUCUCCUUGCAGCACCAUCCACCCAAUACAUGUUCCUGACACGGUCCUCAUCGUCCAACCUUAUCCUGUAGAAGAAAUCUGCAUCUUUUUUGGCUUUCUCAUCGAAGUAGGCAAUUGUGGCCUCUAUGUCUGCCAACUUGCUCUCUCUACGGUACCUUGCCCGUAGGUUUGUGACGUCAGCUGGUAUGUACGGCAUGCUACUCAGAGUCCCCUUUUUGCUGUGGAUGAGAGAUAGUAUCUGCACCAUUCUCGAUGGAUCGACGUUACAAUCAUGUAGCAGCUUUACGAAUUGCCUUUCGACAGGGGUGAACCCUCUGUGGGCGGUCAGAAAUUUCACCAGGUCGAACUUCUUUAUCAGUUGGUGGUUGUGCUCGUCAAAAUACUCAUUGACCACCCACUGUGCUCCAUCUACGUUUAGCUUACACCGGACAGGGCACUCAGUCUUCUGAAUGAUACCUCUCUUUCGUUUCGGAACAACACGCGCAUCGCCUUUCCCCUUCUUGUUCAUGCGUGCCUUGUGGCACCUCAUCUCACCUCUGCUGUACUCGUUAGUUUUCUUAAUUUUCCUACGGUACUCGGUGUUGACCGCAAACCCAUGGAACUUUGCAUAUGUCUGGUAGUAUUCCUUUGCUGCUUCGAAUGACUCAAAUCUCUGCCCAAUGUACGGUGGCUGAGGCACCACGAUCUUUGAUUGCCCACCAUCUUCAUCCCCUUGCACGUCGUCGUCAGUUUCAUCGUUCACUUCAGUAUGGGUGGCAGUCCCAUCUACCUGAGAGUUGCCAGUGCUUGUGUUCAAAGGAGUGCUUGCCGGCAUUGCUGGAAUGAUUGCCAUUCCCGACUCUGGCUCGAAAUUGUUUGCGGCAUGUUUGUCUGCUGUCUGGUGGAACGCGUCUUCCGUGCGCUCAGAGCUCCCCGCAGUAGAUGUGCCGGCGCCGCUGUGCAUUGUAGUUGUAGGUUCUGUAACAGGGAAAAACAGGUACGAGAUUAAGAAUUUUGUGUUGGACAACAUGUGGAUCGCAAAGGAUCACACCAUCUUCGAGUGAUUUUCCAUGACAUCUUUUAUAGACAGCAAGCCGUCAGUCUGUGGGUGGUCAUUUUUAUGGCAGCUGUAGGUGUGCAGACAUGGCACCUACUGUUCAACAAACAUGGCAACCAUUGUUUUGCCUACAAAUAACUACAAAUAGCAAAUGUAGCGCUGUUUUUUGUGGUUCAGAUAUUUUCCCUCUACCUUGUUGUGCUGUAUUUGACCAUCGUGUGUGGUCUGUUACACCAUAAUGACGUGAUCCACCAGGAAUUUGCGAAGCUUGCCAGGAGACGUUUGCCGGGUCACCGCCAGCGUAAUAACCUGCAAUCAUAGUAGUGGUUGGUCAAAUCGCGGCAAACGCAUUUCGUGCUAGCACGGCAACUGCAGUUGCCCUUAUGUGGCAAAUGCAUUUUUGCUUGCAUGGCAACUGAAGUUGCAUCGGUAGGGCAAUCGUAGUUUGUUAUUAGAUGGCAAUUGCAGUUGUCAUGAAAUGGCAACUGCAGCUUUUCCUACAUGGCAACUGCAGGUGUGCAGAGAUGGCAAAUGUUGUUUUUAAUACAUGGCAACCGUAGAAGACCAGUCAUGGCAAUUUUUGUAGUUGUCAACUAUGCUCCUUGUGCUGACUGAGCAUCCGCAUCUUCACUAUGUUUAUGGACUCACCUGUGUACGACGUCGAUGGCAGGUACAUGGGUGCUGCCCGAUUCCACGUGUUGCACGAAGGCUCUGCAUUUUACACCCGUGAUAACUCGUGAGUCCUUUUGCCAUCUUUUUUUCAUGUUCAUUUUUCAUGUCCACAACAUUAUGUGCUCUUUUUUCGUUUUUGCAUUACCUUGAUUAGCCAUACUAGCUAGUUGGAGUUGGCUGCCCGUACAUUUUUCAGUGUUAGCGCCUUGUAACUGCACUUGCCACGGCCCCCCCUAAGAGUGUUCUGGUCAUAAGAACCUGCAAGACAAAUGACAGUGCACGACAUAAGUAGAAUGUCAUGUCCAUCGUCGCGGAGAUGACAAAUGUUUCUCUUCAUUUUUUAGCACGCAUCGUACCUACGCCUGCAUACUGUUCUAGCAGCGGCAGCAACGGCCCUGCAGAGAUGAGCUGACUGUACUCUGAUGCAUCGAAAGGUGGCGGCGUUUCUGGCCUUUGAGAACCCCAAUCAUCUGCACCAUCUUCGUGAUUCAUUCUUUUCUGCGUCUCGCUUCUGUUCUGAUGUGCUCUCAAUCACUGGAUGAACAAGAAGGCAUCAACAAUCCAAUUUUUUUUUAUCAUUGUGCUGCUUGCAUGUAGAAGUUAACACGUCAGUGCUAUCACAUUUUCAUGCGUUGGCAACCAACAUAUCAUGGCUAGUAGGACAUGCACAUCCACUAUCCUUUUUCUAAAAUCUGGUGCUAGCUAUCCGUUUGAUUCGAUGGCAUCAGGCUCUACAAUAGGAUGGCAAGCAAUAAGUUGACAUGGUGGCACUUGACGACAAUGACAGGUGGCAACUGACGUUAUACACCAAUGGCAAUUAAUUUUCACACACCCCAUUAUUCCAAAUUUAUCAAUUCUCUCUCCCUUUUUAUGGAUUCCUGCACAUCCAUUCAUUCACCAACUAGGAGCAUCAACCUACUGAGAACUCACGGUUAUCUCUAGCGUACUACAUGGCAGAUCUAGUGUAUUCUGCUUGGCAACUACGAAGUCACACAACGUAUGUAGUGUUUUAACCCUGUAGGAUGGAUCUAGUUGCCAACUUUGUCGGUAAUUUUGCAAUUUUCUGCCCAGAAGGAGGAUGAGAAACAGUAGGGAGAUCGGGAGAUUCACCUGCUUNNNNNNNNNNNNNNNNNNNNNNNNNNNNNNNNNNNNNNNNNNNNNNNNNNNNNNNNNNNNNNNNNNNNNNNNNNNNNNNNNNNNNNNNNNNNNNNNNNNNNNNNNNNNNNNNNNNNNNNNNNNNNNNNNNNNNNNNNNNNNNNNNNNNNNNNNNNNNNNNNNNNNNNNNNNNNNNNNNNNNNNNNNNNNNNNNNNNNNNNNNNNNNNNNNNNNNNNNNNNNNNNNNNNNNNNNNNNNNNNNNNNNNNNNNNNNNNNNNNNNNNNNNNNNNNNNNNNNNNNNNNNNNNNNNNNNNNNNNNNNNNNNNNNNNNNNNNNNNGCUUUUAGCUGGUCGUCUCUGGAGGGCGUUGUUGGAGUGGGGGUUGGGGGGGUGGGAUGGGGUGGGGGGAGAUAAGGGGUGUGGUUUGCGGUGGGAGCGCCCUACAGAUCCUCCCUGGUUGCCAUGGCAACCAGAGAUGGCCGGCGACGGAGGUCGGGGUUUGACAGGCGGGGGGCGAGGGCGCAGACGAGAGAGGGGACGGAUCGGAGGCCGGGAACGGCUGGGUCGUGCGGGCAGCGGCUCGUCUGGCCCGGACGAGGCAGUGCGGGCGGGGUUGUCACGCACCGGACGUGCGGGCGCGCUUUUGUGCGCGCGGACGGGGUCGUGCGGGGCGGUUCCCGUCCAUGCCACACGAUACGUGCGGACCGGUUGCCCUCCACGCCACACGUGUGGCAGUUAUUGGCUCCUUUUUUUUCCAAGACAAGAAGGAAACCGCGUAACAUUUCCACCGUCCAUGAUUCUUUUCUGCCUGGCCAGUGGGGCCAGCAGGUCGGUCUCAUCUGAUCUGACUAUAUACUCGACUCCGUUCGCUUUGCUCCUCCCCACACCCCAGUCCCCACUCAGCUCCUUCCGACACACCCGCGAAAACCCUACCACCGGAGGCAUCGCCAUCGCCGGGCGAGAUGAAGGGCGGCGACAUCGAGGCGGGUGGCACCGGCACCGCGGCGCUCAAGGCCGCGCUGUACCCCGGGGCGACGGAGAGCACCGAGCUGCGCUGGGCGCUCAUCCGGAAGAUCUACGUCGUACUCUGCCUGCAGCUUCUCCUCACCGCCGUCGUUGCUGUUGUCGUGUACAAGGUCCGCCACUUCAUCGUCUCCUACGACGGCCUCGGGUUCUACAUCUUCCUCUUCAUCUUCCCCAUCACCGGUGAGACCUCAAACCAUUUCUAAUUUGUGAUCCAGUUGCAGGGAGGGUUUCUCUUUUUGGUAAAAGAAACAGAGCAUGUAUGUACAGGGGCUGUACAAAGCUAAAUUGCAACAUACAACAAGUGCAUUUUAAAUGCCACAAAACAACUACUAUGAUGCACAAUCAUCAGAAGUCUCGCACCCAAUGGGAGAUCUGAAUCUGAAUAAGAUUUCCUUUUUGCUCUGUGAACUAGCGACUGGAGCUCUUCCUUAAAUGUACGCCUGCAAGCAUAAAGACUUUGAGUAAUUCCCCAGAAAAUAGAAGGUCGUUCUGUGUAUUCCAACUGGCCCAAGAGGCAAGCAGUGCGAAAUUCGGACGAAUUUAUACACGAUACUGCUAGUUGUAUGCGUGCGUUUUCAUUAUGGCUUUCCCUUUGCAUUCUUUGUGCAGAGCCAUGGAUUAUAACUCCUGAUUUUUUCAGGAACGUCCCAUGCACUCUUAAUUUUUCUUAACUACUCUAGAUUUGACGUGGUUGCUUUGUGAAUUGCAGCUGGGAGUAUAAUCUGUUCUAGAAUGCUUCUUAAUUUUUUGUAUGCAGUGCUGUUCCCGCUGUUCAUCUACCGCAAGAAGCACCCAGUCAACCUGCUGCUGCUUGGCGUCUUCACAGUGGCCAUCACCUUCUCUGUGGGCUUCAUGCGUUCCUUUUAUAGUGGUAAAUGUCUUCCCACCAUGUAUUUCUGCUCCUGCUGCCAGCUCCUAGCUUGUUCUUCAGUCACUCUGCUGCUUAUGUAAACCAGCACAAUCAUAUCAUCAAAAUAUGAUAGCUCCUGCACCAUCAGAUUCUUGAGUGACAUCUGCCAGAUCCUUGCCUGUUCACCAUGUGCCUUUAAUGCCUCUCUCAUUGUGUUAAUGCAUUACAUAUACAUGGCUAGUAGAAAUUUUUCUACUAUUACCUUGUUAGUCACCAUGUGCCUUUAAUACCCCUCUCAUUGUGUUAAUGCAUUACAUAUAAGUACAUGGCUAGUAGAAAAUUUCGUACUAUUACCUUGUUAGUCACCAUGUACAGCACUAUUGUGAAGCACUUUGUUUGUUUGUGGACUGGGUUCAGAAAUACAUGUGAUACCAAUUUGCCAUGGCCAUGCAAUGGUAGGCUCGGCCAGGCAGCCCAUGUGACUGUAGUUGAUGCAUUUUCCCAGUCUGUGUUGAGGGCCAAAUUGUAGCUGUUGGUCACCGUUUAUGAUUGAUAUGCUUGUCUCAGAAGCAUUUGUAGUAUUGCCAGCUAGCAGGAUUACCUUUUUAGAGGACGUUGCUUUGCUAUUUCCAGCUGUUACUUUUUUAACUAAGAAAUUGCCUACAGUAAGCUUCGCUUUUUUCAUAGAACAUUGGUUGGAUCUUGCAUUUUUUUUAUUGUUUCUUCCGGCCACUAUUUGUUGUAAGAUACGUAGUGUUGUGAUAGUAUCAGUUGAUCUGAAGGCCUAUUUGUCCAAUAAUAUGCCAGCCGUCCUGCCCAAGUUGACAUGAUUUUGGCAAGGACGUGGUUUAGGUUACUGGACUAGCUUAAACUUUUAUCAAAAUAAAAAGGAUUUUCACUUGAUAUAUCAUACUAGUGUUCUCACAAUACAAUAGAUGUUCAAAGGUUAUUUUAAAGGUACUCCAUGCAUGUGCUGGUUAAAUCUCAUUGGAUUGAAGUGAUUGAAAUACAUAAUUUUUCGAUUUAUAUAAAGUUAUGUUGUCAGGCACUGUGUGAUCUAUCAUUCAUUUGUGUUUGCCUCAGCGUUCAUACAACUGCAUUUUGGGGUUGUACCAAUUCCAAGGUUCGUUCUAGCUUGUACCACAUCGCAGGUGGUUGUUGAUAGAUUGCUACUUCAAUGCAUCACAGCCAUUUACUUCAGAUUUUAGCAUGCAUGUGCUUUAUUGUUUAGUCAGAUUUACAUGAUAGUUUCCUUGGUAAAGAGAUGUAUGUGAUGAUAAGAAGGCAAUUAGUUCAUUUUGUAGUCCUGCUCUUAUAUAUAUGAUAUAUGUGUGUUUUGUUCUUUGAUAAAGAACCACUGCUAAAAUAGUCUGCUAUGUGCGCAGGCAAGGUCAUUUGGGAGGCUGGGAUUCUUACAAUCGUGGUUGUCUUGAGCCUCACUGCUUACACCUUCUGGGCUGCAAGGAGGGGCAAGGACUUUAGCUUCCUUGGUCCUUUCCUAUUUGCUUCUCUGGUGAUUUUGCUCGUCUUUGGGUUCAUUCAGGUCAGAUGUCGUCCGUUCCAUUCUCUAGUUAGGUGUGUCGCCCAUUUAUCUAUCAGUCUUCUCUAUUCUACAAUGCACAUACUGAUGGCAGCAAAAUAACCGUCUCGCCCAGCCCGCUCCCGCNNNNNNNNNNNNNNNNNNNNNNNNNNNNNNNNNNNNNNNNNNNNNNNNNNNNNNNNNNNNNNNNNNNNNNNNNNNNNNNNNNNNNNNNNNNNNNNNNNNNNNNNNNNNNNNNNNNNNNNNNNNNNNNNNNNNNNNNNNNNNNNNNNNNNNNNNNNNNNNNNNNNNNNNNNNNNNNNNNNNNNNNNNNNNNNNNNNNNNNNNNNNNNNNNNNNNNNNNNNNNNNNNNNNNNNNNNNNNNNNNNNNNNNNNNNNNNNNNNNNNNNNNNNNNNNNNNNNNNNNNNNNNNNNNNNNNNNNNNNNNNNNNNGGCGCGGGACAACGCCCUCGCGCGGAUGCGCGCAGCCAUGUAGGGCGGCGCGGCGCCGAUGCGUCCGGGGCGGCCGAAUGGCGGCUCUCUGGUGCGGAGGCGCGGGUGGCUGCAGAUUCGCGGCCAGGCGGGGCGUGCCGGCGCGGGGCGGCCGCGGUGAGCUUCUCGGUCCAGAUCUGGAUCGGGGGCUCCUCCGGCCUGCUGCACGUGGGCGGUGCGUCCUGUCGGUGGCGGCUGGAUCCCGGGGCGGCGGCCUUGGAAGGUGGCGGCUGGUGAAGCUCAGGCUUCCCGCGGCGGCAUGGCGUGGUGCAGUCCCUAUCCAAGGCGGAUCUGCAUCGGCGAUCUCGUGGUUUGGCCACGGAUUGGUUCAGAUCAGAGACGGUGAUGAGUGUGCGGGAUCCAUCCCGGCGGCUCUCACGGUUUGGCGAGGUGGGGUGGGAGCCCUCCUCCCAGGCUCCAGUGGUGGCGCAUUCAGGCAGUGGCUGGUGCGCCAGGGCUCCUACGGUGGCACUGCUGUUGCAGUUGGUCGCCGGAUCUAGGCGGCUAGAUCUGGGGCUUUGAAGGUGGUCGAGACAGUGCACAGGUUGUCGGGUGGAUUUCUUGGAACGGAUCCGGGUGAAAACUUGGUCUUCGGUCAUUGGCCGGAGCCGGUGAUGAUGAUGCUCUUAUCAUCGUUUCCUUCAUGAAGGCAUCAUCGAGGUGAAGCUCCUAACCCCACCCAAUACCUCCGGGGGAAACCCUAGAUUAGUUGAUCAGAUGACGGCGGCAUUCAUGUGUCGUUACCCCCUUGGGGGCGGCAUUCUUGGAGAUGCACUCGGGCUCGAGGGACCAGCGGAUGGCAUCUGCGGUGGAGCGGUGUUUCUUUCUACAUAUUCUUGGCGGCGGUUCUCGACGGCAUGGAGCAGUGGAGGCUUGGCGUCAGAUGUGUGGCGAGGGACACGCGCAGGAGGUCGACGUUGUCUGGCGCCGUGGUGGCGUCGAUGGCAGAGUGGCCUGACAAGGUCGAUGCGUCAGUACAUGCUUUGAGGAUGGAUCGAGGGAAGACGGAGGUGACGGCCCUUUGCAGCAUGUGCGUGUGGUACUCACUGAGAGUGCGCCGGACCGGAGUGUUACCUAGUCCCGCCUAUGUGGCUUGGAUGGGGCAUCUGACGUUAGAUGUUAGGCUUUCGUGCAAUGUUUGUUUGGUAUUUGGCCCGGACAUUCGGCACACCUUCAUCAAAGGGAUAGGAGUAGCAACAAGUGUCGUCUAGAUGGUGGCCUCGGGCUUACUGUUGUAUUACUUUGUAAGGUUUUUAUGAAUAAUAAAUAAUAUGGCCGCAUGCAUCACCCAGAUGCAGAGGCCGGGGUGAUUCCUCCUUUUAAAAAAAAACAUACUGAUCAUGACUUCUGUUUGCAGAUCUUCUUCCCGCUGGGCAAGCUCUCUCACAUGAUCAAUGGCGCGCUGGCGGCACUCAUCUUUAGUGGCUACAUUGUCUAUGACACGGGCAACAUCAUCAAGCGUUACACCUAUGACGAGUAUGUCUGGGCCGCCGUCACACUCUACCUUGACAUCAUGAUUCCAGCUGUGCCUGCCACCCUUCAUUGGGUGGAUGACAGCCAGGCGCGUCACCCUGCCCCUGCUCUCUCAUGAUUCAAAUCCCGUGGACGAGUCCCUUGACAAGAAGAGUUGUAUAGGCUUGUCAGUCUCGCUGGCACGGUUUAAUUGAGUUGAUCCCUACUAGUAGAGGGGAUGCAUAAGAAAACUGCUGUUCGUCAGUUCUAUUCUAUGUAUGGUGGAUGUGAUGUUGUAUUUAGGGGAUCUUUGACAUGCUGGGUUGGUGGUGCUGCUGCGUUUACGGUAUUCUGAUAUCAUUUGUGUAGCCGCGUGGCUUCUACUUCUUGCUUCCCAGCACAUAUGAAGAGGUCUCCUGGCCCGCCUUAUGGAUGGCGUUUGUCCUAUACCAUGAAAUACCAAACGGACGCCUGUUCGCAUGUACUCCCUUCUUCGUCCGGUAAAGAGUGUAAGUUUGGCUUCAAAAUUUGUCCAUAAAAAAGUGUACUUCUAUCUUUCCAAUGCAUUUUAAACUAGAAAAAAAUACUUCUCUCUCAAUCACACAGUAAUCAAGACCAAUAACAAUCUACACAUGAUCUUCUUAAUUUCUACAUGCACUUAGCUCAUUGGGGGUUGGUUAAUUAAAGAGGAGAAAGAUGAUGGCUUGCACUUUUCCAAUGCAUUUUUUACUUCACUUUAUAAUUUGUCCUAAAAUCUCUAGAUGUACACUCUUCUCUAUUCUACCGCAUACAGAAAUCUAGCAGAGUCUGUCAUUUGUGUGGUUGCAGCCAUAUGACAUGUAGAGGUUGCAAAGGCAAAACACAAACUCGGAUUCGCUAAAAAGACAUUUUCGUGGUUUUCGUACAUGUGUGCCCCACCUGUCAUAAGUUACAACGGUUCUUUUCAAAAGAUUCAGACUUUAGUUCGAACGCAAAGCGAAGCAUUAUUCAUUGCUGACCUUUUACAUCGCAUUACGCAUAAAGAACACAUUUUGGUAGAUCCACCCUUUUCAAGGCAAGAGCACAAGCAAACAGUUGUCAUUUCUUGUCAGACUUUUUCAUCUCCCAAUACACCCAUAAUAAGGACCCAUGACAAAUUUUAUUUGUUCGGGCCAUAUUUAGGCUUGAUUCAUUUUUUUGUGAAAAAUGCAAGGAUACAAUCGGUGCCUAAAUAGAAGCAAAUUAGAUAUAAGAAUUGUAUCUAAAAUUUAGACAAUGUGAGAUUAUUAUGUCACCAUCAAUGAUAUAAUAUAUUAUCUAAACCAUUGCUUAUUGUUUUGCAACCGUCUUACAUCAAAUCGUUAAUAACACACAUCAUGGUAGAUCUAUCCUCUUCAAAGCGAAGCACAACCAAAUUGUUGCCACUUCUUGAGAUACUUAUUCAGAUUCCUAUACACACAUAAUAAGACCUCAUUCAAAUUUCACUUUUUGAGCCAUAUUUUGGUGGUUUAAUAUUUUAAGAAAAAUGCAAAUGGCGUAUAAAUACAAAAAAAUGUUGUACACUAUAGACCCAUACAAAUUCGUACAACAACCUAAAACUGCAUUUCAAUCAUGUUUUUGAAAGUAUAACCAAAGAUUUACGAAAGUGCUUACAUAUUUUAUAAAAUUGUUCCCACCAAUUUAGAAAAGUUUGUCAUUAUCGUUACCUCAAUAAUCCCGACCACUCCCAAGUUUUCAUUCCCUCAAUUUUUUUUGUUCCCUCCAGCAAUUUUAAAUGUCACGCUCAGCUUUCCCCAUCAUUCCUAAAUACCUCUUAUUCACAACAUUUCCCCGCAACCUCAGUCACGCCGCUCCCUUCUUCCUCUCUUCUUCUGCAAAUCCGGUGCCAUCCUGGAGGAGUAUGGGUCCAUCUCUGGCAUACGACAUGGUCGGCAAACUUGAAGCUGGAACGUCCGCAAACCUUCUCCGCCUACCCUAAAACCUAAUCUUAAAUGACCAAGUGCUCUCUUCCCCCUGCCCCACCCACCCCCUCUAAGAUUUGACGUGCGUCUAGAUUCAUACGUGUUGUUCAUUUUGCCCUCUUGAUGUAAUUACAUCUAUGUUACCUGUACUAGAACUCCAACUUUGGGUUUAUAUUAGGGUACAAACUGCAGGUCAUUCUAUCUAGGGUUCUAGUUAAGUUUCCAUGUUCUUAAUCAAAUUGUCAUACUAAUAAUGUAUUUUAUUUUAUGCAACUUGUGACCAUACCUUCAUUNNNNNNNNNNNNNNNNNNNNNNNNNNNNNNNNNNNNNNNNNNNNNNNNNNNNNNNNNNNNNNNNNNNNNNNNNNNNNNNNNNNNNNNNNNNNNNNNNNNNNNNNNNNNNNNNNNNNNNNNNNNNNNNNNNNNNNNNNNNNNNNNNNNNNNNNNNNNNNNNNNNNNNNNNNNNNNNNNNNNNNNNNNNNNNNNNNNNNNNNNNNNNNNNNNNNNNNNNNNNNNNNNNNNNNNNNNNNNNNNNNNNNNNNAUAGGCGCUUUAAAAUAAUUACAGUUUAGGCUUGAAUAAAUGCAGUAUAAAAUUAGUGUUUAAUUUGUCAAGCACAAAACCUAAAUAUACUAGGCUCAACUAUGUGCACCAACAACUUAUACUAAGGAAGAUAAACAAGUAUGUGAUAGCAAGAUCUAUAAAUUGAAGCACUAAGGAUAUCACAAAGUAAGUGCACAACUAAGGGGCCUGGGUAAGAGAUAACCGAGCAUGCGGAGAUGAGGAAGUAUCCCGAAGUUCACACCCUUGCGGAUGCUAAUCUCUGUUAGAGCAGUGUGGAGGCACAAUGCUUCCCAUAAUGUUACUAGGGCCACCAUAUUAUCUUCACACCCUAAGAAUAAAAGUUAUGACAAUUUAAAGUUAGAGGGACUUUUAUGCAAAACUACCUAAUUGGUUGUAAUUAAAUAAUUUAAGUUUAAAAGCUAUGCCAGGUGUCGUGAUCUGGGUCACGCUGUUCAAUGAUAACGAACAACACUGGCUGAUCGGUAUUGAUUCAGCAAAAUCAAAACACAACCGUAGCUAGGGUUUCGGCUUCACCUAAGUUUUCUUACCAAAUCGAGACCGACGGCGACGGUGAACAUCAACGAUGCUACAAUGGGUUUCGGGACCUGCUUGUUAUACCCUUGGACGCAGACAGUUCCGGUGAUGAUCGAGGUAUCUUGUCGGAGUUGCUUCAACACUCGGGAGUUGUUGGGUUCGGUCAUUGGUGUCGCUCUGGUGCUCCUGAGUUCAAGCCAAUGGGUUAGUGCGACGCACAACAGCAGGACGAACUCGUCGAGCAAGGUCUGGGGCGCAGUUCGACUCGUUGGAACGGUUGACACAGCGGGGAUGCGGUCGGGUGCAGAUACCCACGCCCUGAGCUUGACAUGGACAUGUCAAGGUGUCAAAACGGUGUGCUAGACCACAUGGAUGAAGUGAGAAAGAAAUUGGCCUAGGGGUUCACCUGUGCUCGCCGAAAAUGCUCGUCAGAGCUGCUUCUAGUGGCAGCGCAAGGACAAAUCCGGGCAGCCUGGUGGCGAAGGGGUGCACGGUUGCUGGGGGGUUGAACGAGGGGGUGGGGGGUAUUGAACGGUGUUAGAAGGAAGAGAGGGAUUUGGUGGAAUAGUUCUUGUAUUGCUUGAGCCUCGUGGGCAUAUAUAUAGGAGUACAUGAUCUACUUGAAGUACAAGGCAAGCCAGAAUAUUUCCUAGUCUAACCUAUGUUUCCUAAUACAAUCACGUUACUCAACAUCCCCCCGCAGUCACAACGGUAGCGACGCAGACGGUGAGACUGGAGAAGAAUCCAAAGGCAAGCCGACGGACACCGCCCCACAGUCGUAACGGUCGACGCAUCGCGGAGUCGUGGCUGGAGUAACAACCGACGAGGUUCCUCAAGCAAGGCGGUAGCCCUUUGUGCCGUUUGUCGAUGUAGCCGAGAGCGUGGGUAGUGGAGCUGUGGUCGAGGUAGCCGUGCGAAAAAUGCCGUGGUCGAUGUCGAGUCGGGGUGGCCGGUGUCGAGGAAGUCGCUGUGGAGCCGCGGGCGCAAGGGGGCGCCGAGUUAGCAUGGGCGCAGUGGUGUCGAAGUAGGGGUGCACCGGGAAGAAAAUGUUGUUGACGACGCGUCGCGGCGGAUUUGCCAAGCCCGGGGACACAUCGUGGACGAAGGCACGCACCGGUGUUGCCAACACCAGACAUGCAUAGACGGACGAAGACAAAGUUGACGAAGCGCCGACCAGGCUUGCCAGGCUCGGGGACACGUCGUGGAUGAAGGCACGCAUCAGUGUUGCCAGCACCGGGCAUGCGUAGAUGAGGGACCUGCAUGAGCUGUACGCCAUGUCGGAGAAGUCGGAGGGGCCAGCAGAGAAGAACUCGACGACGAUUGCGGCGUCCAUCGGCGCGGGGCCGAUGUUACCAACGGUGGUCGGAGUAGACGAAGUGGUCGGGGUAGAUGACGGCGACGCUAGCGAUGGGCUGGUGCUGGACGAAGACGAAGGAGGUGGACGGGCGGCGGCGGCUACGUGGGUAGCAGCGGCGGCUAGGUUAGGAGCGCGGCGGCGGUGCUUGAAGUAGGAGAAGAACCCGACAGCAUGACCAAGACCGGCGCGGAAGGUGGCGUUCCCGCGCCAAAGGAGGCGGCGCGACGCAUACCACGGAAAGUCAACGCGCGUGGACGAUGAAGUGGACCAUGGGCCUCCGCGCUACGGCCCGAAGGGGCGACGCAGCGGCGGCGGGCAGGUCGGGGUGAUGGCGGGAAGACCUCGGGGCGCCGGCAGGGACCGCGGGCCGUGGUGCGACAGCCCGAAGGCGCGGCGCAGCGGAGGAGUGCGGGUCGGUGCAACCACGGGGACGGCCUCGGGACGUCGGCGUGGACCGCGUGCCACGCUCGCUACGGCCCGACGGGGCGACGCAAUGGCGGCGCGAGGGUCGGUGCCGCCACGGGGACGACCUGGAGCGGACGGUCUCUGGGCGGCGGUGGAAUGCGAGCUGCGGUACUACGGCCCGAAGGGGCAACGCAGCGGUGACGCGGGUCGGUGCAGCCGGGAGAAGAACCACAGGGCGGCGGCGCUGCGGCCCGACGGGGUGACGCAGCGGCAGCCCGUUGCUCGAUCGGUAGAGGGGCGCGCUGAACUCGGGAUGGUCUUCACGGGGCCUGCGGAGGCACGCGCAACGGACGGGCCAGGUCGGUCGCACGGAGUAGAUGAGGCGGAUCACGGCGGCGGGCAUGUGAUCAAUCCGAUCGCGCGCGAGGUCGGGGACGCUGCUCGGUGGAGGCGCGGUGGCAGCGGAGUCCGAGAUGAAGCCGACGAUGGCAGGCGGCAGGGCGGCUAUGAUUGGCUGCCACAUGGCGUGAGGCCGUCAGGUCGGGGUGAUGCAGGAGUCCCGGUCGGAGCAGGGCGGUGACAGCCCGCGUAGAUCAACGGGCGGGUCGUCGCGCGAACGGCGGCGGUGAAGGGCCGCCGCGUGACGCGAGGCCGCCGGGUCGGGGCUACCGGCGGGCCGAUGCAAGAACGCCGCGCGAGGCCGCCGGGUCGGGGCGAUCGACGGGCAGACGCGCGAACGACGCGCGAGGCCGCCGGGUCGGUGAAGAAGCCGGCCAAUCGCGCCGGUGUUGGAGUAGAGGCGCACGGGGUCACUAUAAAAAAAUACAUUUCCGUGAUGAUACGUGUUUGUCACAGUAGGUCGCUUUUUUUGUCAUGCAUGUACAUCCAUGACAAAUUUAUGACAGAAUCAAGAUAGUCAUAUGUGUGCUGUCGUAGAAGUGUUCCAUGACAUUACCAAAAUUAUCAUCACGGAAGUGUCCACUUUCAUGACGAUAAAUUGCGCGUCACAGAAGUGCUUUCGUCAAGGGUGACCGACACGUGGCAUCCACCGUAGCGGAACGCCGUUAAGCUAUCGGGUCGGGUUUUGGAUCCGAUAACCCGUUAACAGCCCCGACCAAUGGGGAUUUUCCACGUGUAAAAUCAUCAUUGGCUGGAGGAAACAUGUGUCGGCUCAUCGUUGGGACAGAUGUCAACCACUCAUUGGACGGAAGGUGCCUAUGAUACGUUGACACGUGGCACGGCCCAACAAAGGCCCAUUCAUGUGAAAAGGCCGGCCCGUUGACUUGGUCAAAAGCUGGCGGGCCGGCCCAUGAAAAGCCUGUUAACGGCCUGUUCGAAUAUAGCUCAUUUACAGCCCGCUAACCCAAGGCCCGUUACGCCCUAUCCGAAUUAGGCCCAGUAGCGUCAUCUGGGCCAUCCAAUAUGAUUCCAGCCCGUUUUCACUUCUGGCCCAUGUAUGGCCCAUGACGUCUUUCGGCCCAUAUGAGGCCCUAUGUAACUCUUGGCCUACUAACGGCCCGUGGUGAAACUGGCCGGUAAUGAACAGUGUAUCACUUUACACCCAUUAACGGCCCGUGGUGAAACUGGCCCGUAAUGAACAGUGUAUCACUUUAUACCCAUUAACGACCCGUUAUUCCGUUGGGCCGUUUCCAGCCCAUGUUAUCUUUCGGCCUUCUCAGAGCCCAUUUAUUCUUGGGCUCAUUUCCAGCAUUCGUUUACUUACGGCCCAUUACUGUCAUUUUCUGCUUGUGGGCCAAAUUCAGCUCGUGGUUACAGUCGGCCCGUUUGUGGUCCGUUAAUACGUUGGGCCAAUUUCAUAGCGUCAUCAAAUACGGCCUAUUAACGAUGGCCCGUUAUGGUCGGCCCAUGAACGGACGAUUCCAACUCUAGCCCGUUUACGGCCAUAAUGCAGUCUGUUUGGCCCAUGUUUGGCCAAUCGAUUAUACGGCCCGUAUAAGGCCCAUUGAUAAUACGGCCCGCAGAAGACCAAUUGUUUCUACGGCCCAUAGAAGGCCCAUUGUUUCUACGGCCCGUAGAAGGCCCACUAUUUCUACGGCCAGUAGGAGGCCCAGUGUCACUACAGUAAAUAUUAGCCCAUGGUUAUUGUGGCCUAGUUUUAAAAAAUAGGUUAUUGCAGCCACUAGCUAACCGCGGAAAAAGAACUGCAAUGACUACAAGCAAACAAAUAAACAAGACAACAAGGAAAUAAAUAAGCAAGCAACUAACGCUAGGCUAUCACGGCUAUUACACAUAAUACAUCCACUAGGCAUCAAAGUUCGCCACCAGUGCAAAUAUAGGGAACAAAGCAGCAUAUCAUAUACACUGGUUGUCAAAGUUGGCGACCAGUGCAAAUAAACGCCGCAGCAAAACAAAUCCAGAACUGAAACCACUUCAAAAGAUCUCAAGAAACAAAAUCCAGGGUACCCAUAAUGCUGGCAAGAUGCUUAGCAAGCUUAUUAACUUUCUCUUGUUUGGCGCUUAAAUCCUCUAGCGCUUGUUGUUGCCCUAGAAAAUAUGCAUCUGAAUUCUGCAGGGACUUCCUCAGUCCUUCAGCUUCCUGUCGCAGCGCAUCUGAUCGAUGUCUUUGAACUUGAAGUUGAGACUCAAGAAGACGAACUGAUUCAGGCAGCGAGUUCGGAGAGCUUGUGCCAGCAGUAGUGGCCAGUAACUCGAACACUACAUCAAGACAGGACUUUUGUGUUCCCACACUGUCGUCAAGAUAGUUUUUAUCAACUUUCUUGGAGACCAACAGGGAUGUCUCACUAUCUUGAACCUUAUCUGCAUUACUUUCUUUACCAUUGGAUAACGCGGUACUGUUCUCCAAUAUUUUGUCCGCAUUCUAAAAGAGAAACAAGCAGACACAUCACAUGUUUACCAUGUUGUAUAUGAAACUCAUUUUGGUAAAUGAGUUCAGUAGUAAAGUGGACAGGAUAACAACAUGAACAAACAUAUAUCUAUGUACCAUGGUCACUUUAUGGUCUAUAUCAUUCUAGUUUUUGUUGCCAAAUCAAGAUAGAGACACAGUUCAAAUAAUAUUUGUUCAAGACAAAGCAGAAUAGAUAGAAUAUAAGUGUGGGUAACUAUAGAGCAAUAACAACACUUGUAAUGUGCAUGACAUGAGAACAUAACUGUUUAUUCAAUUGAAACUGAAAUCAACAUAGAGCAGGUUACAACAGCAAACCAGUUAAAGAAACAGGUUUAAAACAUACAUGUUGCGCCAUUGGAGUUUCAAUUCCAUCCUUCAAAUUUGAAAAUAGUUGGUAUGAGUAAAUACAGUCAUGCAAGAGCAAAGGAGUAUGAAUCAUAGCUACAGAACCUGACCUGAGAACAAAUCUUCUUCUCCUUUAAGCGUUGAGUUGGGAUUCGGAGUGGUGGUCCUCGUGCUUUCGGCACUGCAGUUCCCUUACUAACUGCUCGUGUUUGGGUGCUCUGUGGUGGAAACGGUGAUGUGUCAACCGGAACUGGGUUACUAUCUGCCGGGGUUGGGGUUAGAAGGGGUGUAGCUGGUUCUCUGUCCAACUGGGUAGGGGUACAAUCUGCGAGAGUCUGGGUUAUGUGUGGUGGAUCUGGUCCUUGGGCAAGUACAACCGUGGUUCUAUCUGCAUCAACUGGUAACACUAUCUUUUCUGAAGACCGUGUUGUUACUCCCUCAGAUACUGCCAUCACGCUCUCCAAUUCAAAUGGCUGAUAAACAAGAAAAGUAAUUGAAAGUAUAGACAUUGUAUGAUAGACAGGUGCAAUGGAUAGUGGGGAAUAAAAGAGGGCAUGAAAUAAUUCAUAUUUAUGUUGUCUAACCAAACAUGAUAGCAUGACAGAAUUUCACAUAUAUUAUGGCUAACUAAACAUGAUAGCAUGACACAAUUUCACAUUAUGAUGGCUAACUAAAAAAGAUGGAAAGACAUAGUUCAAAAUAUGAGACUAUGUAAACAGGAUGACAUGACAUAACUAUAUAAUGUGUUUAUUAAAUAGGUUGGCAUGCCAUAAUUCACAUACAUUCACGGAUAGAAUGCCAUAAUUCAAAAUAUGACGACUGUAAACACUAAACAGAAUGAGAUGAUAUAACUAUAUGAUGUCUUUAUUAAAUGGGUUGUCAUGCCAUAAUUCAGAUAAAUGAUGUGUAUGUACUAUGUAAACAUGAUGGCAUGAUAUAAUUCAAAUAUAUGAUUUAUAUAGUAAGCAAGUAAGCAGAUGGAAAUCCAUAUAUGAUGUAAAAACUAAGCAAUGCAAGACAACAUGCAUGACAUGGGUAAUAUAACCCUGCCAAGUUUGAGCAUAGACCUCAGGGGGAAAAUAAGACUGGUCAUCAGUCUCUGAAUCCUCCUUUGAGGAGCUAUCUAUAACUAGCAAGAUGUCUGCUUCAGCGGGUAGAAUUGUCUGCUCUGAAUACCUUGUUUUCACUCCAGAUACUUCCAUCACCGCUUCAAAUGGCUGAUGCACAGGAAGAGUAGUUGAAUAUACAAAUGUUGUCGCCAAAUGGAACACAUAAUACAAAAAAAUGAUAGCAUGAUAUAAUUCACAUACAUGAUGAUUGGCUAAACAGCAUGGCAUUGCAUAAUUCACAUAUAUAAUGCCUUUGCAACAAGGUAGCAUUGUAUAAUUCACAUAUAUAAUGUCUUGCAACAAGAUGGCAAUGCAUAAAUCACAUAUAUGGUAAUUAGACACUGAACAGGUGGCAUUCACACAAAGCAUGUCUAAACUAAUCAAAUGACAUAGCAAUGCGAGACACCAUACGCACGAUAUGAGCAACAUAACCCUGCCAAGUUAGAGCAUACACCUCGGGGGGGAAUAGGACUGGUCAUCUGUCUCUGAAUCCUCCUCUAAGGAGCUAUCCGUAACCAGCAAGAUAUGCGCUUCAUCAGAUAGCAUAAUCUGCUCUGAAGACCUUGUUUUCACUCCAGAAUUUGCCAUCACCGUGUCAAAUGGCUCAUGCACAUGAAGAGCAGUUGAAUGUAAUAACAUUUUUGACAAAUGUAAUAUGUAACGAAAAAAGGAUGGCCUGAUAUAAUUUACAUAUAAGAUGACUGGCUAAGCAGGAUGGCAUUGCAAAAUUCACAUAUAUGAUGCCUGGCUAAACAAGAUGGCGUUGCAUAAUUCACAUAAACGAUGAAUAAACUAAACAGAUGGCAUUCGCACAAAGGAUGUCUAAACUAAGCAGAUGACAUAUUUGAUGUAUAAAGUAAGCAAUACAAGACACCAUAUGCAUGAUAUAACCAACAUCAGCAUGCCAAGUUAGAGCGAAGACCUCAGGGGGUAAAUAGGAGUUGUCUUCUCCUUCUGAAUCCCCCUCAGAACAGAUAUCUUCCUCUCGAUUAAAAUCUGAAAUGCGUGGAGGGGGGCUGCCUUUGCGCCUACCAUGGAGCGACGUCUGCAUGAAAUUUUAUUGCCAUAGAAGGCUUGUCUCUUUUGCUCUACAUGUUCAGUUCCAUUGUUUACAAUAACUGCCAUGCAUAGGAAUAAAAGAUAGUGAGAUUAUGUAAGGAGUGCAUGCAGAAAUCCAGAGUGAUGGUAGCAACCUAUGUGUAGACCCAAAACCAAUAAUAGCAGGCAAAUAAUGGCUUCAGUUAAAAAAUACAGAUAAUGGCUUCUUUACUGUUUGUUUCCCACCCAACAUGAAACUCAUAGUAGACACCGGAGAUUAACCAGAUAGUAGAUAGAUACUAUUGAUAGCGGCCCCGAUAUGUACCCCACAACCAUUUAAAAACUCAAGUUUAACCAUUAGUUUGGAGCUUACUCAGAGUCUAAUCAGUGAACAAGACGAUAAAGUAGCAUGUAAUAUUAAGCGAUGCAUAACGUAAGAAGACAUGAAAGAGUGCGACCUCUCUUGCGGACCCGUGUAGUCCUCGAGGUCAUCUGCUCGGUUGAUGAUGGUAGUGCAGUUUUCAUGGCUGCCAGCGGCAGGGAAGAAGAUCUGAGGCGGCGAAAGACACUCUGGAGGCCGGAUCCCUGCUGUGCUGGACCCUUCUGUCGUUGGAGCAGCUGAGCUGGGGUGGACGACGGCGCAGCAGGAGCGGGACAAACCACGCAAGGUUUUCUUUGACAACUAUCUGUAAGAGAAGUAAUUUUGUGAGGGCUCGUUUGAAUUGGAGGAUUCCAACAACGCAGGGAUAGGAAAUAGACAUGAAUAGGAUAGGAAUGCACGUGCAAAACAGAGAAUUUAAAAACACAGGAUUUCUGCCAAUCUGGGUGUUUGAUUCACAACAAUUGGAAGAUCACAGGAUGCAAAGAAGCAUGGUGAGAUUAAGUCAAACCAUAAGAAAAUGCACGGUUAUAAUGCUAUUAUGCUACUAUCUCUUAGUCGUGUGCUUCAUGAAUAGGAAUUUGAAAAGGAGGACAAGUGAAAAUUAAAAUUCCUACGUUUUUUCUUUCAAGGAGACACUAAAGGAACAAAUCCGUGUGCUCAGUAGACAAUAUAUAUAACAUGUAGAGUAAAAAGAGAUGCAACAAGUGUACAACCUCUUUGGCGAAGCCAUGUCGAUCUCAGCGUGAUUGGGUUGGCCGGUGAGGAUGCUCCGACUGACUUGGCUGUCGGAGGAGGGGAAGAAGAUCUUAGGCGUCUGGAGAUGGAGCCUGAGGUACUGCUCUGCUGUGAUGGAGGAUUUCAUCGUUGGAGCAGCUCCGGUGAGUUGUACGACGCCGAGGUUGAAGCGGGACAAGAGAGACAAUGAACAACGUUAACCUGAGUGGAAUUCUAAUAGAAUCUCCAAUACAUGACGUAAAAUACAUAACCACAAAGUGCUAGAUGUAAAAUACAUCAGCUGCUCAUCUCUGAACUUAACUAUCAAAACUGAAUUUAACUGUCGCAACUGAACUUAACUGUCGAAACUGAACUUAACUGUCGAAACUGAAUUUUGCUGUCGAAACUGAAUUUUGCUGUCGAAACUGAACGCACUAGCAAGGUGAGGCUACACGUUGGUCGACUGACUUUUUCAUUUCUGGUCAGGCGAUUUUGCAGCCCGUGGAUAUGAAAUCAAGGGCCCGCAGUUCAUCUUCAACCUCCACCCCCCUGAGCCGGCCAAACAGCAGCCCCCUGCCGCCCGUGGCCGGCGGUGCGCCGCACCGCCCGCCCCCGAAAACACUCCCACCGCCGGUCCGCCGCCGCCCUGGCCAUCCCUCUAGCCCCUCCACCCCCCGUGCCGAGCUUUUUCUCCGGCGAUCCCCACGCCACCGCCCCACCAACGCCCCGCCACCACCGGCGACCACCGCCCCCAUCCUGAACCCUAAGAUAGAUAGUGGGGUACCUCUCCAGCGAGCCCCCCUCCCCGCUGCGGCUGGCUCUUCCUUCACCCCGGCGGCAUCGGAGUGAAGUGUAGCUAAAUAGGAGCAGCAUCGCAAGCAAGAGCAAGAGCGAGAGCAGCAGCGCGAGCAAGAGCAAUAGCAAGAGCAGACCAGGCAGGGACCGAGAGCAAGAGCAGAGCAGCAGCGCAAGCGAGAGCUAAAGCAGUAGCAGGUCCAACUGAUGUGGACGUCGCCACCGAGGGAGCGACGCCGUGGAGGAAGUGGCCGGUGACGCUGCUAUGGAUGGAGCCGCGCCGUGUCGGCUCGGGACCGAGCGCCGGCAGCACCGUGAGAUCGAAUCAAGAACAAAAUGCGGCGAUUAGUGUACAACCUCUGUGGUGGCGCCGAUUAGGCCGCAGCUUCAUCCGAGGAAACGGUGGUGAUGAUGCUCUUUCGGUGGUGUAGGUGAAGACGGCGGUGUGGGAAUGGAGGUGGCGCGAAAGACGAGGGGAACGUCGAGGCAGCUCCUUGGAGGUGGAGGACGGGGUGGCUGAACCGGCGGGACGAUGAGAUCGACGACGGAUCCUCAUCCGGACGGUGGAUGAGGGACGUCAAGGUGUUGCUGUGGACGACGUCGUCGGGGAAGAGGCUCCGGCUGGGUGGCGGACGGAGCAGGGUGUGGGGUUUCGUCGCGGGUUUUCGCGGCCUCGGUGUACGAAUGGGUGGGCGGAUGGGAUGGCAGUGGGGAACCAUGGCUUAGAGACGCGCUUGUCUGAAAUGUGGGGUAACUUACGAAAGUACCCCCACCGAUUUGAGGUGGUUCUUUUGGUUCAGGGGUACCACGGGCAUUUCGCGUGUUGGGACUUCACAGGAGGUGGGAGUUUUCGCGCGCGUUGUAAUUUCGGAAUAGCAAGGCGUGGGUUGAGAAGGAGGGAGUUGUCAGAGCACAACGAGACAAAGAUAUAUCUUAAAUAUUUCGGGCUAACAAGGCGCAGGUUGAAAUUUCCGGACAAGCCUAACGUGUACUGUACCAAAUCAAUGCGCCCUACAAAUGCCAUUCAAAACUUUGAGUUCAUGUUAUGUUCAAUUAAAAUAUUUCGCUACGUGUAUGAUGCAUGCAACCUACUACUCAAAUGAACGUUUUAGUGCAUUCCAAACGUAUAUAUUACCGCUUCAAUAUGAACUAAAUUUGAAUUCGUUUCUCUAUUUGAAUAAGAUCUACAGUAAUGAUUGUUGUGAAGUCAAAGCAUUUGAAUUCGUUUCUCUAUUUUAAUAAGAUCUACAAUCAUCAUUAUUGUCAAGUUAAACCAUCGUUUGUGUAUUAUCUUCACAGCACACCACAUGAUUAGUCUCGAGUUACAUAUGAACUAUGUGUACUAUAUGAACUCGAACUAGAUUUUCUGAAUCCACUUUAUUUUGAUUUCAAAUCACAUUACAUAAUCUAAACCAUGUCUCAUAUGUAUAAUGUGUUUAUCACAUUAUGUAUGGUGCCCCGCCCCCUACGCCUACAAGUAUUUAGAUGUGAGUUGCAAACACCACACAUUACCACAAAUUCAAAUAAAAUGUGAGAAUGUUCGAUAUAUAGUAUUGUUUAGAUUGUUCGAUAUUUAGUUGUAAACUGCAAACGCCACACAUUAUCACAAAUUCAAAUAAAAUGUGAGAUUGUUUGAUGUAUAGUAUGGUUUAGAUUGUUCGGCAUUUAGCUGUGAGUUGCAAACACCAUGCAUUAUCACAUUAUGGUAUAACAUGUGCACAGCACGUGUAUCACCGCUAUAUUCAUGCAUGUAAUGUUUAAAACACUAUGAUCUCCUAUUCAAAUAUAUGAAUCCGCUUUCAUAUCAAAUUAUGAUCUUUGUUAGUAUCUUACACCCACACAAUCCUCUAACCUUUGUAGCUACCACUAACUUUCUCUUGUGCAUUCACACGCCCUCCUCGCCCUCCCCCUCCCUCGACAUUCUAUCCACCGGGCAUAUUCAUUUUUUUUCUUUAGGUCGUUCCCCCACAGUCUCCACAACUCCUUUCCGACACACACCGAUCGAUAAACCUCUCCAGCGAUUGAUACGUCUCCAACGUAUAUAUAAUUUUUGAUUGCUCCAUGCUAUAUUAUCUACUGCUUUGGGCAAUAUUGGGCUUUAUUAUCCACUUCUAUAUUAUUUUUGCGACUAACCUAUUAACCGGAGGCCCAACCCAGAUUUGCUGUUUUAUGCCUAUUUCAGUGUUUCGAAGAAAAGGAAUAUCAAACAGAGUUGAAACGGAACGAAAUCAACUGGAGAAGUUAUUUUUGGAAGGAAACCUACCGGAUAGACUUGGACCCUACGUCAGAAGAUGAAGGAGGAGCUCACGAGGGUAGGGCACGCCCACCCCCCUGGGGUGCGCCCCCCUACCUCGUGGCCCCCCUUCGGUUCACCGACGUACCUCCUGCACCCAUAUAUACCUACGUAACCUAAAACUUCCAGAACAGAGAUUAGAUCAGGAGUUCCGCUGCCAGAAGCCUCCGUAGCCAUCGAAAACCAAUCUAGACCCGUUACGGCACCCUGCCGGAGGGGGCAAUCCCUCUCCGGUGGCCAUCUUCAUCAUCCCGGUGCUCUCCGUGACAAGGAGGGAGUAGUUCUCCCUCGGGGCUGAGGGUAUGUACCAGUAGCUAUGUGCUUGAUCUCUCUCUCUCUCUCUCUCUCGUGUUCUUGAGGUGAUACGAUCUUGAUGUAUCGCGAGCUUUGCUAUUAUAUUUGGAUCCUAUGAUGUUUUCUCCCUCCCCCUCUUCUCUCUUGUAAUGAAUCGAGUUUCCCCUUUGAAGUAAUCUUAACGGAUUGAGUCUUUAAAGAUUUGAGAACACUUGAUGUAUGUCUUGCCGUGGAUAUCUGUGGUGACAAUGGAAUAUCACGUGAUUCACUUGAUGUACGUUUUGGUGAUCAACUUGCGGGUUCCGCUCAUGAACCUAUGCAUAGGGGUUGGCACACGUUUUCGUCGUGAUUCUCCGGUAGAAACUUUGAGGCACUCUUUGAGGUCCUUUGUGUUGGUUGAAUAGAUGAAUCUGAGAUUGUGUGAUGCAUAUCGUAUAAUCAUACCCACGGAUACUUGAGGUGACAUUGGAGUAUCUAGGUGACAUUCGGGUUUUGGUUGAUUUGUGUCUUAAGGUGUUAUUCUAGUACGAACUCUAGGGCUAUUUGUGACACUUAUAGGAAUAGCCCAACGAAUUGAUUGGAAAGAAUAACUUUGAGGUGGUUUCGUACCCUACCAUAAUCUCUUCGUUCGUUCUCCGCUAUUAGUGACUUUGGAGUGACUCUUUGUUGCAUGUUGAGGGAUAGUUUUAUGAUCCAAUUAUGUUAGUAUUGUUGAGAGGACUUACACUAGCGAAAGUAUGAACCCUAGGCCUUGUUUCCUAGCAUUGCAAUACCGUUUACGCUCACUUUUAUCACUUGCUACCUUUCUGUUUUUAUUAUUUCAGAUUUCAAAUACCUUUAUCUACUAUCCAUAUACCACUUGUUUCACAAUCUCUUCGCCGAACUAGUGCACCUAUACAAUUUACCAUUGUAUUGGGUGUGUUGGGGACACAAGAGACUCUUUGUUAUUUGGUUGCAGGGUUGCUCGAGAGAGACCAUCUUCAUCCUACACCUCCUACGGAUUGAUAAACCUUAGGUCAUCCACUUGAGGGAAAUUUGCUACUGUCCUACAAACCUCUGCACUUGGAGGCCCAACAACGUCUACAAGAAGAAGGUUGUGUAGUAGACAUCAAGCUCUUUUCUGGCGCCGUUGCCGGGGAGGUGAGUGCUUGAAGGUAUAUCUUUAGAUCUUGCAAUCGAGCCUUUUAGUUUCUUGUUUUAUCACUAGUUUAGUUUAUAAAAGAAAAUUACAAAAAAAGGAAUUAAGUUUGCCUCAUAGCUUCAUCUUUUUAAUAUCUUUCGUGAGUAUGAUGGAAAGGAUAAUUGUGCUCAAGUGCUAGAAGAAUAAAUCUAUAAAAUGUUUGGCACUAAAUAUUUGAAUGAUGAGCAUGAUUGCAAUGUUGUUAGAAUGAAUUCCUUGAAUAUCUAUGAUGCUAAUGAUAUGCAAAGCCACAAUCUUGGGGAAGCUAUGUUCGAUGAAGAUGAUAUUUUUUGUCCCCCGCCAUCUCAAAGGAUUCCGCUACUGACAUUAAGCUACCAACAGCUCGACUCCCGUGCCGCUCCCGCGGGCAGCCCGGGAGUUAACCCUAGCCGCCGCCAGUUCCUCACCUCCGGUUCUUCUCCCCUCGCCGCCGCCGGCAUGGGUCGCCGGGCAAAGCCCGCGCGGCCUGGCGGCGGCAGGGCCCUCUCCACCUCUGUUUCGGGGCUUCGCGGCGCGGGCCGUUGGCCUCGGCAGGAGUGUGUGGGGGCGCUCUGCUCAAGGCAGCGCGGCAAGACGGCGGCGCGGCGCAGGAUGGCCCUGGCGCGCAGGUCGCGACGCGGGUUGGUUCUGGCGCGCAGGUCGUGGCGCGGACGUGAGCGGAUCUGGCGCCUGGAGGGUUCACGGUGGGCGGGGCGUCUGCGCCUGGCGUGGAGGGCGCGCUGUGGUGCGGCUCGGCUGCGCAUGGAGGUGCAGCGCGGGCGUGGGAGGUCUGGGCGGCCCAGAUCUGGCGAGCGCAGUGGCAUCGGCUUGGGCGUCGCGGCCCCCUCUCCCUUCCCUUGACGGGAUCUAGCACGCGGAGCUUCUGGCGGCGCGGCGCGCCUAGGCUCUGGCAGCAGCCCUGUUCUGCGGAGGUGGCGGUGGUGGGUUGCUUCGUCCGGUGGCAGGCGCCCUUGGGGUGCUCACGGCAGGGUGUGCGGCGGUUGUCCCUGAAGCCUUGCGCGGGGCACAGCAGGAUGGAGGAUGCUGGUGGUGCAUCGACUCUGGCGGUGGCGGCGGUGCGAGCGCAGCCAUGGCGGCGGCGGCGCUGCGAGGCCUGGCCAGGAAGGGACUUGGCGGGCAGCGGGCGUUCGGCUGCUGCCGUGUGAGGCGUGCAGCGAUGCCUUGGCGGUGUGGGUGCCGGAGUGUGGUCGGAGGUGCGGGUUCUGAUCCAUUCUGGUGGCAGUCCCCUGGCGCAGGUGAAGGCCACUGUGGCGGAUCUGGCUGUGCACCACUCGGUGGUUGCUGCGGUUCCUAGUCGAGGUUGAAGGUGAUGGCUUUAGGCGUGUUCCCUCGGCAGUGAGGGGGGCUUCGAUGGCAAGUUGCUGCGGUGACGGCGGUGUGAGGCAUCUGAUCGGGACUGGCCGGGAUCUUUGAGACGUGGAGGUGUGCGGUGCUACGGAUGAAAAUCUUGUUCGGUUGUGGCUGGACCGGCGUUGAUGGCACCUACGGGUGUCAUUCACCUUCCUGGAGGCUUCGCCGAGUGCAACGCCAUCUUCCUCGCGACCUUGUAACGGCAGCUGUCUCUGGGGCGAAAGCCUUGAUUCGUAGAAUCAGCAUGAUGGCAACGUCCUUGAGGUUGUUACUCUAUUGGGAGCAUUGUGAUCGGAGACUCGAGGUCCCAUGAUGCGCUCCUCCGACGUUCACCGCUGCCCAGAUCUUUCUCCUUCGGCGCCAUGUACGGUCGUCGCCGGCUUAUCCAAGGAAGCUGGAGUUGCUGUUCUUCGGAGGUCUUCAGCGUCGGCCGAGACGCGGCAAGGGGUUCGGUGUAGGGCGGGCGUUUUGUGUCGUAGUUGUGUUGUGGUGGUUUUGGUUGUCCUUGUACGAUCCAGGUGUGGAGUGGGUCGCCUUCGUUGUUCGCAGCGACUGGUUGACGUUGUUGUAUGUCUCAUUUCUCUUCUUCUAUAAAGCUAAGGUACGCAAUUUGCGUACCCUCGGAAAAAAAUAUUUUUUGUCCCCCAUGUUUUGAUGAGCAAAUUUUUAUGAUGAAAGCAUGCCUCCUAUCUAUGAUGAUUAUUGUGAUGACACGUAUACUUUAAAGAAUAAUGAUAACCAUGAAACUUGUCAUCUUGAUCUUAAUUUUCAAUCACAUGAUAGUUAUUUUGUUGAGUUUGCUCCCACUAUUAUUCAUGAGAAGAAUUUUGCUUAUGUGGAGAGUAAUAAAAAUUAUAUGCUUGUAGAUCAUGAAAAGAAUGCUUUAGGCUCUGGUUAUAUUGUUGAAUUCAUUCAUGAUGCUACUGAAAAUUAUUAUGAGGGAGGAACAUAUGCUUGUAGGAAUUGCAAUAAUAUCAAGUUUCCUCUCUAUGUGUUUAAAAUUUUGAAGUUAUCCUUGUUUUACCAUCCUAUGCAAGUUGAUUCUUGUUCCCACAAGUUGUUUGCUCACAAAAUACCUAUGCAUAGGAAGUGGGUUAGACUUAAAUGUGCUAGUCAUAUUCCUUAUGAUGCUCUCUUUAUGUUUCAAUUCUUAUCCUUUAUGUGAGCAUCAUUGAAACCAUCAUGCCUAGCUAGGGGCGUUAAACGAUAGCGCUUGUUGGGAGGCAACCCAAUUUUAUUUUUAUUCCUUGCUUUUUGCUCCUGUUUAGUAAUAAAUAAUUCAUCUAGCCUCUGUUUAGAUGUGGUUUUAUGAUUUUAAUUAGUGUUUGUGCCAAGUAGAACCUUUGGGAAGACUUGGGGAAAGUCUUGUUGAUCAUGCUGUAAAAAACAGAAACUUUAGCGCUCGCGAGAAUUGCUGCCAUUUUUGAAGAGUGAUAUUUAGUUAAUUCUUUUUUCAGAUGAUUAAUAGAUAAAUUCCUUAGGUCCAUAAAUUUAUUUUAGAAUUUUAUGAGUUCCAGAAGUAUCCGUUUGAUCCAGAUUACUACAGACUGUUCUGUUUUUGACAGAUUCUAUUUUUGAUGUGUUGUUUGCUUAUUUUGAUGAAUCUAUGAGUAGUAUCGGAGGGUUAACCAUAGAUAAGUCGGAAUAUAGUAGGUUUAACACCAAUAUAAAUAAAGAAUGAGUUCAUUACAUUACCUUGAAGUGGUGAUUUACUUUCUUAUACUAACGGAGCUUACGAGUUUUCUACUUUAAGUUUUGUGUUGUGAAGUUUUUAAGUUUUGGGUAAGGAUUCAAUGGACUAUGGAAUAAGGAGUGGCAAGAGCCUAAGCUUGGGGGUGAACAAGGCACCCCAAGGUAAUAUUCAAGGACAACCAAGAGCCUAAGCUUGGGGAUGCCCCGGAAGGCAUCCCCUCUUUCGUCUUCGUUCAUCUGUAACUUUACUUGGAGCUAUAUUUUUAUUUACCACAUGAUAUGUGUUUUGCUUGGAGUGUCAAUUUAUUUUGUUAGGAUUUUCUUUCUGUUAUUUAGAACAAUGUUUUGAAUCUUUUAUUUCAAUAAAAGUGGCAUUGGUAGCCUUUACUAUGCCUAUGUUACAAGUAUACAUGUUGCUGUUUGAAAACAGAAAGUUUACUGCUGUUGCAAUAAUUCCCUAGAAAAGUCAGAAUGUGAUAAAAUGUUGAAACCUUUUGCAUAUUAAGAUCUGAUAAAUUUAAUACAGUGGGAAUUUUAUGUCAUAAUUUUUGGAGCUAGGGAAGUAUGGAUGUUGCAGCAUUCUUUACAGACUAUCCUGUUUAGGCAGAUUGCUGUUAUGUUUGCAUUGUUUGCAUAUGUUUGCUUCUUUAAUGAUUCUAUUUGAGGAUAGGACUAUUAAAUAUGCAGAGGCAUUUAGUAUGCAAUGUUGAAUAAUAAUUUUAGUGAUUUGCUACAAUAGAGUAUGAUAAGGUUUUUGCAAUGGUUUAUACUAACUUUUCUCACUAGUCCUUGUUGAGUUUUGUGUGGAUGAAGCUUUUGAGAUUUAGGGAGACCGUGAUAUCAGAGGAAUUAAGCAGACACAAAAGCUCAAGCUUGGGGAUGCCCAAGUCACCCCAAGAUAAUAUUUCAAGUAGUCUCAAGCAUAUAAGCUUGGGGAUGCCCCGGUUGGCAUCCCACCUUUCUUCUUCAACAAUUAUCGGUUAGUUUCGGUUGAUCCUAAGUUUUUGCUUCUUCACAUGAUGUUUGCCAUUCUUAGAAUGUCAUUUUAUUUUUCUUUGCUUGCUGUUUGAAUAGAAUACCAAGAUCUGAAAUUAUUAAAUGUUAGAGAGUCUUCACAUAGUUGCAUAAUUAUUCGACUACUCAUUGAUCUUCACUUAUAUCUUUCGGAAUAGUUUGUCGUUUGCUCUAGUGCUUCACUUAUAUCUUUUAGAGCAUGGUGGUAGUUUUAUUUUGAAGAAAUAUAUGAACUCUCAUGCUUCACUUAUAUUAUUUUGAGAGUCUUAAAUAGCAUGGUAAUUUGCUUAAAAUCCUAAUAUGCUAGGUAUACAAGAUUAAUAAUAAAAACUUUCAUAUAGAGUAUUGAAUACUAAGAGAAGUUUGAUGCUUGAUGAUUGUUUUGAGAUAUGAAAGUAAUAAUAUCAAAAUCGUGCUAGUUGAGUAGUUGUGAAAUUGAGAAAUGCUUGUGUUGAAGUUUGCAAGUCUCGUAGCAUGCACAUAUGGUAAAUGUUGUGUAACAAAUUUGAAACAUGAGGUGUUAUUUGAUUGUCCUCCUUAUGAGUGGCGGUCGGGGACGAGCGAUGGUCUUUUCCUACCAAUCUAUCCCCCUAGGAGCAUGCGCGUAAUACUUUAGUUUUUGAUGGCUUGUAGAUUUUUGCAAUAAGUAUAUGAGUUCUUUAUGACUAAUGUUGAGUCCAUGGAUUAUACGCACUCUCACCCUUCCAUCCUUGCUAGCCUCUUCGGUACCGUGCAUUGCCCUUUCUCACAUUGAGAGUUGGCGCAAACUUCGCCGGUGCAUCCAAACCUCAUGAUAUGAUACGCUCUUUCACACAUAAACCUCCUUAUAUCUUCCUCAAAACAGCCACCAUACCUACCAAUUAUGGCAUUUCCAUAGCCAUUCCGAGAUAUAUUGCCAUGCAACUUUCCACCAUUCCGUUCAUCAUGACACAUUCAUUAUUGUCAUAUUGCUUUGCAUGAUCAUGUAGUUGACAUUGUAUUUGUGGCAAAGCCACCAUUCAUAAUUUUUCAUACAGGUCGCUCUUGAUUCAUCGCAAUCCCGGUACACCGCCGGAGGCAUUCAUAUAGAGUCAUACUUUGUUCUAGUAUCGAGUUGUAAUCAUUGAGUUGUAAAUAAAUAGAAGUGUGAUGAUCAUCAUUAAUAGAGCAUUGUCCCAAAAAAAUAAAAAAUGAGUAAGGCCAAAUAAAAAAAGGAAGGCCAAAUAAAAAAAAGGAAAAAAGGCCAAAUAAAAAAGGGGACAAUGCUACUAUCCUUCUUCCACACUUGUGCUUCAAAGUAGCACCAUGAUCUUUAUGAUAGAGAGUCUCUUGUUCUGUCACUUUCAUGUACUAGUGGGAAUUUUUCAUUAUAGAACUUGGCUUGUAUAUUCCAACAAUGGGCCUCCUCAAGUGCCCUAGGUCUUCAUGAGCAAGCAAGUUGGAUGCACACCCACUUUUAUAGCUCUAGUGCAUCCGUUGCAUGGCAAUCCCUACUCCUUGCAUUAACAUCAAUCGAUGGGCAUCUCCAUAGCUCAUUGAUUAGCCUCGUUGAUGUGAGACUUUCUCCUUUUUGUCUUCUCCACAUAACCCCCUCAUUAUUCUAUUCCACCCAUAGUGCUAUAUCCAUGGCUCGCACUCAUGUAUUGCGUGAAAGUUUAUAGGUUUGAGAUUAGUAAAGUAUGAAACAAUUGCUUGGCUUGUCAUCGGGGUUGUGCAUGAUGAGAGAAUUCUUGUGUGACGAAAAUGAAACAUGACUAAACUAUAUGAUUUUGUAGGGAUAAACUUUCUUUGGCCAUGUUAUUUUGAGAAGACAUGAUUGCUUAGUUAGUAUGCUUGAAGUAUUAUUAUUUUUAUGUCAAAAUGAACUUUUGUCUUGAAUCUUAUGAAUCUGAAUAUUCAUGUCACAAGUAGGAAGAAUUACAUUGAAAUUAUGCCAACUAGCAUUCCACAUCAAAAAUGAUCUUUUUUAUCAUUUACCUACUCGAGGACGAGCAGGAAUUAAGCUUGGGGAUGCUUCAUACGUCUCCAACGUAUCUAUAAUUUUUGAUUGCUCCAUGCUAUAUUAUCUACUGUUUUGGGCAAUAUUGGGCUUUAUUAUCCACUUUUAUAUUAUUUUUGGGACUAACCUAUUAACCGGAGGCCCAGCCCAGAUUUGUUGUUUUAUGCCUAUUUUAGUGUUUCGAAGAAAAGGAAUAUCAAACGGAGUCGAAACGGAAGGAAAUCAACUAGAGAAGAUAUUUUUGGAAGGAAACCUACCGGAUAGACUUGGACCCUACGUCAGAAGAUGAAGGAGGAGCUCACGAGGGUAGGGGGCGCGCCCCUGCCUUGUGGACCCCCUUCGGUCCACCGACGUACCUCCUGCACCCAUAUAUACCUACGUAACCUAAAACUUUCAGAAAAGAGAUUAGAUCGGGAGUUCCGCCGCCAGAAGCCUCCGUAGCCACCGAAAACCAAUCUAGACCCGUUCUGGCACCCUGCCGGAGGGGGCAAUCCCUCUCCGGAUGGCCAUCUUCAUCAUCCCGGUGCUCUCCAUGACGAGGAGGGAGUAGUUCUCCCUCGGCGUUGAGGGUAUGUACCAGUAGCUAUGUGUUUGAUCUCUCUCUCUCUCGUGUUCUUGAGGUGAUACGAUCUUGAUGUAUCGCGAGCUUUGCUAUUAUAUUUGGAUCCUAUGAUGUUUUCUCCCCCCUCUUCUCUCUUGUAAUGAAUCGAGUUUCCCCUUUGAAGUAAUCUUAUCGAAUUGAGUCUUUAAAGAUUUGAGAACACUUGAUGUAUGUCUUGCCGUGGAUAUCUGUGGUGACAAUGGGAUAUCACGUGAUUCACUUGAUGUACAUUUUGGUGAUCAACUUGCGGAUUCCGCUCAUGAACCUAUGCAUAGGGGUUGGCACACGUUUUUGUCGUGAUUCUCCGGUAGAAACUUUGGGGCACUCUUUGAGGUCCUUUGUGUUGGUUGAAUAGAUGAAUCUGAGAUUGUGUGAUGCAUAUCGUAUAAUCAUACCCACGGAUACGUGAGGUGACAUUGGAGUAUCUAGGUGACAUUAGGGUUUUGGUUGAUUUGUGUCUUAAGGUGUUAUUCUAGUAUGAACUCUAAGACUGUUUGUGACACUUAUAGGAAUAGCCCAACGGAUUGAUUGGAAAGAAUAACUUUGAGGUGGUUUCGUACCCUACCAUAAUCUCUUCGUUCGUUCUCCGCUAUUAGUGACUUUGGAGUGACUCUUUGUUGCAUGUUGAGAGAUAGUUUUAUGAUCCAAUUAUGUUAGUAUUGUUGAGAGGACUUACACUAGCUAAAGUAUGAACCCUAGGCCUUGUUUCCUAGCAUUGCAAUACCGUUUACACUCACUUUUACCACUUGCUACCUUGCUGUUUUUAUUAUCUCAGAUUUCAAAUACUUUUAUCUACUAUUCAUAUACCACUUGUUUCACCAUCUCUUCACCGAACUAGUGCACCUAUACAAUUUACCAUUGUAUUGGGUGUGUUGGGGACACAAGAGACUCUUUGUUAUUUGGUUGCAUGGUAGCUCGAGAGAGACCAUCUUCAUCCUACACCUCCUACGGAUUGAUAAACCUUAGGUCGUCCACUUGAGGGAAAUUUGCUACUGUCCUACAAACCUCUGCACUUGGAGGCCCAACAACGUCUACAAGAAGAAGGUUAUGUAGUAGACAUCGGCGAUGCCUGCCUACAACAUACAAACACACCGUCAAUCUCCUCCUUUAUGUGUCCUUACCUCGUGUCUCUCAUACGGUCAGACACACGUGUAAACUCUCGCCCCUCUUUUCAUCGCUCUCACAACCGCACACGCCUCCCCCUAUCUAGCUAGUAGUUGGGCCUCUCGCACCACCUCCUAGCUCCAUUCUCUCUGUCUAUCCAUCUCGCUGGGCCUUAUUUGCCUCUAACAAAUGGACGUACACCGACCGAUCUCUCGCUAUACAUAUAGCUAGCUAGGUCCUUAUAACUCGUUUUUACCCACACGGCAAUCGAUCUACCUCAUUAGUUGUGUCUAUCCCUUCCUCCGACAAACAACAAUUGAUCUACCGAUCUAGUUAGGUUUGCUUACGAAACACAUGGUUCCCCUUCAUCAUCCAUGGAUGCGUCCCGACAGAUCUAUCACGCACAGGCACACACAGAAACACAUCCCCACUCUUAUUGAUAACAUUGCAGUUCCAUCCUCAGUUUGUCUAGUAGGCCUCUCCCACCAUCUUCGAGAAGCAACUCCAUCACCCAUCCAGCACUCUACCCCUCUCCCUCCCUCUCCCUCCCUCUCCCUCCCUCUCUCUCUCCUCUCUCUCCCAUCAUAUUUCCCGUCCUUCAGUUAUGUAUGGAUGUCGACCGAUCUCCCUCAAGACAUAGCUGGGUCUCUCCUUCUCAACACAUAUACGAGUCAUUCUACCUCUAUAGUUAAUCCUCUGCCUACCCCUCCCACCACCCCCUCCCCCCCACAAACACCGAUACAUUGAGUGCUCUAGUCAUGUCUCCCUGCCACACACAAACUUAACGUGUGCCCUCUAACAUUCCGGUAGGCCAGUCGCCCUAUAUCUUUGACUUGUACACACACACAAUUUCGAUGGCUCUCUUCAUUGAUCUCGCACCCACCCACUUGAUCCUCUCUUCGACUCUAUCGAUAACUAUGACCCCUCCCUCUAUUCUCAUGGAUUGCCCGACCCUCUAUGUAUGAUAUGGAUAGGCCUCCAUUUCACACACAUUGCAUGCCAAAUUUUGUUUGAGAUGUCAUCGGCACAUAUUACCACAAAUAAUUCACGAAAUCAACCUCCCACCCCAAAACAAAAAACACUCACGAAUGCGGUUUGUAUCUCUCACACACACCCAUGUAGGUGGGGGACGUGCACGAAGAGAAGAGGUGCAUGCACGGCGCACGUACUCCCGUCUCUUUCCCAACCACACCCGCGCGGGCACACGGUGGAGCUCAUUUCUGUAUGAAAAAGGCAGCCCACGUGGUAAUUUGGCACGUGUACUAGUUGUCCACUUGGUGGAGGGAGGAUCGUCUACCACGGGUGAACAAACAAAUUGCGUCUUGACGUGUUAUGUUAAAAAAGAGGCAAACCAUGUGGGGCCUACCUUAGAGGCAAGGCUCUAUACACUGGAGUACUUUUGAUGUGUCCCGUCAACUCACAGAACGAGGAGAAGCUUGCUUAGUACGCUGUCUCCCCCGCCCACGGGCGCGGUGGCUCGCAGGAUGAGGUGAAGCUUGCUUACUACGCCUUACGCCCGCUCCCUCGCCCAUGCGCGUGAUGGCUCGCAGGACGAGGAGAAAAAUUUACUACUCCCUCCAUUUACUCCUCAUCCCUACUACCUUGGUUAUAGAGAUUAUAUCAUAUUGUUUGGAAUAUAUAUGUCCUUUAGUAGAUUUCAAUAUGAACUACUAGUACAUACUCCAAACACUGAUGUAUAUAGACGUAUUUUAGAGUGUAGAUUCACUCAUUUUGCUUCGUAUGUAGCACUCUCCCUCGCCCCUCGACCCUCGCCCACAUGGUGGACGUGCAACAAUUCAUUCGGUCUCAUAUAACCAGAACGAUAUAUACUGCACUACCAUUAUUGCUCGACUUCUCGAAGAGGCGAAGAGCCAAUCGCAAGGUCAAUAUUUUGGAGAUGCCAAGUGCAAGGUUAUAGGAGAACGAGUAGUAGGUGCCGCGUCAUUUAUAAAUAAAGUUUUUUUCUUCAGUGGAAUGUACGCAAUAUGAUAGGUUCAUAUGGAGAGAAAAGGAAACCGCUCCACUAUAUACAUAGUCAGGACGGGCCAGCCUACACGGUUGCUUGCUGGGGUUGCUCUCUUCACACUCUCUCGCACAAAACGACUGUGGCCACAUCUCUAACAUCCCAAAGAAUCACAUCCGCUUGGGGAAGGGGUGGAUGCUUAGUGUAGAUGCGGUGGCCGUCGCCGACGGCGAAAACCCACUGUCAGCACGUCCCGAUCAGGGGUCCCCGCCGUUCUCUCUCACAAAGCCGGUGAGGUUGCCUUCGUCCCUUGCUCACUGCCGCGAUGUGGGAAGUUGCCGCCUCCCGCCGCCCUCCUCAAGGUUGAGCUACGUCCCUCAGGUACAACUCCCUUUACAGCCGGCUUGCACCAUUGCUCCAGCUGCCCACAUCACUCCAUGUGGAUAUUUCUCUACUUCUUUGCCCCACACAUAUCUCUACUGGCUUCUGCGUACUGUAUUUGUGAUGAGUUUAUGUCUCAUAAACUAGUCCCAGUAAUCUUAUUCUAAUCACGCUUAUUCAAUUUCUUUGCCACAGGGAUGCUCAUCUCGAUUUUGGUGAAACUGCACAAAAUGAUCCGAUGGUCAAAAGGUUGCAAACUUCAUUUAUUAGGAAGCUCGAACAUUGCCAGCAAAUUGAAGCAUGGUCAGGGUUCAUGGUUCAAGGGCUAGGGACUGCAUGGAUCGUUUUUUUCUUUAGCUGCCUCUGUUCCAAAAUAAGUGUCAACUUUAGUAGUAGUACAACUUUGUACUAAAGUUUGCACAAAGUUGAGAAACUUAUUUUGGAACGGAGGGAGUACAUAUUUGCUAUGAUCUUUCAAUCAUUGAGAUGCAAUAGCAUGCAUGUUAGUCUCCUUUGUAUUUGAUAAAAUGUUGCAACGGGCAACCUUGGAUGCAAGAUACAUGUAACAGAAGCUGGAAGCUUCAUAGCAUUGUACAAAUUUAUCUCACUGAUAAAUUACAGUACGUACUAUACUAGUACUUCCUCCGUUCCUAAAUAUAAGUCUUUGUAGAGAUUUCACCAUGAACCACAUGCGGAUGUAUAUAGAUGCAUUUUAAGUGUAGAUUCAUUCAUUUUGUUCCGUAUGUAGUGGAAUCUCUACAAAGACUUAUAUCUACUAGUAAUAGCUAGCCCCCACUACUAGGAAUUCUCUAUCCUCUCCUUGAGCCACGUCAUAAAAAUUGAUGUAGCCGUUAGAUGAAGUAAAUCAGUCCAUAAUAGUCGUCUGAUCUUGAGGUUGAGAGGCUCCGCACUAAGCCACAUGCAAGCAUGCAGAAAUACCGUGCCACAUGCAUGUGAGUGGGUUUUAAAUCACAUCAACAUGUCUGCAUGCAAGCAUGCACCGGUAGCAUGCAUGUAAGUGAGCUUUUAAGUCCCAUUAACAUGUCAAAAAGAAAAAUAUAAUUCCAUUAUGCAGUAGGAGUUGGCUGAUCUUUUUUCCUUACAUGGGAUGAUCUAAAUGAUGAUGGUAGUUUAUUUAGUUUGGCUACCACAUUUGUCAUGCGGUUAUAGAGUUUUUUUGUUCUAUGAAAUCGAUAAUUUUGCGCAGAGAGAUAUACCGAUGUUCCACGCCAACGCGCGGGGACUCAUCUAGUAAUAUUUAGGAACAGAGGGAGUACUAUGUAAAGAGUUAGGUGUCGCACGGUGAUAGUGUGAGGUGGGCCAUGUAAUCACUGAGUCUGCGUGUUUUCACUGCACUUGCACGCCUCCGCUGUAAGAAUGGAGAAAAUUGUAAUCUAGUAGUAGUAGUAUACCUCCUUUCGCCGAAAGCGUGGGACAUCCAGCAGUCCUACCACCUUAGUAAUAAAGACCAAUGAGCCGUCAAAUCACAUAGACCCAGCAGUAAGUUGGACGGACGAAGCAACCAUCACUCUUGCGCCAGUGAGAGGUCGCGUCCGCUCUGCCCGGGCAUGAAUGCGGCACCGAUUCUUUGGAGCGGCGCUGACGGUUUCGGGUGGGAAGCGCGCGCGGGCGAUGGAGGGGCUUUGGGUGAGCCAGGCUGGUCAGGAGCGGGUGUGGCAGCUGUCCGCAUGUCCCUACCGGACACGCCCGGAAACAAGAGGAUGCAUCGACUCUUGCGGCUAAAAUCAUACACUACACAACAUCUCUUUGUAGGAGUAGGUCGAUCUAUCGCUCUCUCUAACACACACAUGGUGUUAAACACACACACACACACACACGCACACGCACACGCACACGCACGCACCUUGGUCCCGUUGCACCUUCUAACAUGACUUAUUACACCUAGAUGGAGUGAGUAGUAAGUAUACGAGAUACGGUGGCACACUGACUUAAGUCGAAUACAACUGCCCAAAAUUUGUGUGCAUGUUAUAAUAAGGAUUCACUUAAAAUAGUACGUGAGCGAACAGAGGGAUCAAUUGGACAGUGUUCCCGAGCAGUAGCGAGAUGUGUGAGGUAAGAUACACCACUGGCGCUUUUAAUAUUUCUUAUUAAUUUGUUUGUUUCACCCUCUGACUGGUGGGACCCAACGUACUACGUGGAGAGAGGUAAGGUGACUAAGGCUGCAUUAUUUCUGCACCACUGUGGAUAGUCUUACCACAAAAGCCACAUGACACGAUUAUGAUUGAAAUCCCAAUGACUCCCACACACACACACAAAAACACGACAUGCUUGUCACACGAAUGCCGGAAUGUAUAAAAGGUUAUUUCCCUCUCGUUGAACAUAACGGGAGGGUUGUGUAGCUGGUUAGCCUGUUGGCUCACUCUCUCGCCCUCUCCCGCUGGAGCCUCAGCGCUUGUACUUGCUCUCUUCACACUCUCUCGCCCUCUCCAGAUCUAAACAAGACUUCGUUGGCCUCUCUCUCCCCUCACUACUGCUCAAAGAGCCGGCAGUAUCCGUCCACCGGGAAGGGAACGAGGCUUAACGCUAUCGCCGUCGGCGAGGGACUACCGGCGCAGCUGUUCACUUUCCACCCAGCGGCGGCGCGGGAGCACUACAAGAAAUAUGCUCAAUUGUGACCUUCUGGCAGUGACCGUGGAAGAAAUCGUCAUAAAUCUAUGACCAUUUCGAUCCAAUUGGUCGUGGCCUAUUUAGGAGAGUCGAAACCAUAAACCAUAGUGACUAUUUUGGUCAAAAAGGUCAUAAUUGCCUUACACAAAAUGGUCAUAAGCAGACAACAAUGGUCGACAGCCUUAUUUCUAGCUGAUUAUGACCAAUCCAGAUGGUCAUGGUGUUGUAACAUGGAUGACUGGACGUCAACAUCAUCAAUUUUACCUAUGUGUCGUAUCAUUUUGGCUUAUGUGUCAAUUGUAGUGUCAGUCCGUCCAUAGAUUGAUUUAUUGACUAAACUGGGUCUACAUUUACAGACGAGGCCAACUAACACAGUACAAAUGACAUGUGGGACCCGUCCCACAAAGGUGAAUAAAGCAGAAAAAGGCGAAAAAUCACUUUGGCUCAUAGGUGUAUAUGCACCCAUUGUCUAAAUACAUAUUUUAAAAAGUUAAAAAAAUUCGAGAAAAAAUCCCACGUGUAAAUCCGAACACUAUAUGUGUGUGCAUCAAGUUUCAAUGAAAAAUGACAUUUUUGUGACUUGUGUAAAAAAAGACAAUUUUUGAUGCUUGAUUAUAGCUAUCAGAAGCUAUUUUUAAUCUUUUUUACACAUGCAACAAAAAUGCCCUUGUUCUCCAAAAUUUUGUGUGCGAACAUAGGAUGUCUAGAUGUACACGCGAGAUUUUUUCUAUACAUAUUUCAUAAUAGGUGUAUCUACAUCUAAGAUCCAAAACACUACUCUCAAAGAAAAAAAAGGACCCGUCCCACAAAGGUGAAUAAAGCAAAAAAGAAACCACACUACGUGAUUCGAACUAGCUACUAGUCGAGUUCGCCUAAGGAGACAAACCACCACACCGUAACAAAGACAGUGGUACAUUCUUGCCCGUAACCUAUUUAAUGGGUAGUGUCGAGUGGGCUUGGGCCUUGGUGGGACAAGGGCACCUUUUUUCUUUUAUAUUUUUCGUCCGCCGAGUGGGCCAAGUACUGGGCCGCGGCUUGUUUUUUGGUCUGUUUUUUGUUCUUCAAUCUAUUUUUACUUUUGUUUAUUAUUUAUACUUCCAAUUAUUCUAUAUAUAUUGGAAAACAAAUUUCACAUAAAACGCUUGAAAAAAUGUUAACCAAGCAUUUGAAAAGCUUACAUAUGUACAAAAAAUAUACAAUGUGUGUGGAAAAAGUUGAUCAUUUAUUUAAAAAUGUUAAUCGAGCAUUUAAAAAAUGUUAAACAAUUAUAUUAAAAUGUAAAUCAAGCAUUUGAAAAUGUUAAAAUGUGUAAAUAAAAAAAUAUUAAUCUUGUAUUUAAAAAAUAUUUAAAUGUUGUAUAUAAAAAUGUUGACUAUGCAUUCAAAAAGUUCUAACCAAGCACUUGAAAUUGUUAAUUGUGUAUAAAAAAUUUGUGACUCAUGUAUAAGAAAAAUGUAUACAGAAAAUAUACAAUGUGUGUGAACAAUGUCAAUCUUGUAUUUAGAAAAUGUUAAAGCAAGCAUUUGAAAAAAAAUGCUAAACAAGUAUUUAAAAGAAAAAUGUAGAAUGAAAACCAACAUUCAACAUUCAGUAUUUUGAGCCCAGCUUCAACAUUCAUAUUUCUGUCUAGUGUGGUACUUUGCAAAGCAAGUACCACCUAGGCUCCUCCUUUUGAGUUGAAAAUUUGUGAAGACAGUCUUCUUAGUAGCUGAUCAUCCUCAGCCAAAACUCAUGCUCAUUGGCCAUGCGCAUUUCCCGUACCACUAAUCAAACACUUGGCUGCUAAUUCAUGUUUGAGCAUAGUUCGGUCUCCUCGUGAGAAUCUUAUAUUGUAAUUUUAUUCCUAGAACCUAUCUGAGGAGUGACCAACCCACUAGACAUGCCUAGGCUGCCCAAAACACAAUGCAACGCCACGGUCACGCGGUGACUACGUGGCGGGCAUGCGAGUUUACGCGCUCUGGAGUUGGGGCCCUCGGUCACCAUCCAAACCUCGAUGUAUUGCCACCAAACCAUGUAUUUAUGAUUAAAUAGAUACUUAUGUAACUAGAAAUGUUUUUUGGGAAAAAUGAAGACCAAACUAUGAGGCAGCUGCAGUUCAAAUUUGACCCGCUUCCUACUGAAUCGGCGAAAAUUUGUCUAUUUCGCCAGAGGUGUAUAAAUACUUUUGACGACCAACCAUUUUGUCAAUUGUACAUUAAAUAUGGCCUAAUAAAUUAUAAAAAUGACUUGGUCCCAUUUUACAACAAACAUAUGGUAGGUCCUUCAAAAAAAACUUAUUUUGGGCAUUCAAAAAAUGAAAAUUGAAUUUUUUGUCCAAAGAAAAUGAAAACUCCCUUUGGCAAUAUUGUUUGCCAUUCCAAGAUGCGCCCUUGUGCAUGAUAUGAGAUCAUUUGAAUAAACUAUGACAUGAAUGUGGCCAUAAGAUUGAUCAUUUGGAUUGAAAGCCAUGAAUCUUCAAUCAUGAUAGCUCAUUUCUGAGAACACUUUUUUAAAAGAAUUGUCGUACUACAAGUUUAUUAUUUUUCCUGGUAACUUGGUCACAUAUAAUAACACAAUGCGAAGGUUUUCCAAUUUUUUGAUUUUUUCAGAUUUUUUAUCCCCGUUUCAAAAUGCGGUCAAAACGGCGGGCAUGACCAUUCCUAGCUAGUGGUUGAAUCUUGGAAAACUUUUGGUGUUUCUCUGAUUAAAUAUAUACUUAUAUACCUAGAAAUUAUUUUUGGAAAAAAUAAAGAGCAAAGUAUAAGGUAGGUGUAGUUCAAAUUUGACAUGCUUCCAGCUGGAUUGGCAAAAAUUUGUCUUUUUCACCAGAGGUGGAUAAAAUCUUUUGACACCCAACCAUUUGGUAAAUUGUGCAUUAAAUAUGGCCUAAUAUAUUAUAAAAAUGAUCUGGUCCCAUUUUGCAACAAAUAUAUGGUAAAUCCUUCACAAAUGAAAUCAUUUUGGGCACUCAAAAAAUGGAAAAUGAAUUUUUCGUCCAAAGAAAAUGAAAACUUUCUUAGGAAACAUUGUUUUCCAUUCCAAGAUACACCCUUGUGCACAAUAUGAGAUCAUUUAAAAAACUAUGCCAUGAAUGUGGUCAUAAGAUUGAUCAUUUGGCUUGAAAGCCAUGAAUCUUCGCACAUGAUAGCUAAUUUCUGAGAACACUUUUUAAAAAGAAUUAUCGUAUUACAAGUUUAUUAUUUUUCCUUGUAACCUGGUCACAUAUAGUGACACAAUGCGAAGGUUUUUCAAUUUUUUGAUUUUUUUUUGAAUUUUUUAUGCCGGUUUCAAUAUGCGGUCAAAACAGCAGGAAUGACCGUUCCUAGCUAGUGGUUGAAUCUUGGAAUUUUUUUGGUGUUUCUCUGAUUAAAUAGAUACUUAUGUACCUAGAAAUGAAUUUUGGAAAAAUUAAAGAGCAAACUAUAAGGCAGGCGCAGUUCAAAUUUGAUCCAUUUCCAGCUGAAUCGACGGAAAUUUCUCUUUUUUACGAGAGGUAGAUCAAAGCUUUUGACACCGAACCAUUUGAUCAAUUGUACAUUAAAUAUGACCUAGUGUUUUAGAAAAUUGCUUUGGUCCAAUUUUGCAACAAAUAUUUGGUAGGUUCUUCACAAAAAACCAUUUUUGCAACAAGAAAAAUGAUUAAAAAUAGCUAGAAAGAUAAAAAUGCAUGCAAAUUGGUGAUCAUUUGUAAAAUGUGGUAUAACUUGAGUGAAAAAUUUAGAUGAACCGUUUUGCAAAAUAUUUUUGAUAGCUGCUUCACAAAAUGCCUCUAGUUUUAGUACUUAGAACUAUUUUUUGUCAUAAAUUUUCUGAACCAAUCAGGGCUUUUCCCACGGAUCAUCCCACUGUAGCCGAUCUGGACCGUCCACACCCAAUGGAUCGAACGUCUCUCACUCAUUCUCAAGUCUCAGCCACCCAACCCAAACCCUAGCAACCCAAACCCAUCGCGGCGCCUGCCGACCGCCCUCGCGGCUGGCUGCUUGCGCGGCGAUGAUGGCGGCCUCGUCUUCCCCGGAGGCCGCGGUGCCUUAAGGCUGACCUGGCGCCCCCUCCUCACCCUUCCGCCGCCUCUGAGCUGGAGUUCGGUUUGCGUGCAACAGCGGUGGCGUACGAGGCGAACAAGCCGCUGGUGGUCGAGGACGUGUAGGUGGCGCCGCCGCUGGCCGGCGAGUCUGCGUCAAGGUCCUCUCCACUGUGCUCUGCCACAUCGUCUACUACACCUGGAGCGGCAAGGUCCGUCACCCCCCCCCCCAUCCUCCUCGCCAUGCGCUUCCUCGAAUCUAGGUUUCAAUGGCCGCGGUUGCCCAGGGCCUGUAGCCAGCGCUGGCACUGCGGCUAGUCACCACCUCCCCCAAACCCAGCAACUUAUCCUUGGAUUUUCCCUAUCGUCAGUGUUAUUCCACUGUGUCAAUGGUUGCGAUGAGACUGAGUAAUUCGGGAUUAAUUGACUUCCAUGUAGCUUUGUACGAAUUGUUCCUCAUAGUGUCGGGUUGGGUGUAGAGUGAAUUGACAUGAUGUACAGUAGAAAAUGUUUGUGCAAAUCUGAAAGCCUACUGCAUGCUGUAGAGAUUUACUAGAAUUUGUGUUCGUGUCAUGAAAGGAUUUCUUUUGCUAUGCAGGAUCCCGAGGGCCUCUUUCCUUGCAUUCUCAGUGACAAGGCUGCUGGGUAAGCCCACAAAUUUGUGUGAUUUCAGGUAUUAUCAUCCAUAGCUAAAGAUAACUAUGCACUGAUAAGUUUGCUUCCAUAGCUGCUGAUAGAAUUGUUGAGAGUGUCGACGAAGGAGUGACCGACGUGCAGCCAGGGGGACUGCAAGAUGUGCACUAAGUAAGGAUCCGAUCUGAUUGGGCUCUGCUUGUGCUCGUGGUAGAUAGUGUGGUAUGCCACAUGCCUGGCGAGAUGCUCUUGUUGAUUCGUAUUUUAUAAGUUAGUUUAUUUCCAUAUUUCUAUGCAUGCCACCUUGUUGUGAUUAAAUAGGUUAGUCUAUUUCCAGAUUUCUAAAAUAUACUCUACUUACUCUUCGGAGUUGAUUGCAAAUUAGUUCUGGUGCCUCCGUAGUGGAGUAGAGUGUGGGGAGCCAAGUAGAAAAUAAGAUUUAUCUCUUUCAAUUCAUUUAAUUUGCUUACUAAAAUUAGGUGGCUGCCUUGAUACAGUAUUAUACAGUUGGUCUGCCCCAACUCUGUUGAACUGAACCUUAUAGAUUGGGAGUUAGUUUUUAGCUGCCAUCUAGCUCUUUAAAUUGAGUUAAUUUGCUUACAGAAAUUAGGUUGAUGUGAAAGUGCAACUAUCCCUAGGUGGUUUUGGUAAUUCAUAACAACAUAUAGCUCAUUGAGCUAAUGCUAUUCCAAGAUGAUUAUUUCAGGAAAGCUCAAUGGUUGGCAUGGCAUGGAUGGUGAAAAUGGAACCCUCAAAAUGCUAAGAACAAAGGAUUGGCUCAAGCUCAAAAGCCCAAGACUCUUCAUUUUAUAUUUUAGUGAUCCAAGAUCACAUUGAGUCUUUAGGAAAAGCCAAUACUAUCAAGGAGGGAUGAGGUGUUGCUUAAUGAGCCUCUUGCUUCAUGUGCUUAGUGAUAUGCUCCAAAACCCUCAACUACUUUCCCAUAUCCACAUAUGACCUAAACCCUAAGCCAAACUCGGUCCUACUGAUUCUUUCUAUCCGGCGCCACCGAGUUUCACUUGUCAUAAGCCACUGCCAAACCCUAGCAAUUCGGUUCUACCGAUAGGGAUCUCGGUCUCACCGAGAUGGGAUUGCAAACUCUCUGUUUUCCUUUCGUAACUUUUCGGUCUCACCGAAAGAGCGGAUCGGUCCCACCGAGAUUGCAAUGUAAAUUCAGUGUUUCCUUUUUGUAACUUUUCGGUCUCACCGAAAGAGCAAAUCGGUCCCACCGAGUUUGCCUGACCAACUCUCUAGUUAGCUAAUUACCAAAUUCACCGAGUUUGUAUAAUCGGUCUCACCGAGAUUACGUUAUGCCCAAACCCUAACCAUAUCGGUCCCACCGAGUUGCAUGUCAGUCCCACGGAAAAUCUCCAACGGUCACUAGGUUUACAUUUUUGGUCCGACCGAGUUUGUUGAUUCGGUCCCACCGAGAUUGGAAAACUAUGUGUAACGGUUGGAUUUUGUGUGGAGGCUAUAUAUACCCCUCCACCUCCUCUUCAUUCGAAGAGAGAGCCAUCAGAACACAUACACAAUUCCAACUCAUAUGUUCUGAGAGAGAACCACCUACUCAUGUGUUGAGACCAAGAUAUUCCAUUCCUACCAUAUGAAUCUUGAUCUCUAGCCUUCCCCAAGUUGCUUUCCACUCAAAUCAUCUUUCCACAAAAUCCAAAUCCUAUGAGAGAGAGUUGAGUGUUGGGGAGACUAUCAUUUGAAGCACAAGAGCAAGGAGUUCAUUACCUACACACCAUUUGUUACUUCUUGGAGAGUGGUGUCUCCUAGAUUGGCUAGGUGUCACUUGGGAGCCUCUGACAAGAUUGUGGAGUUGAACCAAGGAGUUUGUAAGGGCAAGGAGAUCGCCUACUUCGUGAAGAUCUACCGCUAGUGAGGCAAGUCCUGUGUGGGCGAUGGCCAUGGUGGGAUAGACAAGGUUGCUUCUUCGUGGACCCUUUGUGGGUGGUUGCUUCUUCGUGGACCCUUUGUGGGUGGAGCCCUCCGUGGACUCGCGCAACCGUUACCCUUUGUGGGUGGAUCCCUCCGUGGACUCGCGCAACCGUUACCUUUUGUGGGUUGAAGUCUCCAUCAACGUGGAUGUAGGAUAGCACCACCUAUCCGAACCACGGGAAAAACAUCUGUGUCUCCAAUUGCGUUUGAAUUCUUCAAACCCUUCCCUUUACAUUCUUGCAAGUUGCAUGCUUUACUUUCCGCUGCCAAUAUACUCUUUGCAUGCUUGCUUGAAUUGUGUGAUGAUUGCUUGACUUGUCCUAAAAUAGCUAAAAUCUUACAAGAACUAAAAUUGGGAAAAGGUUAAGCUUUUAUUUGGUCAAGUAGUCUAAUCACCCCCCUCUAGACAUACUUUCGAUCCUACAAGUGGUAUCAGAGCCUUGGUCUCCAUUUGCUUUGAUCUCCAUAGCUUUUGGUGGUCAUAGCCUUGGUUUCACAACCUAGGAGAGUAUGGCGUCUAGCGAGGGAAAUUAUCACCGUAGAGGUCCUUACUUUGAUGGCACUAAUUUUGCUAGUUGGAAGCAUAAAAUGAAAAUGCAUAUUCUUGGACAUCGCCCCGCCGUUUGGGCUAUUGUGUGUGUUGGUUUGCAAGGUGACCUCUUUGAUGGGAAAGAACCAAACCGUGAAGCUACCGCGGAUGAAUUGAAGAUGUUGCAAUACAAUGCUCAAGCUUGUGAUAUUCUCUUCAACGGAUUGUGCCCCGAAGAAUUGAACAAAAUCAGCCGUCUUGAGAAUGCAAAGGAAAUUUGGGACACUUUGAUUGAUAUGCACGAAGGUACCGACUCCGUCAAGGAAUCCAAGUUGGAUGUGCUUCAAAGUCAACUUGACAAGUUCAAAAUGAAGGAUGGUGAAGGUGUCGCUGAAAUGUACUCUAGGCUUGCUCUCAUCACAAAUGAGAUUGCCGGCUUAGGAAGUGAAGAGAUGACCGAUAGAUUCAUCAUCAAGAAGAUUCUAAGAGCCUUGGAUGGAAAAUAUGAUACCGUGUGCACAUUGAUCCAAAUGAUGCCCAAUUACAAAGAUCUCAAACCAACGGAGGUGAUUGGAAGAAUUGUUGCUCAUGAGAUGUCACUUAAGGAUAAAGAGGAACUUCACAACAAAUCAAGUGGUGCCUACAAAGCCUCAUGUGAAGCCCCUACAUCAUCAAGUGAGAAACAAAACUUCAAUCAAGAAUUGAGCUUAAUGGUGAAGAACUUCAACAAGUUCUACAAGAGUAGAAGCAAAGAUAGAAGCUUCAAGUCAAGGUCCUACAAUGACAAAAGAUCUUCUAGUCGAGAGCGAAACUGCUACAGUUGUGGAAGACCCGGACACUAUUCCAAUGAGUGUACGGCUCCCUACAAGAGAAGAGAAGAUUCUCCAAAAAGAAGAAGCAAAGAAUCACCACCAAGAGAGAGAAGGAGUAGAGAUGAUCGUUAUGAACGAAGAUACUCACGGAGAAGCAAGGAUUCGGAAGGAAGGAAAAAUCAUCAAGGAGCUACAUAAAACGAAGACAUCAAGCUCAUGUUGGUGAAUGGGUAUCCGGCUCCGACUCCGACAGCCACUCCGAGAGAAGUUAUCACUCCGACUCCGAAGAUACUCAAGAUGAAGGUGUUGCCGGUCUAGCACUUGUGUCAACCAACUCCUACGACAUAUUUGACUCACCAAAUGAAGGAAUUGGAAGAUGCUUCAUGGCCAAAGGUCCUAAGGUAACACACCCCGAGUAUGUUGAUUUCAAUAGUGAUGAAGAUGACUUAUUAGGUGAUGAUUUGCUUGUUGACAACUCUAGUGAUGAAUGCUAUGAUGAAAAGUCAAUUAAUCAUGCUAAUCAAGAUAAAACGGAUGACAAUGAUAAGGAGAAGAUUGAGGCUCUAACUAAAGAACUAAACACUCUUAAGUUAGCUCAUGAAACUAUCUUCGAAGAUCAUCGAGAACUUUUAAGAGCUCAUGAGAAAUUACGCUUUGAAAAGCUCAAUCUUGAGCAAGAGCAUGAGUUCUUAAAAGCAAUCAAUGAUGAUCUCCGCAAGAAGAGUUCUUCUGACAUUGCCAAGCGUUUACUCUUAUCCACUUACAUGCCUCAAGUCAAGUCUAGUAACAAGAACAAGAAAGAUUCUUCCUCUAGCAGUAACAAUGAUCAUGCUAAAUCCAAUAUUGUUGCUUCUAGUAGUUCUCUUGAUUCCACUAAUGAUUCUCUUAGCCAAGUUACACUUGAGCAAGAAAAUAGCUUAUUGAAGGGAAUUAUAGAGAAGGGAGUGUACAAAAGCCUUGCCGGGAGUAAGCAAUUCGAGGAAAUUGUGCGCAAGCAAGGAAUGCACCGGAAGAGUCAAGGUGUUUGUUUUGAACGAAAGUUCAAUGCCAAUGGAGUUGAGUGGGAAGAAGAUCAAUACCCCAAGACAAAGUUUGUUCCUCAACAAGAGAAGUAUGAUACUUCUCUCAAGGGGAGACAAGCUCAAGAUGAUCUUCCACCACAAGACUACAAGCAAAAAGGCAAGGACAAGCUUCAAGAGGAAAUUGAUGCAUUUGAAGAACCUCCUAAGACCUUAGUCAAGUGGAUUCCCAAGACUACUUCAAGUUCCACUUCAUCAAGUACGACUACAACUCCAAGGAUUCCCAUCAAGAUGGUGUGGAUCCAAAAGAAGAAGUACUAGAGAGUUCUUGAGGGUGACUCCGCCAACAUACUUCACUCUUAUCAUUUUGGCAAGAACAAGUGCAAUCAACUUCCACAUCUUGCACUAGUUCAAGGAGUCACAAACCCUCUUGUUGGUAAGACAAGGGACAAGGUAACCUAAAAGUUUUCAUGGACAUCAUCUUGUGUGUGCAUCACUCUAUGCUUAUGGAUAUCCUUGUUUGUUCCUUGUGGGACUAACCCAUGUAGGUAUUGAAAGUGCAAUUCACUCAAAUGGAUAGCUCCAAGUGAUCUACAUUAACAUUGAGCAUCCACAUCUUCAACAUCUACAUGAAGUCAUCAUCGACAAAACCCGAGGUUAGUUCAUCCCUCUAAGGGGGGAUAUCACAUCUAGGGGGAGCUUUACUCUAAGACUUGAGCCAAAGCAACUCUAAAGAUGUGAACACAACAAUGCUUUAUGUAAAAGUGGUAACCCCACUUGAGCUUAAACGAUGAGUAUGACCUAUGAUCAAGUGUUCUCACUUGACUCCUAAGUCAAUAUACUCAUAUAUAGAUGACCUUGUCAUCACAAAUUGCUUGAUAGAUGCUAGAAUUGGUUGUGCAUGCCUUGUCACAUAUUUCAUUUGCCAUCUUAUUGUGUGAGCAUGCUGGUUGCAUAUUUUACUCAUUCGAGGACAUCCACUUGUUGUUUUGAUUGUUUGGUUUUAUUUCCUUUUGCCAAGUGGAUGGACAAGAAUGCCUAAGGACCUCCUCUAGCUAUCUAUGCUUUUCUCGUCUCAAACUCUAUUCAUGCUACAUCACAAAAUUUGAUCAAGUCAGAUUCGAACCACUCUUUGUGAGGAGCGCUCGGAGUCCCCGAUUCGUCAUAGACUUAAACUUCCAAAACCUCUUUAUGAUUCUCGGUCUGACCGAUACCCCACUUUUGGUCCUAUCGAGAUCAUUAAGUUGAUCUAGGUUUUCGAUCUCGGUGCAACCGAUUUGAACUUUUCGGUCACACCGAGUUUCAGUAACUGCUUGCAGUUAUGAAUCUCGGUGCCACCGAGGUGUUCCACUCGGUCACACCGACCGGGUCGGGCUAUAUAUAGUCAUGGGCAAAAAUUUGGAAAUUUCUCCGAACCCCUUCGCCCGCGCGAUAGCCUGCUCUGCCAACUUGGUCUCCGGAUCGUCUCCUCGCCGCUAGCCGCCUCCAGUCGCUGGUCUCCGUCGCCGUCAAUGGGAAUUCUACCCCACCAUUUCCACCGUAGCGAGUCUCCGCCGAACUAGGGUAUGGACUCGAUCUUUGUGCUAUUCCCCAAUCUGAUUCUUAGCACAUUGUGAUCAUCAUGACUCCUGCCACGAUUGAAACACUCCUAUCCAGUCAAUGCGUUCGUAGAUUAGGUUUGAUUCGAAAAUUUUAGGGUUAGGUUUCCGCCGAAACCAUCUCGGACCCACCGAGUUGAAAAACUCGGUCCCACCGAUUUGGCUUAUGCCAUUGCACAAGUGAGACUCGGUCUGACCGAGAAUUACUUAUUGGUGUGACCGAUUUUGGAACUCUGUGAAACCCUAGCAGUCUCGGUGCCACGGAACUGUGACUCGGUCUGACCGAGUUCACUAGUUUAGGUGCCAAAACUGCUUCGGCAUCACCGAGUUUAAAAAUCGAUAGAUCCGAGAUGAUUUCAGUGGGAAACUAAAACUAAGUUUUUGGAUCAUUCUUUUGCAAAAAUCUCUGCAUUUUGUGAUGCUCAUCUAUUCUACCUCAUCUAUAAACUGUUCACAGGGUCAGCAGUCAGCUUGUUCAUCAUGUCAGACCAGAGUGACAGCCAGAAUGUGUCAGAACAGCAAGUGCACAUGAGUGAGGGCACUAGUCCCUCCAGCUCUUCAGAUGAUGGCAGCAGGAGUAUUCCUAGCAAUCUGCCAAAAGCUGCCACCAGACAGAGGAAGAAGAGAACUUCAGAUUCUAAGGAUGAAGAUUAUGUGGCAGAAGUGGAAGCCACAUCAAAGAGAGUUGAGCCAGCUCAAGGCACAAAGCCAGGGAUGAAAAUCAAAAGGCCAGCAGGCAGGCAGCCUAUGUCAAAGGCCAGAGCUUCAACUGAAAAGCCUGCACCCAAAGAGCCAGUUGCUGCUGAAGGCAAGAAAAGAAAGGAAAGGGUGAAGAAGACCAUAGCCAAAGUUCUUGGAAAGGCUUCCAUCAUGGAAGAAGAGGAAGAAGAAGAGGUUGCUGCACCAGCACCCAAGGCAUCUAAGCUUAUGGGUGAUGCUAUCAGGACAGGGGCUGCUGCAUCUAAGCCCAAAGAAGCACCUAAAGCUGCCUCCAAGCCCAAGUCUGCACCAAAGAGAAAUACAAGGAGCAUACCUGCAAUUGAGAAGAACAAGGCCCCAGUGCCUGAAGCUGCAGAAGAAGAUGAUGAAGAGCAAGUACUCAGAAAACUCAAGCCCAAGAUCCCAGACCACAAUGAUGCUCAUCCUGUGGCUGAGGACAUGAAGCUCAGGAGAGACUCAGGGCUGAGGAAGUGGAGAGAAGCAGAUCCGUAUGCUUCAAGGAGAAGGACUGCUGUGGAUUACAGAUUUCACACCAAGGAACAGCAAGAUUUCUAUGAGACAGUGUUGCUUGACAAGAAGCCCAUUGUUUGUGACAUGAGAUGGGUCGACUGGACCUACAUGAAGGAAAAUGAGGAACACUACCCUGGAGUGUAUGACAGCUUUAGUGCUUGUGGAGUUGCAGACUUUGUUGGGAAGAAGCUCACAAAGUGGAACGAGGAGCUCAUUAUGCAAUUCUACUCCACAGCACACUUCUAUCCAGAUGGUAGGAUCACAUGGAUGUCUGAAGGUACGAGGUACCAAUCUACUGUUGCUGAGUGGGAACAGCUCAUCAAUGCCCCAGAGGAGCAUGAGGAUGACUUGGACAUUUAUGCCAAGAAGAACAUGAAUCAUAACUCAAUGUCCAAUAUGUACAAGGAAAUUCCAAAUGAAGCUCUUGAAACUUUCAAGUUUGGGUCUGUGCAUUAUCUUCUGUCAGGGCUGCCAACCAUCAAUUGGAUAUUGAGGCACACUCUCUUGCCCAAGUCUGGAGAUCACGAGAUGAUCAGAGGCCAUGCAAUCAAUUUGCUUCAUGUAUUUGAUGUGCCACAGAAGUUCAAGGUGAUGAGCCUCAUAGUAGAAACAAUCAAGAGGACUGCAGCAGACCAGAAGAGGAGCUAUGGGUAUGCCCCACAAAUUCAGGAGCUCACUAACUCCAAGAUGGGCACGGGCAUAUACUUAUUGGACAAGGAACACCUGCCCAUCCGUCCAGAUUUUGAAGAUAAUCAAGUUAUUAUGACUGAAAAUGAACCAUCAUCUGCCCAAGCACAAGCAAAGAAGGAGAAGGCAAGGAAGGAGAAAGCUACCAAGAUGCCAACUCAAGAGGAGGCAUCUGAGUAUUUCCUUAAAACCAAACAAGAGCAGCUUGGUUACCUGAUUGCAUCCACCCUGCGGAUUGAGAAAGGACUAGCCACCCUAACUCAGAACCAGGCAAGCCUAGAGAGAAUCAUGAAACAAAAGUUCUAUGACUUGGAUGUCAAGGUGACAGAGAUUCAAACUGCAGUGGAGCAGCUCCAAGAUGAUAUGCAGGAGAGGAGAGGGAAGACAACCACUGAUGCCUUUGCCAGAGUGCCAUGAGGUCCGAGGUCGUCUGCAGUGCCAGUUCCUGACACAAGAGCAACUGCCUCAGCUCCAGCCGUAGCACCAGCCCAACCAGCUCCAGCAUCCACUUCAGCCUCGACUCCGACCACGUCUACAGAAGGCUUAGUCCUUGGAGUGCUCCGGACUCCACCACCACCAGAAGAUCAAGCCUGAGCGUCGAUCUAGCACUAUGCAUUUUCUAGGAACUUUUUGGUAACUUGUUGCCAAAGGGGGAGAAAAAUGUAUAGAUCAUAGGCUUCGAGAGAGAGAGUGUUGUUUUUUCUCUCUUGCUUUAUUUGGUGGUUUUUCGAACUUUGUUUGCUUUUGAGUGUUUGAGAUACUACGUCAUUAUCUGUGACACAUUGAUGAUCAUGUGUUUGAUCAUAAGCUACACUUAAUGCUUGCUUAAUGCUAUUAUCUUAUCUAUCUUAUGUGAUCAUUCACUAUUCUUGGUGAUGAGUGCAUGUAUUUCAUUCUUAUCAUUUUAAGCGCUCCACCAAGAUGUAUGUGACAUGGAAGAGUAACCCAUGACUCUAACUCUUUGUGCAUUUGAAGUCCAAAGCAAAUUUUAAAUAUGCACAAAUUUAGGGGGAGCUCUUACUUAUCACAUACUUCUCAAAGCGACGAUAUAUUUCAUGCUUAUUAUCAUUUGUCGAAGCUUUGAUCUAUAUGUUGUCAUCAAUUACCAAAAAGGGGGAGAUUGAAAGUGCAACUAUCCCUAGGUGGUUUUGGUAAUUCAUAACAACAUAUAGCUCAUUGAGCUAAUGCUAUUCCAAGAUGAUUAUUUCAGGAAAGCUCAAUGAUUGGCAUGGCAUGGAUGGUGAAAGUGGAACCCUCAAAAUGCUAAGAACAAAGGAUUGGCUCAAGCUCAAAAGCCCAAGACUCUUCAUUUUAUAUUUUAGUGAUCCAAGAUCACAUUGAGUCUUUAGGAAAAGCCAAUACUAUCAAGGAGGGAUGAGGUGUUGCUUAAUGAGCCUCUUGCUUCAUGUGCUUAGUGAUAUGCUCCAAAACCCUCAACUACUUUCCCAUAUCCACAUAUGACCUAAACCCUAAGCCAAACUCGGUCCUACUGAUUCUUUCUAUCCGGCGCCACCGAGUUUCACUUGUCAUAAGCCACUGCCAAACCCUAGCAAUUCGGUUCUACCGAUAGGGAUCUCGGUCUCACCGAGAUGGGAUUGCAAACUCUCUGUUUCCCUUUCGUAACUUUUUGGUCUCACCAAAAGAGCGGAUCGGUCCCACCGAGAUUGCAAUGUAAAUUCAGUGUUUCCUUUUUGUAAGUUUUCGGUCUCACCGAAAGAGCAAAUCGGUCCCACCGAGUUUGCCUGACCAACUCUCUGGUUAGCUAAUUACCAAAUUCGGUCUCACCGAGUUUGUGUAAUCGGUCUCACCGAGAUUACGUUAUGCCCAAACCCUAACCAUAUCGGUCCCACCGAGUUACAUGUCAGUCCCACCGAAAAUCUCUAACAGUCACUAGGUUUACAUUUUCGGUCCGACCGAGUUUGUUGAUUCGGUCCCACCGAGAUUGGAAAACUAUGUGUAACGGUUGGAUUUUGUGUGGAGGCUAUAUAUAGCCCUCCACCUCCUCUUCAUUCGGAGAGAGAGCCAUCAGAACACAUACACAAUUCCAACUCAUAUGUUUUGAGAGAGAACCACCUACUCAUGUGUUGAGACCAAGAUAUUCCAUUCCUACCAUAUGAAUCUUGAUCUCUAGCCUUCCCCAAGUUGCUUUCCACUCAAAUCAUCUUUCCACAAAAUCCAAAUCCUAUGAGAGAGAGUUGAGUGUUGGGGAGACUAUCAUUUGAAGCACAAGAGCAAGGAGUUCAUUACCUACACACCAUUUGUUACUUCUUGGAGAGUGGUGUCUCCUAGAUUGGCUAGGUGUCACUUGGGAGCCUCCGACAAGAUUGUGGAGUUGAACCAAGGAGUUUUUAAGGGCAAGGAGAUCGCCUACUUCGUGAAGAUCUACCGCUAGUGAGGCAAGUCCUGUGUGGGCGAUGGCCAUGGUGGGAUAGACAAGGUUGCUUCUUUGUGGACCCUUUGUGGGUGGUUGCUUCUUCGUGGACCCUUUGUGGGUGGAGCCCUCCGUGGACUCGCGCAACCAUUACCCUUUGUGGGUGGAGCCCUCCGUGGACUCGCGCAAUCGUUACCCUUUGUGGGUUGAAGUCUCCAUCAACAUGGACGUAGGAUAGCACCACCUAUCCGAACCACGGGAAAAACAUCCGUGUCUCCAGUUGCGUUUGAAUUCUCCAAACCCUUCCCUUUACAUUCUUGCAAGUUGCAUGCUUUACUUUCCGCUGCCAAUAUACUCUUUGCAUGCUUGCUUGAAUUGUGUGAUGAUUGCUUGACUUGUCCUAAAAUAGCUAAAAUCUGCCAAGAACUAAAAUUGGGAAAAGGUUAAGCUUUUAUUUGGUCAAGUAGUCUAAUCACCCCCCCCCCUCUAGACAUACUUUCGAUCCUACAUGAUGCCUUGAUGUACUGUUUUCUUGAUAUGUUUGAUGUUCAUCCAUCGUCCAUAUUUACUAGCACACUAGAUAGAAAUCGUGACCGAUGCCACUCAAUAGAAUUUCCUAGACAUUUUAUUGGAUCGUCAGAUGGUUGGGUGGCAGGGUGUGUUUGGCUAACAAAUUGCAUUGGAAUUAUAUUCUUCAUCGCCUAAUGUUCUUGUUGCUGAUAAUAGGGCCUGUAUAUAGCAAUUUAUUUUCCUAGUGGUUACUUAUGCUUAUUGUGUCUCACGCUGAAAGAAAAUGCGCAAUGAGCUUGUUUGACUUUUUUUUAUGCUUGUAGUAUACUUGAUCAGGGUAGUGCUAUUUCCUGUGAUCUUUCCUAUCAUUUGCUAGUGUGAUUCUUCAAGAUGAAACAUUUUAAAACCCAAACUACUGUAAAUAAGUGUUCUGCAUCUUGAGGAUCAAGUAUUCAUGAUAUGUCAAUAGUGUAGUUGAUCCUCACUGUUGCUAAAUGCCAUUGCUUGAUAUGAUAUAAGUAUGAGCACUUAACCAUUGUACAGUUGUUUGCAUUUUUUUGUAUUUUUUUAUAUAUGAUGAUAGUUUGAGCAAGAUGUACACAUGUUAAUUUUUUUACUUGAAUCUGUUAUGCCCUUGAUUUUUUACUUAGCUUGACCAAGAACAACAACAUCCUUGAUGUUUACUAACCCCCACCUCGCUCUUGCUCUCUCAGACCCGAAGGAGCCCGUAUGGAAGGCACCUCCUCUCCGGGCGGUGAGAGCGUUGAGGGGUCGUGGGUGCAGCUAAUGGCCAUGUCCGUGGCCGUGCCUACCAUGACCCUCUCUACAAGGGCAUAGCCAGGAAGAAGCUCAGCAACCAGAUCGUCGUCCACUCCAAGUGGAGGGGACAACUCAAGCGAUAGUAAGUUUCUAGUAUUCUCUAAUGUGUUGAUGUGGCUUGUUUACCUCAUCCUUGUUACACUUGAUUUCCUUAUAUGAUUUCUUCUCGACGGAUCUGAUAGAGAUGAUUCGUUCAAAGUAGUACAGUAUGUGAUUCCUGUUUUAUUAUAGUUUUUUUGUUUGUCCCGGUGCUCUGUUGCAUGGCUGCUAUUUUCCCUUUCCUAAUCGCAUUGCACAUUCAUUUUUGGUAUUGGAAAUGCGAUAGUAUACAUGCAAUUUCAGUUCCUAUAGUAGUCCAGCAUGCAUUGCUUUGUCGUUGGACACUGGUAAUUAAGAGAGGGCGUUGUAUGCUCUUUGAUUAAUUGUCUAGUGAUUGCCUGAAGCAUCUAUCUUCCCAGCUUUCAGAAUGGAGAAACUCGUGUCAUUUCAUAUAUGAUCUGAAUGAAAUGUCUAGGACUUGCAGCAGUUUAUCUGAUACUGUAUACUGUACUAAAGAAACAACAUAUGCGCUCCUGAAACGUACUAAGUUCUUCUCUGCUCCAUGUUCCCAUUUAAGCUAUGUGCUUGAUUUAAAUUUCAACAAUGGUUUGUUUCGCAUUCGUACUUGUUUAGUAAACCUUGUGCCAUGCUUAUUUCAUGUAGCUAACAGUAACAUGCAAAAAAAUAAUUAGCAAGUAAGAUUUUCUGCUUGUCUGCUACAAAGUUUUCAAAUAACUACUAAUUAAUUAGUAGCAUGUAGUCUGGAUAUACAAAAGCAUGUGUUGUCCAGCCCAUGUAGCAAUCACUGCUAGUCUGUAUUGAGCAAACAAUGCACCGCGUUGUAGCUAGCCGCGCGCGGUAGCCGCCGCACGAGACGCUGUUGUGCGUCAUGUGAAGUAUAGAUUUUCCCAUCUUUUUUUAAAUGUCAGGUGUUGUAUUAGUAUUAUGAUGUUAUCUUCUUAAAUUGCUGCUACUAGGAAAUCUAUUCUUGAAUAGUUUUCUUAUAAAGUUUCCUAGUCAUUCAGAACCAACUACAAUAUAUUGAUGAACAUAGUACUCUGCUCAUGUGUACAUCUUUCUUUAAAUGUCAGGCUGACAUGGAAAGUGCUAUGGGACAAGAGGUACCAAAAGGUGGAGAACCAAAGAGUGAUGCUGCUAUUGUUGCUGACAUUCUCACUAAAGAAUGUCCCUCCAGCACAUUCCUUCACUGGUUGUGUUGUUUUGGUUGGUGCCAUCUUAUGUUACUGGUUACUAGUGCACAAUAUGGACAUGACCAUAUUAUCAACAUUGGUUUUGUUAUUUUGUUUGGUGCAUCUUAUGAACCUGUGGUGUAAAGAUAAUGCUGGGCCUAAGUUAUUGAAAUCCUGGAGAAUUAUAUUAUUAUUGUCAUUAUAUUCUCCUUUGUUGGUUGACUGCCAAAUUGUGCAAUGUAUUCUUCUUUUUGAGAUACUGUUGGUUGUUGUUGGUCACCCUUCAAUAAGGGCUGGACUGAAAUACGAAAUUGUGUUAGUGGGCUGGACCGUUUCAAGGCCCUUUGACAGAAAAAAAAACAAAAUGUUUUUGUUGGGUAGAUAAAAGGGCUGGCCCAAUUAAUGAUGGCUUAAAUAAAUUGGUUGCACAACUUAGCCCAAGAACUGAUCUGUUGGGCUUGGCCCAUGCUUGUGGCCCAAAAGUAAAUUUAAAAGUGGGCUGAAUUAUUGGGUUCAACCCAUUAAAACAACUGAUUUGGACUGAUCCUACAUGGCAUCCAUGUCAUCGCAUGUGCCACGUUGGCUCGGCCACAUCAGAUCCUACGUGGUCUAGGCUCAUUAGUAAUGACCAUAAUUUUGGUCAAAGAUUUAAUGACCUAAAUUUUGGGCAAGGGUGGCCAUGACGAAAAUUCCGGAAAAGGUCAUGUUUGUUCGUUCUUGACGGCCAACUGUUGACCUUCUGAAUUUGGUCAAAAAAGGUCAAUAAACGAAAGCAAUGAUGAAUUAACGACAAAAAUGGGGAGUCAUAAUUGGCCAUAUUUCUUGUAGUGGAGGGCCUCCGACCCCUUCUUCUUUGCCGUCGUCCCGUCGCCCGCCGAACCACGCCCCAAGAACCUUAAGGUAUAAUUUACUUACUCCACAUGCAUUGCUCUAGCUGCAUGUAUACCAUGAAUCUAGGACGUGGUUCAAAGAGGAAAGGAGUGGGGGAAAGUAGUGGGAAAAGUUGUAUAUAGCAUGAAUCUAGGACGUGGUUCAAAGAGGAAAUGAAGGGGGAAAGUUGUAUAGCAUUAAUCUAGGACGUGGUUCAAAGAGGAAAGGAAUGGGGGAAAGUAGUGGGGAAAGUUGUAUCGCAUAAAUCUAGGACGUGGUUCAAAGAGGAAAGGAAGGGGCGAAAGUACUAGUUCAAAAAGGAAAGGAAGGGACAAGGCUGUAGAGUUUGAGCAGGACUAGAUUUGUUGUGCUCACAUAGGGAAAGGCGUCUAAAGAUAACAAAACUGGGACCAACACAAAUAUGAUCCUUGGUUGCUUGUUCUUUGUUGCAACAGACUGUGCAUGACCACAGUACAUCGGUAGAUGCACAUGGUGCUGGCGAGUCCACUGUCCCGUGCAACUCAUUAGUUGUUGUUAAUCUAAGGCCCUGUUUGGUUAAAAACUUCCUAGUCCAUACCUGCUGGGUUCCAGGGACUAAACAUGGACUAGAGGUUUUUAAAUGACAUGCUAAAAGACCAUGUUACCCCUAGUAAUGAACUAAUAGAGACAAGGUGCGAUGCGUGGCAGGGGCAACUGUUGGAAAAGGUCCCAAAAAGACUCCCUCGGGGUCUUCUUUCUUUAGUCCCAAAUGCCCACUUUUAGUCCCUAAAAGUCCCUCCUCUUUGGUUUAGACGGGACUGACACGGAGUUUUUUUAGUCCCUACACCAAAAUGUCCCUGUAAACAAACACCCUCUAAUAAUGCCGCUGGAAAAUUGAUGCAAUGCCACAGUUAAAAGCAAAUUACAUGUUUAACGAAUUUUAUUGUUAAUAUUAAUCAAUGCCACCAUUUGAGAAAUGCUACUGUCUUGCUUUCUUUUCCAUUUAAAUAAGGUAGAUGCUUCUUUUUGUUGCCUUCUGUGUCAUCCACCGUUAUUGACCACUAAUUGUUUCCUUUGCACCUCUGUGUAAACAGGGUUAUCUGCCUCACCUCAUUGCCAAUGUGACCUUUUUGUUGCACUACACAAAACACUUUUGUUUUAAGAGUGUUUUGUGUAGUUCAACCAAAAUUUCACACCGACAAUGUUGCUUGAUUGCUUGAUCUUAGUGGAACUGCACAAGAGGAGAUCUUACGUCCUAUCCGUUAAGGCGAAUUUGGUUCAGAUCUUCUUCUUUUGAGUUGUUUGAAUUCCGCAUCAUGAGAGGUUAGUACUAGCCUGCUUUCACAUGAUUCUGUAGUGUGCAUUCAUAUGUUGUGCUACUUGUACGAUAAUGUUGCUUGAUUUUAGUGAACUGCACAAAUGGAGACAAGUAUUUCAAUCUGUAUAUGCACCAUAAUAUCCCAUUGAGGUAAGAUAAGGAUAUUUCACAACUGCUGGCCUGUAUUUUGCCACUUUCAUCAGAAAAUUAAGUUUAGUACUAUACUUGUGCUCCCUAAUUGACAUGCCAAAUCUUACAUUGAAGGCGGAGCUUGUUUGUUAUUGAACCAAGUGAUGAAGUGGAAGAACAAGGUGAAGAAAAACAAAAAUCAACUCCCGGUGCUGUAAUGAAGCAAUGGAACUGUGAUGACACAAGUAAUGAUAUAGUUUUACAUCUUAAUUUAUUGCUAUGGCUGGAACGAGCAAUUGUUUUGCCACUGAUUUGAUGCCACUCUUAAUGUAAUAUGUAAGUAUCUCUACUUGUGCAAACAGGGAUCUUCUUUGAAGAUACCAUAUAUUUUAGUGGAACUACACAAGAAGAUGUUGGAAACAUUAAACUAAUCGAGGAGUAUAUAGUAAGCAUGGCCACCACCGUAGAUUGCAACAGAUGGUUCCGGAGAAUUGCUUCAUCUGUAUGCUCUACACAAUAAGCCUCCUGACAAAGGUUGGUACUCGCCCACUGAUUUCAUCCAUAUGAUUGAGCUUUGUCAUCUCUAUUGGUGUUGUGCUACUGUUUAGAUACUGUCAUGAAAAAGUGGUAUUGUCCUUAAGAAGUGCUUCAUCUGUGUUGUUUUAAAUAUUUCCUUUCCUUUUUUUCGAGUAAAAAGUGAUGCUAGCAUUUAGUAGUCCUCUUGUCUUUGCACAACAGGAUCAUCUUCCUCUGAAGGAGAAUAUGGAGUACGUGAAGUGACUAGUUCCGAUUAUGCCAGGAUGAAGAAGCCCUGUCUAUCUUAUCAUCAGAAGGAGCAGUUGAAGGAUGGUACAUUACUCCCCACAAGACCAAACUAACUUCAGCUUAGAAGGACUAACAAAAUCUCCAUUUUUUUGCUGUGAUGCGCGAGUAUAAUGUUGUUCUAGGAUUCUUUCUAGUGAGUUUCAUUUUUCUAAAAGUGUGCUCUACAUGGACCAUGUAUGUGCCUGUUGAAACUGUCAAUUCAUAGUACAGUUUGCUUUGUACUAAUCACUUUUUUGUAUUUGUGCAAACAGGGGUGCUCAGCUUGAUUUCAAUGGGAACUGCACAAAAUGUUCAUGAAUACAUCGAAUCAUUCAUUUCCACCACAAGAAAGGAGGUGCCGAUAAGUUCAAGGCGUUGCAACAUAUAAGGGCGAAAUCAUACAAGCUACGCAGGAAUUUGGUUGAUUUUGGUGGAACUGCACAAAAAGAACAGCUGGUUUAUUUAGCACGAGGUGCCAUGUCAAUGUCCAAACUGAUGGCAAACCCUGCCCAUUCCACAAGCGUAGGCAUUUGAUAUUUUGGAAUGGGACAACCUUGUCAAAUUUGCUCAUUGAUUUUAGCAAGACAUGCGUUUGAUAUUUUCGAAUGGGACGCCCUUGCUGUCAGCAGCGUCGAUCAAUUUUUUCUUUAUUCUUUAGUUGUGAAGUAAAUAUUGCCUCUGACAUGUGAGUCGCUGAGAUGCAUAAUCAUCGAUUGUUUUGAAUGUUCUCUAUGAAUUGCCAGGCUUGUGUGUGUGAUUGCAAUGUACAGAAAUGCUAAAAACCUGCUCAAACUCUUUGUACUCCUUCUAUUCCUUUUUACUUCGCACAUUGUGAAAGUGCGUACUUUUUUGUAUAAGAUUGGUCAAAGUAGAGAUACUUUGACUGCAGACAAAACUUGUACGCAGACUAGAAAUGACCGAAGGGAGUACAUGUGAAACUGCUGUAAACGAGGUGAUCACCCUGGGAAUAAUGCUAGUACAUAUUAUUUUGCAUGUUCAUCCAAUGCAAGUGAUACAGGAAUUCGAACUAAUCGAAAUAAAUUCAUUUAUACAUGGUCGGAUUUCAUAUAAACAUGCCAGAUUUCAUUACAUUUCAUACAUUCUUCAACUAAAAAGGGGUGCGCUGGAGGUAUAAUUAAUUAACUGAAGCUACCCACCUGUGUCCCGCUGAGCCGAACAGAAGCUUCAGUGACUUAACUGCAGGUGCAGUUGUGUAACUGACAUGUGGCCUGUUGGGCUCACGUGUCAGUCAGCCAACUGCACCAGCAGUUAAGUAGAAGCAGCGUUAUUCUCCAGCAGAACUCCCCGACUCCACGUCGCCGCCAAGAAGCUAACCGGACGUCAAUAGUCAACCCGCCUAGUUUGGCUUCAACAGGAGGGUAGCAGCGGUGGCUUUACUUGGACCCGAGCGACAGUGACCUACCGUGUUCUACUCUUCCUUGUUUUCCGUGUGGCACGGCCUCGUUGGCAGCGGGGCGGGGCCUCGGUGGAGCUGGCGAUGUCCUCUAUCUCAUUGCCGGCGGGCGACGCCUCAGCGGAGCGGUGGAAAUCCUCCUUCACAUUGCCGGCAGGGUGGGGCCUCGGCUGAGGCAGCGAUGUCCUCUGCCUCGUUGUUGGCGGGGCGGGGCCUCGGCGGAGCCGGCGGUGUCCUCUGCCUCGUUGUUGGCGCCGCGGGGCCUCGGCGGAGCAGGGCCUCGUCGACGCCAGCGGAGCGGGGACUCGUCGGAGCCGGCAUUGUCCUCUGCCUCGUCCUCGGUCUCGCCAAACAGCGCAUCGCCCGUUUCCUCGCCCUCUUUGCUAGCCUCUUUGUAGCCGGCCGCAGCCUCCGCCACCCACAUGCGGUCCCGCCAGUGCUGGUGGCGGCCCUUGCGGGCGGAGCGGUAUGAGUCGAGCAGCGCCUCCUACUCCGCCCGCUCCACGGCGAUCUGCUCCUCCGCCUGCAGGUGCUCCUGGAGGAGAUGGUGGUUGUAGGCGGCGUUGGCCUGCGCCUCCCGGAAUUGCUCCUGACGCAUCUGCCUCACACUUUCCAUAUAUUGGGAAUGGGCCUCGCCGAUAGUCAUGGUGCAAUGCACCGGCGAGGAUGCGCGGAGGAGGGGGUUGGCACCGGAUCGUCGACUACCAUGUUCUCCGUUGGGACGUCGUCAUCCUCCGGCUGCCUGCCGGCCAGCCGGUCGGCAGCAAUUGCUGCCAUCUCCUUGUGGUCCGUCGUCCGCCCAUCCCGAAGAGCGCUGGAGCGCGAGGAAGUCAUGGUGGGCAGUAGUGGUGUGGAUAGGAGAAAGGGAACGGAUGCGGAUGACUGCGGCUAUGGCCGGCGCAGCAGUUUAUAUAGCAAUGGUGGGUGGGCGGAGAGACGGACGUGUGGCGCCGGAGUAGCCGCCUUGGCAACCGCGUAUCAUUAAUGUGGGCGACAGAUGGACGGACGGACGGCACUUGUGUCAUUUGAAGGCGGAGCAAUCGCCUGCACCGGGAAGUGGGGCGGGCGGCGUUGACUGUUUUGGGCGGAAAGCGCGCGCGGGCGAGGAAAUGCCUUUACUUGGAGAGGAUGACAAUGGGGACCCACCAGGUCCAUAGCCUCACGUACGCAAGUGCCUCCUUAUUUUAUAUAUAUAUAUAUAUAUAUAUAUAUAUAUAUAUAUAUAUAUACUCCCUCCGUUUAGGUGAAUAAGUCGUAUUAGAAGGUGCACCACGACUAGGUGCAAGCAGAUUGGUGGAAAAGAAGAAUAUUUCUCUCUUCUAAACACAAUAUUUAAUCACAGCAGUUAAGAGGAUGCAUUAUUAGCUACCCAUGCAGGCCAUCGUAAUUCAUAGCAUGCAAAGCGCUUUUAUUUCUUGCCUAAUAACCGCAUGGAUGUGCUGCAUGCAUUGGUCCUUGGCCGAGCAAAAAAAAGAGAGGAAAGGGGUUUCCACGGGAGACAACGAGGCAUAGGUGGAAGCGUUCGCUGGAGUUAUUUAUUUUUCUUCCCCCUGGUUUCUUGACAUCACGGUCCCACACCAUUGUCAACGUAUGUAGUACUAGUCAAUAAACGAGAGAAUUGCACAAGAAGCGGCCGACAGCUGGGACCAAGCUGCUUGAGCAGUAUUUGUGUUUUUGAGGUGUGAGCACUGCACAGUUUUUCGAUGUUUAGCCCAGAUAUUAAUUUUUCUCCUCUGAACAACAACGAAAACAUCGCUGCAGGUAUUAACUGGGCGGGCUGUGACCCGUCUAGCCCAGGCCAGAUAUCCAGCCCAGAUGUUAAUUUUAUUCAAGCUGAAAAUGGCUAGCCCAGCUAUACUUUUUUUAGGAAUACCCAGGCAAGGUCAAGUUGUUAUUCUCCGUCCCGCUGGGCUGCAAAUCUUUCCUAAGAGGGAUGCAUUAGGCUUAACAAGAAAAUGGGCUUUAAGAAAUAAUAAAUGAGAUGUAAUUAUAAAAACUGGGCAGUAACUAUAAAAAAUGCACCAAACACAUGAUUACUUUAUAAAAUAUUAUUUUCGGAUAUUGAAAAUUUUAAUUUCAUUAAUUGUUGCGAGCGCAAUGUUUCGUUGGAUUUUUACGUAAUAUAAAUUUAUAUUGAAAUUGUAUUUAAUUUGACUAGAAAUUUCGGGAUAAAAAUAUUUCGGAUCCCAUCAAAAUAUGGAAAAUUUUAUUGAACUCUGUUUUGAACGGUUGGUUGAAAUGGGCUGUACUUUUAACAAACUGUAAAUGGGCUGUAGUAAAUUCCAUUAGAAUUCAAAAAUGGACUACACAUUCUUACAAACCUCAAAUGGGCUAUAAAUUCUCUGCCACAUACUUCUGGCCUUACUAAGUUGACGCGUCCCCUAAAAAAACAGAGUUGACGCGUAUGCAAGGCUUUGUCAACUUAUAGUCAACACACGGUUCUAGCAGCAGUAGCCGUUGGAUGUCCAUCCAACGGAUGCCGUGCUUCUUCUUCAAUCUCAGAUAUUCUAGCUUCACCCGCCCAAAAAAUUAUUCCUCCCCCUGACAUCUGGGGUGCACUGUUUCGGAAGCUGACCUGUGGGCCUACUAAGUUAACGUACCAAGGGCUUUGUCAACUUAGUCAAUAUAAACGAUUCUAGCUGCAGUGACCGUACGAUGUCCAUCCAACGGCCGUAGUGCUUGUUCAACCUCUUGGUCUUCUUGCUCCAGCCACCCAAAGCAGCGCCGGUCAUGCCGCCUGCUCCUGCCUCCCGUGGCCGGCUGUGCUACCGUGGAGGCCUCAUCGCCCCCCUACUAUUCCCACCACUGACCAGGCCCUGCGGCGACGGCAGCCUCACAUCACAGUCGAACGAGUGAACCCUCAUACUCCUCUCCGCGUGGGCAUCCACUGCCGCGUCUUCACCGGCUCCGCGUCGUCCCCUUCCUAGGCCUCGCCGUCGUCCACCGCCCUGGUGCUCUCGGCGCGGUGUGGUCAACGUGGAAGGAACGACUUCCAUCGGACGUGGACUGUACGUGGAGAGGCUGACAGCUGGGUCCACGGCGGCAGUAAGAAAGUGCCUCCUUAUUACGCGGAAAAUAAUGAUUCCUCCACCUGACAGCAGGGACCCACCGAACAGGCCACCAGUAUUUUGUGAAAAAAAUUGUUCCCCCUGACUGCUGGGACCCACCGGACGGGCCACCGUAUUUCGUGAAAAAAAACGUUCCCCACGCUGUCAGCUCGGACCCACCGGAAGUGCCUCCUUAUUACGCACAAAAAAUGAAUACUCCCCCGGCUAGCUGGGACCCACCUUGCUGGGAGGCUGACUUGUGGGCCUACUAAGUUGACGGGGACAAAGGGCUUUGUCAACUUAGUCAAUAUGAACGAUUCUAGCUCCAAUGACCGUACGAUGUCCAUCCAACGGCCGUGGUGCUUCUUCAACCUCUGGUCUUCUUACUCCAGCCGCCCAAAGCAGCGCCGGUCGUGCCGCAUGCUCCUGCCUCCCGUGGCCGGCUGUGUUGCCGCAGAGGCCUCACCGCCCCCUACUAUUCCCACCGCGGGCCAGGCCCUGCGGCGACGGCAGCCUCACACCGCAGCCGAACCAGUGAACCCUCGUAGUCCUCUCCGCGCGGGCUUCCACUGCCGCGUCGUCCCCUUCCUAGGCCUCGCCGUCGUCCACCGCCGUGGUGCUCUCCGCGCGGCAUGGUCAACGUGGUCAAGGAACGACUUCCAUUGGAAGACUACUGUACGUGGAGAGGCUGACAGCUAGGUCCAUGGCCACAACCCAGUUUUUUUGUGAUUUGCCAAGUAAGUCGCUUUGUCAGGCCUGUUGGGCUGCAAAUCUUUCAAGACGAGGAGAGCUUUCAUUCGGCUGGCCGAGAAAACGGCCCAUCAGUAAUGAGAAAUGGGUUGUACAUUUUUAAAACACAUCAAACCGGCAAUUAGUUUCAAAUAUCUUUUUUUUUCAUUUCAAGAUUUUAAAUUACAUUAAUUUUUAUGUGUGGAGAAUUUGUUUCAAACGCCUAUACCUGGAUAGGAGUGCAGACAACAUAAAGAAGUACAAGAUGGCGAAGAAGGCCGCAAAGCGAGCUGUUGGUGAAGCAAGGGGUCGGGCAUAUGAGGACAUCUACCAACGGUUAGGCACGAAGGAAGGUGAAAGGGACAUCUAUAAGAUGGCCAAGAUGCAAGAGAGGAAGACGAGGGAUAUUGGCCAAGUCAAAUGCAUCAAGGACGGAGCAGGCCAACUCUUGGUGAAGGGCGAGGAGAUUAAGCAUAGAUGGCGGGAGUACUUCGACAAGCUGUUCAAUGGGGAGAAUGAGAGUUCUACCAUUGAACUGGACGACUCCUUUGAUGAGACCAACAUGCGUUUUAUGCGGCGAAUCCAGGAGUCUGAGGUCAAGGAGGCUUUAAAAAGGAUGAAAGGAGGCAAGGCGAUGGGCCCUGAUUGUAUCCCCAUUGAGGUGUGGAAAGGUCUCGGGGACAUAGCGAUAGUAUGGCUAACCAAGCUUUUCAACCUCAUUUUUCGGGCAAACAAGAUGCCAGAAGAAUGGAGACGGAGUAUAUUAGUACCAAUCUUCAAGAACAAGGGGGGUGUUCAGAGUUGUACUAAUUACCGUGGAAUUAAGCUGAUGAGCCAUACAAUGAAGCUAUGGGAGAGAGUCAUUGAGCACCGCUUAAGAAGAAUGACAAGCGUGACCAAAAAUCAGUUUGGUUUCAUGCCUGGGAGGUCGACCAUGGAAGCCAUUUUCUUGGUACGACAACUUAUGGAGAGAUAUAGGGAGCAAAAGAAGGACUUGCAUAUGCUGUUCAUUGACUUGGAGAAGGCCUAUGAUAAGAUACUGCGGAAUGUCAUGUGGUGGGCCUUGGAGAAACACAAAGUCCCAGCAAAGUACAUUACCCUCAUCAAGGACAUGUACGAUAAUAUUGUGACAAGUGUUCGAACAAGUGAUGUCGACACUGAUGACUUCCCGAUUAAGAUAGGACUGCAUCAGGGGUCAGCUUUGAGCCCUUAUCUUUUUGCAUUGGUGAUGGAUGAGGUCACAAGGGAUAUACAAGGAGAUAUCCCAUGGUGUAUGCUCUUUGCGGAUGAUGUGGUGCUAGUUGACGAUAGUCGAACGGGGGUAAAUAGGAAGUUAGAGUUAUGGAGCAAACCUUAGAAUCGAAAGGGUUUAGGCUUAGUAGAACUAAAACCGAGUACAUGAUGUGCGGUUUCAGUACUACUAGGUGUGAGGAGGAGGUUAGCCUUGAUGGCCAGGUGGUAUCUUAGAAGGACACCUUUCGGUAUUUGGGGUCAAUGUUGCAGGAGGAUGGGGGUAUUAAUGAAGAUGUGAACCAUCGAAUCAAAGCUGGAUGCAUGAAGUGGCGCCAAGCUUCUGGCAUUCUCUGUGACAAGAGAGUGCCACAAAAGCUAAAAGGCAAGUUCUAUAGGACGGCGGUUCGACCCGCAAUGUUGUAUGGCGCUGAGUGUUGGCCGACUAAAAGGCGACAUGUUCAACAGUUAGGUAUGGCGGAGAUGCGUAUGUUGAGAUGGAUGUGUGGCCACACGAGGAAGGAUCGAGUCCGGAAUAAUGAUAUACGAGAUAGAGUUGGGGUAGCACCAAUUGAAGAGAAGCUUGUCCAACAUCGUCUGAUAUGGUUUGGGCAUAUUCAGCGCAGGCCUCCAGAAGCUCCGGUGCAUAGUGGACGGUUAAAGCGUGCGGAGAAUGUCAAGAGAGGGCGGGGUAGACCGAAUUUGACAUGGGAGGAGUCCGUUAAGAGAGACCUGAAGGAUUGGAGUAUCACCAAAGAGCUAGCUAUGGACAGGGGUGCAUGGAAGCUUGCUAUCCAUGUGCCAGAGCCAUGAGUUGGUUGCGAGAUUUUAUGGGUUUCACCUCUAGCCUACCCUAACUUGUUUGGGACUAAAGGCUUUGUUGUUGUUGUUGGAGAAUUUGUUCGAUUUUAUAUUGAUGUACAUUUACUUUUAAAAUCAGUUUGAAUGUGAGUCGAAAUUUCGGGAUUAAAAACAGUUCGGACCGCACCGAAAUAUGCAAAAUUUUGUAUAAUUUUUUAACCGUUGCCACAAUAUGGGCUGUAAUGCUAACAAAAAGAAUAUGGGCUCCAAAAAAACCUUAAGAAUUAGCAAAUGGGCUGUAAAUUAUUAGAAAUAAUGGCAGAUGGGUUGUAUGCUGUUUUCCACAGAUUUGAGGCUUUCCUAAAAAAAAGGUUGAUGCACAAGCACUGACUGUUGGAUGUGCAUCCAACGGCCAUUGUGCUUCUUCAAUCUCUGCUCUUCCUGCUCCAGCCACUCAAACAAGCGCCAGCGGGACUGCCUGCUCCCUCCUCCUUGCGGCCGGCUGUGCUGCCGUGCAUGCCUCACCGCCCGACCGUACUCCCAUCGCUGGCCUAGCUAUCCCUCUACUCACCCACACAUAUUUUUAUUCUCCGACGAUUGUAGACGAACCAGUAAACCCUCGUAUAGUCGUACUCCCCUCCGCGUGGGAAACAACUGCCGAGUCUUCCCUGCCUCCGCGUCGUCCCCUUCCUAGGCCUCGCCGUCGUCCACCGCCCUGGUGCUCUCGGCGCGGUGUGGUCAACAUGGUCAAGAAACGACUUUCAUCGGACGUGGACUGUACAUGGAGAGGCUGACAGCUGGGUCCACGGCCGCAGCAAGGAAGUGCCUCCUUAUUACGCGAAAAAUAAUGAUUCCUCCAUCUGACAGCUGGGACCCACCAAAUGGACCACUGUAUUUCGCGAAAAAAAACGUUUUCCCCUGACUGCUGGGACCCACUAGCUACAUCUUCGCACGCAAGGAAGUGCGUCGGGCAAAAAAAAUGAUUCGUCCCCUGACUGCUGGGACCCACCAGCUACAUCUUCGCACGUAAGGAAGUGCGUCCGGGCAAAAAAAACGAUUCGUCCCCUGACUGCUGGGACCCACCAGCUACAUAUUCACACGCAAGGAAGUGCCUGACAGUCGGGACCCACCUGGUCGAAGCGUACGUAACGUUGUCAUUCUGGUCGCGAACGUGUACGUACAUACUGGUCGAUGUAGAGGCGCCCAUGUGUCGUAGUAGAGGCGCGCACGUAGCAUGUACAUGUACGUACAGCGGCCAGGGUGCAAGAAAGAAAAUAUGGCCACGUAUGUGUACAUACGGGCGGGGUCUCGAACGCCUACUCGCGCAUACGUACGGCUAGGGCUCAUGUACAUGGCUGGGUCGGAACGGAGAAACAACGUCGUCGUCGUGUUCAUGGGGAGGCAACGGAAUGCGUCGUGUUCAUGGGGAGGCAACGGAACGCGUGGGAGCCAACCGGCUGGGUCGGAACAGAAUGCGUGGUCGUGUUCAUCGGGAGGGCUUGGAUGGAACAGGCGAUGGAAACGAGGCCUGGCGUACCGCACAACGGAAGAAACGAACCUCUUACGUUCGGAACGGGGUCCUGUUGAUCGGGAGGGGUCUGGCGUACCGCAAAACGGAGGAAACGGACCUCCUACAGUCGAAACAGGGGUCCUGUUCAUCGGGAGGGGUGUGGCGUACCGCAAAACGGACGAAACGGACUUGUGUUGGAGCGCUACGGUCGAAACGGGGGUCCUGUUCAUCGGGAGGGGUGUGGCGUACCGCAAAACGACACUCCACGGGAUACUGUUCAUCUCCACCGUCGACCCCCUCCAGCCUCCACGAGCUACUGUUCAUCCACCGUCGACCUCCUCCAGCCUCCACCUGCGACUGUUCAUCCACGGGCUCCUAUUCAUCCAGCCCCCACCGCGCGCUACUCCACCGGCUACUGUUCAACCAGCCCUCUCCACGGGCUCCUGUUCAACCACCCCUACACGGGCUAUUGUUCAUCCUGCCCUCCACCGUCUACUGUUCAUCCAGCCCUCCACGGGGUGGUCCUGUUCAUCCAGCCCUCCACGGGGUCCUGUUCAUCCAACCCAAACCGGCUCGAUCGAUCGGGGUCCUAUUCAUCCAGAAGCAACACCACGGGGUCCUGUUCAUCCACCCCCACCGGGAGCUGUUCAUCCACCCCCACCGGGAACUGUUCAUCCAACCCCCCCAACGCUCACUGUUCAUCCAGAUGCAGUAUCGAUCGGCUUCAGUUAGCAGCAGUAGCAAAGGAAUCGCUCGAUCGGGUUCAGUUAACAGCCAUCGAUCGAUCGCUCGGGUUCAGUAACGCGUAGCCUGCUGUGCAAUCGCUCGGGUUCAGUUAGAGCCCAACGCCUCGCUCGGGUUCAGUUAGAGCCAACGCCUCGCACACACGCGCGUACGUGUACGAGAGAAACGCGCAUCGCUCAGCCCCCGACCUCCCACUGUAACCAGGAACUCCCCGAAAUUUUCCUCGUCCUUUCUUCUACCAUGGUUUUUUCCGUCAUGGACGGCCCAAAGAAUGUCAUGCAGCUGCGUCUCCGGCCCGCCCAGGGCGAAAAGCCCAUUUUCUGUCAUGAUUUUUUGUCGUAGAAGUAGGAGCCCACCACAUCUAUGAUGAUACCGUGUUUUGUCACAAUUAUCGUCAUAGAAGUGUCAUAUGUAUGACAGAAAGAAAUUUCAUUCGGCCCAAAAUGUCACGGAUGUGUCUUUUUUUUAGUGGGUUGACGGCGGCGGUGGGCGCCACAAACCAGAUCACAUUGACCGGGAAACCAAAAAGAAGACGCCAAUCAAAACGACCGGCGAGAGAGAAAACCCGGAUCAAAGGAUCGGGAAAAAAACUCUCUAGGGCAGCCCGGCCGGUGGACGAACCCUAGGUACGGGCGGCGCGGCCCCCGGUUUAGGAUCGACUUGCGAUAGAUACCAUGUUAGAAGAAAGAAAGAGAUUUGAUGGAAUAAUUCUUUUAUUGCUUGAGCCUCGUGAGCAUAUAUAUAGAAAUACAUGAUCUACUUUGAAUACAAGGCAAGCUAGAAUAUUUCUUAAUUUAAUCUACGUUUUCUAAUACAAUCACGUUCCUCAACAAACGGCAUGGUUGCGGUGGCAGUUGCAGGGCUCGAGCUUGCGACAGGGGGUCGGGGCCAUGGUCGUGGGAGUGGGAGCGGGCGUGCUCCGAAUUCUUCUGGUCGAGGUGAAGAACUGAAGACAAUGGGCUCGGGCCCCCUCUGUCAAUGAUAGAGAGCGCGUGGGGGUGGUUGUCAUUCGAUCUAGCACAGACAGCUGCGAUUUAGAUCACAACGUAUCGUUUUCUGUUUUUUCUAGGGGUAGUAUCGUUUUCGUUUUCUACUUUUUCUUUUUUUAGACAAGUUUUCUAUUUUUACUGGGCGUACGAGGGGGUGAGUUUUGGGUCAGCUUAGCUGGGCUGAUGCGCUGGCUGGGCUUCUUUCACUUUUUCUUUUUCUUUUUCUGUUUGUUUUCUUUUUCUUUUUUAAUCCAGGGUUUGAACCUAAUUUUAACUAGCACAAUUUCAUAACAGUGCAAAUCCAUUGAACUCACGAAAAUUAGAAAAAAAAUACUAUGGCUCAUAUGGAUCAUAGGGAAAACAUUUCCAACCCUGAUGCGAUUUUUUAAAUACAUCUUAUCCAAAUGGACUUAAUAUGACUAUUAAAUAUAUCUCAAACUUAAUUAGGGUUUCUGGAAUAGUCAAAUUAAUUCCAAACAACUUCAAAAUGCACCAAAGUCAUGAUAUGCAAGUGUAUGCUAUGUUCACAUCCUAAUUUCAAAAAAAUUGGAUAUGACACGACCACGUGGAGGAGUCCUUCCCGCUUCUGCAGCCAUUGUUGCGUCAACAUCCGAGCAGGGUAAGGGGGUGUUAAUAAGUAUGUUGGCGCCACCACUGCCUCUGCCGCCAAGCCUUGCCUAGGACCACGUGAAGGAUUCCUUCCCGUCGCCACCGCCACCUCCUCGGUCGAACCUUGCCGCCUAGUUAGAGGAUUGGGGGCAAUCUUUGCCGGCGACCACUUGCGGGAGGACACAACUGCAUCGAAGAACCAAUGGGUGACCCAUCAGACCAAGUCUAGUAGGUAUGCAACACUUUUCCAUAAAAUUAUGCGACUAGAGGUAACGAAGGUUCAGUAUCAUGCUAUGUUAAGGAGCGUGGAGUGGGAUCCCUCGCCAUUGCUGGAGGAUUAGAGUAGUAGUAAGACUAGUAUUAGUUUGACUGGAAUGUUAUCAAUUCAAUUUAUCCUAUGAUUAGUUUAGUAUUUAGAUGCAAUUUAUCUGGAAUGCUUUAAAUGGGAUGUUAUCUGGAGUGUAUUUAUAUGCAAUUUAUCUUGAAUGUUUUACAUGAAUCGUAUUUAUAUGCAAUUUAUCUAGGAUGGUUUACCUGGAAUAUAUUUAUACACAAUUUAUCUGGAAUGCUUUAAAUAGAAUGUAAUGAAAAAAUAUGCAAUGCUUUAACUGGAAUGUUAUUUCUCUUAUUUUCACCCAAAAAAGCAUUGGAGGUGGUUUAGCUACACCCUAACUAAAUAACCUGCACCAUCCAUUCGUCCCUAACACUAGUCUAUCCUCCCCAUCGCACUUCGGCUUCCAAAAUAGAUCUGCUACACCGCCUCCAACUACCUCCCUCACCGUCGACAUCUUUAGUCGAUAUCGACCACGCUGUUGGACACGACCAGGUUAGCGCUUGCAAAGUGCUACACAUACACAACAUGGUGUGGUCAUGCUUCCCACACCGCCCUAACUCUCCCUGACACUCCCGAUGUCGGCAUCAUCGAUCCAAAUCGGCUACUUCUUCUUAAACCUCGCAUUGCGUGAUGUCAGCAGGAGUUUGUAGUAAGUAAAAUAGUUUCCUCAAUGAGAACUCAAGAUAUCAAUCCAUGGAAGUGAUGGUAUUCUACACAUGAAUCAUUUUAGAAACAGAAAUAGAACUUUACUUGUGUCCUCAAUAGUUCUAAUAAGGGUAUCUACCUUGCUAGUCUUGCUAGUUGCACAAGACCGUUAAACCUAGGUACCUUAGAUUAAGAAUCAUACAGGUUAGCCGAUAUUAAAAAACUGGGCUAUAGAUUAAUGUUAGUUGUAUAAAAUACAUAGAAAUUAGCUAUACCAAUUCAUCGGACAUAUUAAAAAUUCUUGUUUCCACCGGUGGAGAGGUGUUGACUGUGCUUAGGGGAGGAGCUCGGGGACGAAGCGCCACCGUUAUUGUCGUCAUCUCCAUGAUCCUGGCGAAGGGUCAGGCUUGGCGGCUGGCAGCUACUGUGGUAGGCGACAGACCGGAUGGAGAGGAUGCAAUGUUCGGCACAAUUGGUUCCGGGAAGAUCGGAGGAGUGCCUCAAUCGCGGACUCCACCACGGAGUAGUACCCCGGUAGUAGCCUGUGGCGGUGUCCACCAUGAUGCAGUGUCCUUGCGACAGCUGGACUGGACGCGGCUUCGCACCAUCUGGAGCCUUUCCCACGACGUUGCUCCACCAUGGGUGCGGGAUGCCGAGUGUUCGUAGAUGGUGUCCGAUCCUUGCAUGGGUGUAGACCAAUGUUUCUUAUUCCGGUUUUAUUGGGGGCGCGACGGGGGGAGGGGGGUGCGCGUACCAAGUUCUAAAAAAUCCAGGGUUUUCGCCCAAAAAUCUUCAAAUGACUUUGGAAUUCUAUUUUUCAACGUCCAUAUAUAUUUUCACUUAACCCAUUGCGUACACGAAGUAUUUUCUAUUCAAGUUGUCGAUCAACUAUAGAAGGUUGAGAUUUUUUUUGAGGGGAAGGGAUAAAAGGUUGAGAGUUUGACUUGGUACUUUCGCACCACAACUUUUAAUUUUAAUAAGCUUUGGAUGACGCGAUAAUACUUUAUUUUAUUUUACAAAACGGGGAAUAGAACCAGUGACGUGACCAUAUCACGUCAAGCUCCCUACCGCUAAGGCAAGUGCCUUGUUGCCAUAACGUAUACAUAUUGAAUUCCAAAAUUUUGGGUGGUAACAAAUUUUCCAGGGGCAUAGAAAUUUCCGGCAACCGGCGAGUUACCUGAAAUUCGCACCGAGAACAAAAGGCGGAACUUGCAGCGCCUCGAGGAGGACAUAGAUAUUUUUGUUUGGUGUGGACGGUGGAUGUGAUUUAUUUCCACUAAUAGUAGGUCAUGUCCAUGUCAAAAAAAGAAGAAGCAAUACGCCAUUGUCCAUCUCAAACAAAAAAGCAAUAGGCUACGCCAUGUCAUCAAUCCGUGGAUGGAUGUCUCGACCAAUAGGCUUCAAGUACAUGGAUUAUGUGUUUCUUUGCCAGUCAAUAAGUUUCAAGUACAUGGAUUGUGUGUUUCUUUGGCAACCAAUAGGCUUUAAGUACAUGGAUCCUGCGUUUCUUUAUAAAAAUGAGUGUGUUGUAUGCACUAUGUGUAAAAAUAUUACAUAAUGAAAAGGAAUUAGCAUGAUGCUUAAAAGAAUGAAAGGAAUAAGGAGAACAAAGCUUGUCCUAAAAAAAUAAGGAAAAAGAACAAUUUCACGGUGGACUCUACUACGACAAACCUCAUCGACUCAAUGAAGUUGCAAUUAUGCAAUAACGCACGUAUAGUAGCAGCACCAGGACCCGGCUCAACCGAGAAGUAAGAAGAAAAAAGAGAAGACACCCCAUCUAGCCCGGGCUCUGCCCUCCCUCCGCAUUCCCUGGGAGUCAAAAAUCACUGUUUCGUCACGCUCAUCAACCCUUCAAGGAUAAGUGUGCCUCCCAAAACCAGCCCUACACUAUCGUCCGACCCUACGAGGGUCUAUUGUUGGAGGAAGGUUUCAAGCAUUACCACACGAUGAUAUGAUAAGUGACAUCUUGCACGACGAGGAGAUGGACAUAUUGUAUCAAGGGUUUGCACAACGCCACAGAUAUCUUCACGGAUCAUGUCAUGCUAACAGUAGUUCGAGGCAUGAGGGUACCGUCAAGAUUAUGUCCUUUGCAGAUUUCGAGAGGGAAAAUGUCAUGUUUCACAUGAGACAAAACCUUGCGAGUAGCAAUUAUGGACAAAAGUGGGUUAAAAAUAUUAUAGAUGGUCUUUAGUAUAUGUUUAGCCCAUAUACCACAAAAAAAGAGUCUCAUACACCACGGGUCCAAGAUUCGGCCAUCAAAAUUUAGGUUAUUGUCAUUUUAAUUCUCAGGAAUUCAAAUGAAGCACAAAAGUCCUGAGACUGGACACGGUGUCAUGAUAUACCCCCAGAGGCUUUGGUACAAAUUUGACAAUUUUUUGCAAUAGUGUCAUGUACACUACUUACAAAUCAGAUCAUCUACGAGCAAGAAAUUAGGUUUCAAGAGGAAUCUGAUCCGGUUUGUAUGUAAAGCGACUGCUGAUUUAUUCACUGGCCUUCAAAUUUUGCGCACACUCAACAUGUACUAUUACAUGAAACAUGUCAAAAUUGAUUUUUUUUGGGCCUGUUUGCUAUAUUUAAACCAUUAAGUGCAUUUAUUUUAUCUAAUGGAUAUCACUAAAGUUUCGACUGCAUGUACAUGCAGUUAUGACCAAAAGUAAAUAAAAAUAUACUAUGAUGGUAUUUGUAUAUGUUUAGCCCAAAUACCAUAAAUUAAAAGCAGUCUCAUACACUAGUGGUCUGAGAUCUGGUUACCGGCAUGUAGGUUAUUGCCAGUUUAAUUUCCAGGAAUUCAAACGAACCGAAAAUUCCAAGACUUGGCAAUGGUGUCAAUAUGGCCCUCAGAAGCUAUCGUAAAAAAAAUUGAGAAUGCUUCACAAAAUAAUAUUGCUUACAAACUAGACCAUUUUCGAGGAAGAAACUAGAUUUCGAGAGGGCAUGGGUAAGGUUUACAUCGGAAGCGACCACUGCUUCCUCCAUUGUCCUUCAAUUUUUUCUCGCAUUAAACACGCACCAUUGCAUGUAACUUGUCAAAAUUUGGCAUUUUCGGAUGGUCAUUUGUUAUAUUUAAGCCAUUAAGUACCUCUCUAGAGUUUACUUGAUAUAAUUUGAUUUUGAAUUACAUGUACAUGAAAUUAUAGACCAAAGUGGAUUUGGAAAUAUUAUUUGUGGUGUUUACUACUUGUGGUGUUUACUGGGAUGUAGGUUACUGCCAUUAUAAUUAUAAGAAAUUUAACGAAGCCUGGAGACUUGGCAUGGAGUAAUGAUAUGGUCACUAGAGGAUGUGGUAAAAAAUUGAGAAUAUUUUGCCAAAGUUUUCAUGUAGGCUGCUUACAACCCGCACCAUCUCCAAUGAAGAAAAUUAUGUUUCGAGAAGGAACAAACAGGUUUGUAUGUGAAGCGAUCACUGCUUCCAUGAUUGUCCUUGAAACUCAUUCCAAUCUCAACAAACACUAUUAUGCGUGCCAUGUAAAAAUUUGGUUUUCUGUGUCCGUUAUCUAUAUUUAAUCUAUUAUGGGUAUUUAUUUUCAUUAAAUACCUAGAAAUUGAUUUAAUGUCUUCAAGAUAGCAAAUAAACCAUGAAUAACAAGUGUCAAACUUUAGAGCAUCUACACCCGUAAAUUUUAAAUCUAACCCCUUAUAUGUCCACGGCUGUGUUCAGGCAUAUCGGUGGACCGGUGCCGGUCACCCCUCAUUUGUCAGUGCUGCAACACACUCCACAUGUGCAAACCCCUAUUUAUAUAAUAAUCCAUGCAACUAAAAUUCGUCGUCAUCAUCAUACAUAAGUAAAACGAGCUCUAUUCGAAUAAAAACUAUCCAAGUUCUACUCAUCGUCAGAGAUGUAGAUGACCCCGUGCCAGACAGACCGACCUCGUGGUCAUUUGUGGCGGGGCACACUCCAACUUAUUUUACUCAUGGUCUUCUUUUAGUUUCACGAAGACUCACUUCCGCCUCAUGCCAGCGAGGUGGAUUCGGCAGCGAUUCAUCACCACCUCCUGCUCUGAGUGGAUCGAGUCGAGGAUGGCGGCUUGCUCCACCUCGAACUGCACUCUUGCCUUUACGGCUUUGGCGUGUUGUAACACCACCUUCGCCUCGUCCAUGCCAAAGACAUCGGGCUCAACCUCCAUACCCAUGCCUCCUCCUCCAUAUCCUAUAGAAUCACCUCCUCCUUCUCCAUUACCUCCUCCUACUAUGCCACAAUUUGAGAAGAACGAUUAUAUCUUUGGUGGCACGAAUCUCGGUGGCGGUCUCCGUGGCAUUGGCGUGUUGGAACCCUGCGUACACCUCAUCCAUGCCAAAAACACUGGGCACAACCUCCAUACCCACACCUCCUCCUCCAUAUCCUACAGACCCACCUCCUCCUUCAACACCUCCUCCUCCUCCUCCCAUGGCACUACCUCCUCCUCUUUCUCUGUUACCUCCUCUUAUUACGCCACAAUUUGAGAAGCAUGACGUGCCUCCUCGGUGGCGGUCUCCUCUCAACACUUGGUUGUGAUCAAUUUGUAAUACCUUUUGCCAGACCAUUGCAGACGCCAAGCUCACUUUGGAAAGGGAAGGGGAGGUGGAAGCGAUGGCGGUGCAGACUACAUGGAGAGGAGGGGAAUGGGAGCACCUAGGGUCACCUUCAUCACCCGUCUUAAAUAGCAUAUUUUGGUCUCCUGUGUAGUGCGCUAGAGUGACGACAUGAAUGUGUCCUCACAAAAUAGAAGGAAGAACCCAGGGGACUGAUGGUUUUUUGCACAUUCCCCACCCAUAAGUCCGACGUGGCAGACGCGUUUGGGCAUGCCCGAGCGUUCCCAUAUCCGCCCCGCAUAUGAGAUGGACAUGAGGGAUGUCGGACAACCCAUACGUUUGGGCUGGGUGUGUGGGGGACGGUUGAGUGGUAAUUUUGUGGCCAGGUUGUGUCCCGGNNNNNNNNNNNNNNNNNNNNNNNNNNNNNNNNNNNNNNNNNNNNNNNNNNNNNNNNNNNNNNNNNNNNNNNNNNNNNNNNNNNNNNNNNNNNNNNNNNNNNNNNNNNNNNNNNNNNNNNNNNNNNNNNNNNNNNNNNNNNNNNNNNNNNNNNNNNNNNNNNNNNNNNNNNNNNNNNNNNNNNNNNNNNNNNNNNNNNNNNNNNNNNNNNNNNNNNNNNNNNNNNNNNNNNNNNNNNNNNNNNNNNNNNNNNNNNNNNNNNNNNNNNNNNNNNNNNNNNNNNNNNNNNNNNNNNNNNNNNNNNNNNNNNNNNNNNNNNNNNNNNNNNNCUUCCAAUGAUGUAACUUUAAUGUAGAAAAACUAAAGCAUAAGCCUAAACCUAAAACACUAAAACCCAAACAUUCUAAAAAACUAGCAAAAACACCAAUCACGGGCUAGCCAACCGCACUGGUACUUUCCAUAAGUCAUCUGAAAAUUACCAUUGGAGGCCACAAAAGUCGCGACCGCCACUGAUACUUUUGUUACUAGUGCCGGGCUGCAGUCCGUGUCAGCCACUAGUAUUUUCAUCCACAAAAGCCAUGAGCCAAAAUAUGAGUGGCGGGCACAUUUGCGAACGCAAGGUCACGUCCGCCACUGGUACUUGAGUUACAACUGGCAGGGACCGCGGGGUAUGAAUCCACGCCAAUGAUUACUUCCUUUGGUGAUCCAAAAAUAGGGUAGAAAGGAUUCUCUCCUUUUUUUCCCAGAGGUGACCCUGAGUUAUUGAUCCAACGGGAGGAUGAUGCCCUUUAAGCUAGGGUCUUAAGCAAGCUUUUGUUAAAGAAAUAAUUAUAGCUUUUGACCGGAUCGAAACCAAACAACUGUUGAAAGACAGUUAUAAUAAAAAAUAGGCAUGGGUAUGAGGUCUUAAUGCUUACAACCAUAUAUUUGUGUUAUGAUUAGAUAUGAUCUUAAUUUGUGCUCUUGAAGUCACCCAUCAAGAUGUGCUUGUUAUGUACCGAAGUGGGGGAUGUGUUCAAAUUAUGUCUUGACCGACACGCGUCCUGCAUCAAAAGUUAGUUGUCCAACUGAAUGCCCUAUCUGUUGCACGGGGUUACCUCGAUAAUUAAGAUUGCUAUAAUUAGACAAAAGCAUUGGGCAUUUAUGACUACAUGUCUUGUGCCCCAGGGAUAGGAUCCGUGUUACCGUACUAAACCUUUCUGUCACUAGUAUUCACAAUAACACUUCAUGGUCUCCCUGCCCUUAGCCUCUCCAUGGCUCGUCCUACGUGAUUCUGGGUACCUGCAUGGAUGAAGAACGCGAACGAGACAAGAGACAGCUAUGGAACCAUUUUAUUUCACACAUACGAGAUGUUAAUUCAAAACCCUUCCGUUGAUCCCCACAACAAAUACUUCUGGUUGCAAGGCUUUUGCCUCAACCCAUACCUUACCGAACUACUCACACAUGAAGAUCACACAAAGAACACAUCAUGAAGAUUGAUAUAUUGAUAAUAUGUCUUACAAUAGAUGUCGUGUGUGAUACACGAUUACAAGUAUGACUACAUUGCUGAGAGCUAUGGUGGAGGUGAAGGUGAUGGCUAUGGAGAUGGGAAAUGGCGGUGGCUAGGGUUGUUGAAGAUGGCUACGGUGAUUAUGAAGAUUGGUUGUUUCGGUGGCUCUCUGUUAUCCAUUUGGCGAAGGCACGUUUAUAAAGGUUAUUCAGGUGGACGAGGAGCAUCGGUUUCCACGUCAUACGGCCGGUCAUAUGAGCGGACACGGUUGUAUGGAAUACCGUCUUUUCUGGUAUUUCUUUUAGUGCACCUCCACUUGUUCCCUCUCCACAAAUCCAAAUUCGAAACCGCUCGAGAAAAAACCUAUGUUGUUUUUUCCUCAAAAAAAAUAAAAAAACUAUCUUGUGUGGCUAUCGAGGCGGACAGAGGCACAGAGCCCCUGUCCAAUUUCUUUCCCUUCAUAUCUAUACCUAAUAAUAAAGGGCCUAUUGCUUCUGGCGGUAUGUUAUUAAAAUUGCAAAAUAUUACCCAAUGCCACCUAUAAGUGACAAAAACGUUUUGCACGGGAUCCCCCGCCUGGGCCGGCCCAAGCAUAGGAACCUACUAUACCGUUUGGGCCGGCACAUGUGCGCACGCCAGUUUUUUAGUUUCUUUUUUAUUUUUAUUUUUGUUUUUUACUUUAAAUAAUUAGCAAUUUCCAAAAACUUUUGAAAUUUUAAAAAACUGAGUAUUUUUGAAAUAAAAUGUCCAAGAAAACACAAAAUGUUUGUGAAUUUAAAACAUGCUCGGGAUUUUUCUAAAAAUAUUCGCAUCUUCAAAGAAAUGUUCAUGAUUUCGGAAAAAUGUUCGUAAAAUAAAAGAGUAUAUCAGUUUGAAAAAAAGUCCGUGUAUUAAAAAUUAUUAAUUAAACUGAAAAAAUGUUUGCUAAUUCGAAAAAUAUCGUAAAUUUUGAAAAACAUUUCUUGAAUUACAAAAGAGUUUAUUGUUUCAUAAAAUGUUUAUUGAUUCAGAAAAUGUUCAUGCAUUUCAAAAAAUGUUCGUGGAUUUCAAAAAAUAUCCAACAAUUUCGAAAAAAAUGUUCGUCUAUACUAGAAUUGUUCGCCGAUUCAAAAGAAAAUGCUUAAAAACCGUCUGCAAUGUAAAAAAUGUCACAAUUUUUAAAGUUUUUUUUUGUAAAUAGUAAAAAAUGUUCCCAAAUUUGUGAAGUGUUCACGAAUGAUCGAAUACGUAGUUAAACAGUAAUGCUUCUGAGUGUUUGUGACUUACACCCGCGUGAAUUUUGAAGAGUUAACUGCCGGGUGGAUUGGAAUAUUAUAGUAUGCUUUUAAAACAAUGUUUUCUGAAUUUCAUAACAAUUCUUUGAAGUACCAAGUUUUUUCACAACCACGAUAUUUUUUCGAAAAUGUGAACAUUGCUUCAAUUUUGAAUAAAUUUCAAAAAAGAAAUAUUUUCUUGUAUUUGUGAACAAAUUUCCAAAUCAUGCGAUGAUGAGAUGUGAACAGAAUAUGAUCAUCGCCAUUGAAGAUUGUGACUUUUUUUUCUCCCGUUGCAACGCACGGACUCUCUUUUGCUAAUCAUCAAUCAGAAAAGAAAAAGAUAGCAUCUGCCUUUCUCCCAACAAGAAGAAACCGCGUAACAAUUCCACCGUCCAUGAUUCUUUUCUGCCUGACCAGUGGGCCCAGCAGGUUGAUCGGUGUCAUCUGAUCUGACUAUAUACUGCCUCCGUUCGCUUUGCUCCGUCCUGCCCACUCCCCCGCUCGCUUUCCGCCACACCCGCGAAAACCCUACCUCCGGAGGCAACGCCGGGCAAGAUGAAGGGCGGCGGCGAUAUCGAGGCGGGCACCGCGGCACCGAAGGGGACGACGGAGAGCCCCGAGCUGCGCUGGGCGCUCAUCCGGAAGAUCUACGUCGUCCUCUGCCUGCAGCUGCUCCUCACCGCCGCCGUCGCGGUCGUCUUCGUCAAAGUCAGCAGCAUCCCGCGUUUCUUCGUCUCCUCCUACGCCGGCCUCGGGCUGUACGUCUUCAUCCUCGUCUUCCCCUUCGUCGGUGAGGCCUCAAACCAUUUCUCCUCCAUUACGAAUUUGUGAUCCAAUUGCAGCGAGGGUUUUCUCUUUUUGGUAAAAGAAACAGAGUAUGUAUGUCAAGGCCUACAGGGGCUGUACAAAAUUAAGUUACGACAUACAACAAGUGCGUUUUAAACGCCACAAAACAAAUAUGUUGCACAAUUAUCGGAAUCCACGGUCCCAAUUUGGUAGAUCUGAAGAAGAUUUUCGUUUCGCUCUGUGAACUAGCCACUGGAGCUCUUUCUUGAUUGUACGCCUGCAAGCAUAAAGACUUGGAGUGAAUCCCCUGAAAAUAAAAGGUCGUUGCUUCCGGGCAUUUCGACGAAUUUGUAUGCGUGCCAUUUCAUCAUGUCCUUCCCGCAAAAAAUAAAAGAUUUAAUUAUGUCUGAUUUUGAGGGCCUUGGUCACAGGACAGGACUAACUUUCCCUUUGCUUUCUUUGCAUUCUCGUCCCUGCAAAGCUAUGGAUUUUUUGCAGGAACGUCCCAUGCACUCUUAAUUUUGCUAUACUACUGUAGAUUGGGACGUGGUAGCUUUGUGAAUUGCAGCUGGAAGUUAUUCUGUUUCUAAAAUGCCUGUUAAUUUUUGGUAUGCAGUGCUGUGCCACUUGCUAAAAUGCUUGUUGUUUUUACGCAGUGCUGUGCCCGCUGCACAUCUACCGCCAGAAGCACCCAAUCAACUUGCUGCUUCUUGGCGUCUUCACAGUGGCCAUCAGCUUCUCUGUGGGCUUGACAUGUGCCUUUACCAGUGGUACUCUUUCUGCUCCUAGCUUCUUCUUGAGUCGCUCUGCUGCUUAUGUAUAUCAGCACAUGCUAUCAUCAGAAUCUGAUAGCUCCUGCACCAUCAAAUUCUUGAGUCACAUCUGCCAACUCCUAGCCUGUUCACCAUGUGCCUUUAAUGCCCCUCUCAUUGUGUUAAUUCAUUACAUAUCCAUGGCUAGUAGAUAUUUUCGUACUAUUAGCUUCCUACUGUUAUCGUAUGGCAAUUGUGCUAGUCACCAUGUGCGACAAUUGAUAGUUUCAUACUGUUAUUGUGAAGCAUUUUGUUUGCGUGUGGACUGGGUUCAGAAAUACAUCCGCUGCCAAUUUGCCAUACCCGUGCAAAUGGUAGACACGGCCAGGCAGCCCAUGUGACUGUAGUUGAUGCAUUUUCCUAGUCUGUGUUGAGGGCAAAUUGUAGUUGUUGGUCACCAUUUAUGAUUGAUAUGCUUGUCUGAGUUAGAAGCAUUUGUAGUAUUGCCAGCUAGCAGGAUUACCUUUUUAGAAGAGCUGGCUUUGCUAUUUUCAGCGGUUACUUUUUCACUAAGAAAUUGGCAAACAGUAACCUUUGCUUUUCAUAGAACAUUGGUUGGAACUUGCAUAUAUUUUUACUGUUUCUUCCGGCAACUAUUUGUUUUAAGAUACAUAGUGUUAUGAUAGCAAUAAUAUGUCAGCCGAGCUGCUCUUUGAUCUGAAGGGCCGAUUUGUCCAAUAAUAUGCCAGCCGAGCUGCUCAAGUUGACAUGGUUUUGGUAAGGACGUGAUUUAGGCUGCAGGACUAGCUUAAACUUUUAUCAAGAUAGAAAGGAUUUUCAGUUGAUAUAUCAUACUAGUGUCGUGAUAAGACAAUAGAUGCUUCAUGCAUGUGCUGGUUAAAUCUCAUUGGAUUAAAGUGAUUGAAAAUACAUAAUCUUUCGAUUUAGACAUAGUUAUAUUGACAGGCACUCUGUGAUCUGUCAUCCAUUUGUGUUUGCGUUAGUGUUCACCACUGCAUUUUGGGGUUGUACCAAUUCCAAGGUUCUUUCUAUCUUGUACCACAUCGCAGGAGGUUGCUGCUAGUUUGCUUCUUCAAUGCAUCACUGCCAUUUACUUCAGAUUUUAGCAUGCAUGUGCUUUAUUGUUUAGUCAAAUUUACAUGAUAGUUCAUUUAGAGAUGUAUGCGAUGGUAAGAAAGCAAUUAGUUCAUUUAGUAGCCGUCCUCUUAUAUAUAUAUGUGUGUGUUUUGUACUUUGUUGGUAGGAUGGGUUUUCUUUGAUAAAGAACCACUGCUAAAAUAGUCCGCUAUGUGUGCAGGCAAGGUCAUUUUGCAGGCUGGGAUUCUUACAAUUGUGGUUGUCUUGAGCCUCACUGCUUACACCUUCUGGGCUGCAAGGAGGGGCAAGGACUUUAGCUUCCUUGGUCCUUUCCUAUUUGCUUCUCUGAUGAUUUUGCUCGUCUUUGCUUUCAUUCAGGUUAGAUGCCGUCCGUUCCCUUCUCUAGUUAGGUGUGUCGCCCAUUUACCUAUCAGUCUUCUCUAUUCUAUAAUGCAAGUACUGAUCAUGACUUCUGUUUGCAGAUCUUCUUCCCGCUGGGCAAGCUCUCUCACAUGAUCUAUGGCACGCUGGCGGCACUCAUCUUCAGUGGCUACAUUGUCUAUGACAUGGGCAGCAUCAUCAAGCGUUACAAGUAUGACGAGUAUGUCUGGGCUGCCGUCACGCUCUACCUUGACAUCAUCAAUCUGUUCCUGGGCCUGCUGACUCUGUUUAGGGCGUGUGACAACUAGGCACGUCUCCCUGCCCCUGCUCUCUCGUGCUUCAAAUCCC